GGGUUUAGUUCCUCAUAAGCAUAAAACAAAGAGUAAUAAGUUUAAACAUUGAAAUCAAAGGGAAGGAAACACCUAAAACUUCCAGCCACUUGAACUUGCACGGCAUGAACUUCCAAGGCUCCUUCUCCUCCUCCUUGUUGCGGCAAAGGACUUUAGGGACAGGUUGGGACUUAUAUGUAUGGGUGGAUGAGUAUGGACUAAGGUAGAAGUGUUUAGGAAGGGUGGGGGGUGCGGCAAGGUCAGAUUGUAUGGUGAAUGGGAGUGAAUUGGUGCGGCAAAGGGUUCUUGUGAAUUUCUGGAGUGAAUUGUGAAUUGUGGUGAGUGGUGAAUGUGAAGGGGUGCGGCACACCUAUUUAUAGGGCCCUAAAACCCUAGGUGAAUCAGAUUAGGCCUUCUAGAAAGUCAAAUCCAUCAGGAAAGAGGUUAAACAAUCAGAUUUUGCAAGGGAAAAGGGGUCCUAGGUGCGGCAGGUUUGUAGGAUAAAGGAUAGGGCUUCUAGAAUGCCUUGCAAGGCAAGGAACUAGGGCAUCUAGAAGCUAGGGUGCGGCACCAAUGUAGGGAUUAGGGAUAGGGCUUCUAGAAAGCCCCAAAACUGAUAGGAAUUGUAGAAACUCACGGCAAGGAGGGGAAUUCUUCUAGAAACUUCUCAUUUGUGUCCUACAACACUUAGGAGUCCUUCUAGCAUUAGGAAAACAUGUCUCAAUCCUCUCUUGACUUGGAAUUCUUCUCCUACUUUAUCUUGGAAACCUUUCCUUCUCGGACUUGGAAAUCUUCUUUGUUGCUGAAACUUGAGGCCAUUUGGAUUUAACUUUCCUACUUUGAGUAGGAAACCUUAUUCGAGUAGGAAUCUUCAUUCUUCUAGGAAUCCACCUUCAACUAGGAAUCCUUUGUUGAUUAAGAUUUCAUCUUUAAUUAGGCGCUUUCCUACUUCGACUAGGAAACCUUGUUCAAGUAGGAAACAUCAUCUUCGACUCUUCAAUUUCGUCCAUCCUCUUGGCUCCAAGCAUAUGAUGUCCAUUCCAAGCUCUAAUUUGCUCCAAAAGGCUCCAAAAUGCAUCCUUUCGCAUACUUUGCCCUUAGAACCUGAAAAUACAUAAAACUAGCUUAAAAGAGUACUUUAACUAAGGAAAAACAACGUAAAUGCACAAGAACAAGCUAACUAAGGCGCAUAAAUAUGCUCCUAUCACGUAUCAAGCAGGUGCCUUUUUCAAAAGGAUGAGAAGCAUGUAUAUAUAUAUAAUAACAUAUGCAAAUAAAAUUGCAACUUGGACUGCUAAGGUUUAGCCUUCAAACAAAAUUACAGAUGUGGUGCAUCCAAGUUCAGAAAAUCAAUAGUCAGUUUUAGAAAAAAUUUAUCCAUUUUCAGUUUCAAAAAUAGCAUACUCGUUUUCAAUUUCAUAAAUAGUAUACAUGUGCUGAGUUUCAUAAAUAGUCAGUUUUAUAAAUAGUGUACCUGUGUUGAGUUUUAUAAAUAAUCAGUUUCAGAAAUAGUGUACUCGUGUUGAGUUUCAUAAAUAGUUAGUUCCAGAAAUAGUUUAGUACCUGUGUUUAGUUUUAGAAAUAGUGAUAGCACCAGCGUUCAGCUUGAGAAAUAGUGAUAGUACAUGUGUUCAAUUCGAGAAAUAGUUAUGUUUAGUUUAAGACAUAGUGAUAAUACCAAUGCUAAUUUUAAGAAAUAGUGAUAGUACCCAUGUUCAAUUUCAGAAAUAGUCAGUGUUUAGUUUCAGAAAUAGUAUGGUACCCGUGUUCAAUUUCAGAAAUAGUUAGUUUAAAAAAUAAUGAGGGUAGGAGAGAGGGUGUGUGUAUAUUUAAGAAAUAGUCAGUGUUUAGUUUAUAAAUAAUUUAUAUGUGAAAUUUAUAUUAAUCUUACUUUGAUUCUAUAAAUAUUUCAAUAAGCAUUUCAACAUGAUUUUGUUUUUGAAUCUUCCUCAAUCUAAAUCCUUCUCAAUUCAAUUUCUCUAAUUUGUUUACUAGUUUAUAAGUUAGUAAAUAAGCAAUUAUUCUUUCUCAUUUUAGUUCCUUUAAUUUCAUUUACAAAUUUUUAUGCACACCAUAAAUGUAAUUGAAGCUCCUAAGCUCCAUCACCCAAAAAUAAAAAGACAUAACUUGGCCCAAUUUCCCUAUCGAGAUUUAAUCAAUUUAAUUUUAAUUAUAUAUGAUUGUCACUUGGUAUUAUGGUCUAGUAAUAUUUCUCUUCACUUGUAAGUGAGAGGUCUUAGGUUUAAUUCUCAUCAAAUGCGAAUUUGAACCACAUUAUUGCUAGCCCAUUGUGAAGUUUAGCCUACUUUCCCACCCCUUUAGUGUAAAAAUAUUGUUUGUUAAAAUAUAUAUAUAUAUAUAUAUAUGAUUAAUGUUCUGCAAGUAAAAGAGUAUAUGGCUAUGGGAAACAAAUGAGGAAUAUGUUGAGUGGGUUCUAAAUUUAAUUACUAGAAGAUAGCAUAUAGGAUGGGAAGGAAGGAAGAACUUCUCACAUAACAUGGAUUCAAACCAAAAACGGACCUUAAAGGGAGGAGAUACAAAAGGAAGCAAUUUGUACCGUGCUAAAAAAUACUUGACAAACCUCUGCUAUACGCCACACACUUUUCUCUAUCGGUUUCGAUUUUGAGACUGAACCAAAAUAAUCUACACUAUUUAUGAAAUUGAACCUAAAUAACUCAUACUAUUUUAAAAAUGAAAGAAAACACGUAGUUAAUGAACCAAUUUUUUAUAUAGAUAGUGCAAAAACACAUUAUUUCUAGAAUUGAACUAUUUCUUUAUUAUGACUUUCCAAUUUUAACCUUAACAACAAGCCUUUGAUCGUUUAAUCUUUGCUAUGCUCUCUCCCCUGUUUCUUCAUGACACGACGGCGAUCUCCUUUCAAAGAAGGAGAGGAGAGGAGAGGAGAUGAGAAGAUAUGAGAAGAGAGAUAGUUGUCUUGUCAACGAACAUUCAGAUACUGCUGCCACUGUUACCUGGGAUCCACGCUGGCCCAAAAUGAAUUGCAGGACCACCGCAAAAUCAUAAAAAAAAGUAUAAAACAAACGUUUGAUUUGGACCAAUAACACAAAUUUCUUGGCGAAACCAAACCCAAUUACCAUAUUUAUUAUUGUGAUACUUGUUGAAAAAUUAAAGAGUGUUACUUAAUUCAAACCAAUAAUUAAGAAUUAUAACCUUAAAAGCACUUUAACAAGAAAAAGAAAAAAGGAAAAGAAAAACUGUACAGGAGGCGAUCAAUCCCAAUAAAAACACAUAAAAAAGAGGCUAACGGGAUAAGAAGGAAAAAGAGAAACGGUGGCAAGGGAACUAGAAGGCUAACGGGACUGGUUGGGUUCUGUCAGGGGCAGUUUUGGAAAAAACAUUUACUGUUGAUUGGGCUUUUAAUUCAGUUUGUGAGUUUUUAUGUUUGUAAGGUCUAGUGUAUGAAUAGUUUCCUUAUGAUUAAAUUGUAAGUCAUUUUGGUUAAAUAAUAGUUUUGGAUGAUUUUUUUUAUUAAAUUAAAGUUAGCCAAAAUCCUUUUCAUUAAAGCUUUUUUUUUUUUUUUUUUGAUUUUUUUCACAAUAAGUAUUCCUGGUCAUUAAUUGGUAUUACUCUUCGAUUUGAAUUAGUGUUUUUGCUUUUAUUACAAACAAGUGGUAACAUAAAAUUUUGGAAGAUCGGGAUGACACUUGGAAGAAUGAUGCAUGAAAGUGGAAACUACAGUUUAAACUGAUUGGGGAAGAGAAAGAUGCUGAUGAGGAGGGGAGUUGACAGAGCGGUGCCGUUGUCGAAAAGACGACCGCGGAGCAUUGUGAUUUUAUCUCAAUGGUAAACAUAAGCGGGGUAGAAGAAUGAAAGAAGUAAAAAAUUGGAGGGGAUCGUGGUCGUUGAUGAUGUCAAGGGAAGGUGUCGCGAGUGCUUGGGUGGGUUUUGGGUUCUUAGGUUUUCUUUCAUUAUUUUUUUCAUUUACGUAAGCGUAAACUUAGAAAUUUUAGCAGAGAUAUUUUAAUAGGAAUAUAGAGAAAAAAUAUUUAGGUUCAAAUAAAAUUUCAAUACGCCAAUUUGAUUUAAGGGACGCAACUCUUAGUCCAAUGGCCUUUUGCGUUGUUAAAUGACAGUUGACAUAAGUGCAGCAAACCGGGGUGACUUCAAGGCUCAUACAUACAACGUUAUUAUAGACAAUAUCAAAUGAAUGUGAUUAUGUUUUUUAAUUGAAUUGUUUUUUUUUUAAUUUCUACAAAAUAUUUAAUUAUACCGUUGCCAGGCAUUGCCAUGGAUGGAAUGUAUGGCAAUACACGUUUAUUAGCAACUUGUGGUAAACUCACGUUUGUAGAUUGGCUUCAGCUAUUUAAUUAAUUAUAAAUAGGAAGAAUUGCUUGUCAAAAUAACUAAGGAUUUUGUCAAAAAUAUUUUUAUGAUUUUAUAAAAACAAAAUUUUAUGCCUCCUUUUCUGAACAAUUGAUUGGAUUGGAGAAAAUCAUGUAUUAUUUUGUGAUCCGACUGCAGCACAUCCAGUAGCAUAUGAUUGACUUUACUAAUAUAUAUGGAACGUCGGCAACUUGGCUUUACUAAAACUAAAUAAUAUUCCCUUGGAAUAUAAUUAUUUUCUUAAAUUAAUUCUAUCUCUUUGUAAUUAUAUACUAGAAUUCUAUUGUUUUUGUUUCCACGUUCUCUAUGAACAAACUCUCCUAAACUAGCCAAAAAUGAAACAUUAAUUCAGAGUGGUUGCAUUGAUAUAUCUGGAUUAUGGAAUUAAAAAUUCUCUCUCAAUUUUUUUUUAUUGAAUUGGGCAUUAUGUUUUUAGGAACACAACUUUUUAUGUUAGGUUGAGGUUUUAUUUAGUCCCUUCCCUUGAACCGGUCGUGGAGCUCUCUACUGAUCUGUUAAGAUUCGGGAGUUCCUUUUAGUGUUAAAAUUAAUGGCGGCAACUCUGCUAUUUUACAUAUUUUAAUCAUUUAUUUUAAUUUUAUCCUAUCUUUCUCAUGAAACUCUAGCUACUAAUUAAGUUUACAUUUGUAAUGUUAGGUAAGUUUACAAUAUCCUCCUAUAUUUGUCUUUGCUCCAAUUUCAGUCCUACUAAUUUUAUUACUAAAACUUGCUUUGUGGGUGGGUGUGGGGUUGCUCUUUCAUGUCUCUUGUGUUUAAUUGCAUUCGUUGCUUGAAUAUAGUUUGGAAUCAAAGGCAAUCACACCUGGGAAUAGAAAUCCAAACACGAAUAAAUUGUAGUCUAUCAUUUGGGGGAAUCGGCAUUCUAUUAGGAUAUCCAUUCCUUUAAUAUUAUUUUCUUUUCGCCAACCUUCUGAUGAGAUGGUUUGUCAAGUAUAUAUGUUGCAUUCCGGGUUCAUUUCUGAAAAUUAUAAAAUGCAAUUUUGGAAAGGUCUAAAGUAAAUGAGGGCACGUUCGGUAUCCUUAUUAUAUUUAGUCUUUGAAACUAAUGAGUAUUGAGUAGUUUAGCUACCAUUAUUACUUUUUUAAAAUAAAAAUAUCAAAUUCAAGAAGAAUACAAAACAAACCCUUAUUAGGAUCUUCAAAUCUUUAAUUAUUAUAUAUACAUCAUGAAAUUUCGUGGUUAUCCACCAUUGGAUCAACAUACAAUAUAGUUUCUAUUGAUUUCAAAACGAAAGUACUUUAUAUGAAUUUGAAUUGAAUUUAAAUGUAUUCAGUUGAAUUUUGAUCGAGUAGUGGUGACAAAGAACUUUCAAGGGUAAUGAUGAAUUCAAGACUUCUCUUGGCUUAUUGCAAUAGAGAUUAAUUUAGCGUAAUCACCGUUUGGAGCCUGUGUAACUAUUAAUCAUUCAAGAGGUUUUAUAAAUUAGUAACUCUUUUAGGCAAAGCAAUUAAGAACAAUAUGUAUAUUAUGGAAACAAUUAUGUAAAUGCUAAUAAACCACAUAAAAUGUCCACAUUGAACAGCUUAAACUUAUGAAAAAUAAAAACGAAAAUUAAUAAAUUCUUAUCCUAAUACAUUUAUAAACAGUGGUACAUGUCCAUGCUCGAGUUGAUGAUCAUUAUUUUUUUUUUCUUCAUUUCAUGUAUAUUUUUUCAUGGCCUGCGGAGGAUGAAUGAUGAACAAUUGAUGGUGGUUGGGAAUUAAAUUGCAUUUGAGUUGGCAUAAAUUUGUGGUCACAUUGCUAACUAUCUAAAAAUCCAAAUGGUUCCAUAAUUUAAUUUAGAGAUAAUUAGAGCAAUGGCUCCUGACUUUAACUCAAUUGGAGCUUUGGUUUUUGAACUAAAAAUGAGUGAAUAUUGGUCCUUAAACUUGUUAUAAUGUAAAGUGAUGGCCAUUUCGGCUAAUUCUGUUAAAAAUUCUAUCCAUUUUUCGCUUCCUUAAACUCUUUAUUUUGGAUAAAAGUUCUAUCCAUUGUUUAGUAUUAUAGCAAAUUUAGGAAUCAAUAUUCACUGAUUUUUUUAGUUCAUGAAUCAAAACUCAUCAUUGCUCCAAUUUUUUGCAUAAUUUUUAUAAAAUGAAUUGGUUGUCCUUUUAGUUGUCUAGACCCUCUUCGCCCCUAGACGCCUAUUUGCCUACGUAUUUUUCGCCUGUCAUGAUCCUACAAACCCCACACACAGAUAAAACAACUAUAUAUCCAGUUUUCAGCCAAGAGACAAAUCAUUUGUCAAACCCGUAUUAGCCGACCUUUGUGUUUGAAUAAAAUAAAAAACAAGGUUUAUGUAACUACUUUCCAUGUGCUAGAACAUGGUGCAAAAUAACAACUCAGCUCUAUUUAACAAGAGCAACUUAUAUUGCGUAGGGUGCCAUAAGGUCAUAAAAGUUGUUUCUCUAUUUUUAAAGAACAUUGUUUGACUCCUUAUAUAUAACGGACAAUUUUUACUUACCUAUAAAUCACAAUUUGAUACAUAAAAGUAACAGAAAGAUCACAAAAAAAAAAUAUUUUUCAACAUAUCACACUGUAAUUAGUUUGAAAGAAAAAUGACUCCUCAACUCCAAAAAGUCCAAUAUUUUCCAUUUGAAACUCAAAACAAACUGGCUAAUAGAUAAUAUAAUCAUGCCAGAGUGUAUGUCCCAACAAAGGUCCAAGGACCACAGUUGUUUAUUUUUAACAGCAAUAUGCUUUUAGUUUUUAAGUUUUAAAAUCAUGUCAAUCUUGUAUGUCCCUAAUGUCAUUGUAUAAGUAGGUCUCGAAUCCCCAUAGCACAAACACUAACAUCAAAUUAAAGAUAUUAAGACAUGGAAACUCGUAGUUGCAUUCUCCUAUCUGCUUUUCUCAUCCCUUUCCUUCUUGGAACAGCUUGUGCUCAACUUAGGACAGACUUCUACAAAGGCACGUGUCCAAAUCUUGAGUCCAUAGUCUCUUCUGCUGUCAAAACCAAGUUCCAGCAGACUUUUGUAACUGCUCCAGCCACUUUGAGGCUCUUCUUCCACGACUGCUUUGUUCGGGUUAGUAGCUAGGUCCUUUCAAAUUCCAACUUUCGGUUUGCCAAGUUUCCGUUUGUUUAAUGUGUUGCCUUCAUUGGUACAGGGUUGUGAUGCUUCAGUGUUGAUUCAGUCACCAACUAAUCAGGGGGAGAAGGAUCACCCCGAUAACCUUUCGCUUGCUGGAGAUGGAUUUGACACUGUGAUCAAAGCCAAGGCAGCGGUUGAUGGCGAUCCUAACUGCAAAAACAAGGUUUCAUGUGCAGAUAUUCUUGCUCUGGCUACUAGAGAUGUUGUACAGCUGGUAUAAUAUUCUCCUUACCGUUAUUAAUUUGAUUAGUUUUUCUUUAAAUUUAUUUAGUAUCUGCUGUCAUCAUAGUAGGACAGAAGCCAAAUAAGCUUUUUAAAUUUAACCUAACGAUUGAGAAUAUUAGUCUAACUACUACCAUUAUGUAAUAAGUUAAUGAUUAAUCGUUAUCUUAUUUGAAUAAUCUUAUCCUACGUUUUGUCUAAUGCACAUAUUUCAAGCAGGCUGGGGGACCAUCUUAUACAGUUGAACUGGGUAGGCGAGAUGGAAGGGUAUCUACUAUGGCUAGUGUUCAGAGACGCCUUCCUUCCCCUACUUUCAAUCUAGACCAGCUUAACACCAUGUUUACCUCUCAUGGUCUCUCCCAGACUGACAUGGUUGCAUUAUCAGGUAGUCUUCUUUUAUUUGCCAGUGAUUCCUAAGGUCUUUUUAGGGUUACCAUUAUUUUUGUCUCUCUAAUUUGUCGUAAUGUUAUCUUGGCCUAUAUAUGUUGUUAGACUGUGAAUCUACCACCGCAUGCUAAAACAACACUUCUGAUCAAAGAUUUAGAUUGACAAUCUUGCAAGAAAACAUGCUGGUAACGAAAAGUUAAUGUUUUUUCUAACUCGCAUGCUUUUGUUAGGUGCGCACACACUUGGUUUCUCUCAUUGCAGCCGGUUUUCCAAGAGAAUCUACAGCUUCAGCAGCAAAACCCGUAUUGAUCCGACACUCGAUCCAGCUUAUGCAUUGCAGCUUCGACAGAUGUGUCCAACUCGAGUGGAUCCCAGAAUUGCCAUUAACAUGGACCCAACCACACCUCGAGCAUUUGACAAUGUUUACUUCCAGAAUCUUCAGCAAGGAAAGGGUCUGUUCACCUCUGAUCAGAUACUGUUUACAGAUACAAGAACAAGGGCAACCGUCAACCAAUUUGCAUCAAGUAAUGCAGCUUUUAAUCAAGCUUUUAUACAAGCCAUGACUAAGUUAGGCAGAAUUGGGGUUCUGACGGGCAAUCAAGGCGAGAUUCGGCGAGACUGCACUCGCCCAAACUAGAAUGGAUUAAACUGGAUAGAUUCAACUGGAUAAUCUCUCGAAAAACUAUUUUUAUAUUGAUUGAAUUUUUUUUUUUUUUUUGGUUAUUAUGGGAGUGUAAAACUUCGUUAUGCAUAGUCACAAUGUUUGAGUGUGAGAGUAACUCAUCAGCUUCAGGAUACAAUUAGCAGUUAGUUGGCAGAGGGAAAUGUAUCACUGUUUUUAUUUCGUAGAAAAGCUCUGCUUGAUUAGCUGUGCAAGGAAUCUUCAAGUUGCUGGAAUAAUGCAUUUUUAGCAGUUAAUUUAUAUGAAAUACUUGAAGAUGGAAAAAAAAAAAAUAACUUUAUUUGGUACCACAUGGUCAUAGAAUAUAUUGUUUGUUAGCUACUGGACAGGUCUCUUUUAUUGUCAUUCAAAUUCAGAAAGAAUCAAUUGGAUGAUUAUAUAAAUAAGUAGAUGCAAAUUUCCGCCUUCUUCUUCUUGGACGAAAAUGCACUUGCAAAAUAAUCAACACCUUAAGCCAAGAGCUUCACGCGCCCACGAUGAAUGGAAGGGGGGGUGGCUUUGGCCCAAGAAUCUCCAAUGCCAAAGUUAGAAUUUGAGGGAAAAAUGUUUAGAAAAAUUUGGAGAAUUUUAGAAGAGAAUUUGACUUAGAUUUUUAGGAGAAAUGAGAGCUAUUUAUAGGGGUGUGGUGGGCCCCUAUUUGGAGAAAAGGGGUCCGGCCACUUAUGGUGGUUUUUGGCUCUAAUUGCAAUAUAUUAUGUCAAAAAUAAUAUCUUGCAAUCAAUUAGGAAAUUAAUUAGAAAAUUAACCAAUUAAUUAAUUAAUUUUGGGAAUUAAUCCUAAUUUGAAAGGAACAAAUAGGGGUUACCUUAUGGGGAGGAUUUGAUGAGGAUUGAUGAAAUAGGUUUUGAAUAAAUAUCUAUUUUGUUCAUCUUUGACCUUGAUUGAGCCGUUAUUGUCCACUUCUUGCACGCGGGAGUUCCGGUGUGCCUCGAGGGUAAUUUUGUCUUUUUCACCCAAGAAUCCACGUGUCGCCUCCAUAUUUUUCUUGAUUAUUUUUUGCUCCACACCUGUUGGGUUGCUCGCAGAAAAAGGCAGCAUGUGUAGAGAUCUUCUUACUUUAGGAAACAUAGGAUUGGUUCCUAUUUUGAUGUAGAUUCCCUCUUUAAUUGGAAAUUGGAUCCUUCUAGGAAAGGGAAAUAAAUUACUUCUAAAGUCUAUUUAAGUCUACCUUAAGUAGAUUAUUAAAUCAACUUUAGAGAGCAAUUUAUUCUACCCUACAAGAGAGAGAGAGCUAGAGGACAUUUAUUCCCCCUCCCCUAACAAUCUUUUACACUUGCCCGUGCAAAGGAACGUCUUUCGUUGCUUUCUUCGUCUUCAAGCCGCAUCAAGGUGAAAAAAAAAAUUAAUUUUUCCUUGGGAGCCUUAGGAGUUGAAAUUUGGCUCGACGGGGGUCGAGGAUGUGUGAAAAAUUGGUUGGAGUGGGCCACGACAUGGUUGCUACCAUGGGACUGCUUAACACGAUGGUGGCUGGUUGGGCAAGAGUGGCUCGACUUGGGCUGAGUUGAUGGGCGCUGGGUCGAUGAGGCUCGGGCUUGUGUUCGAAUGGGAGGAAGGGAGGCGCGGGCCUCCUUCCUGGGUUGGAUGACUGGGCUUCGGCCCACAAGAAAAGUGGAAACAGGAGGCACAAAGGCGCCAAUCCCCCCUCUGUGGUAUUGGGUCAUGAGGCUUGGCGCAACUGCUGGGUUCCUGCAGCUUGGAUCUUCAAAAAAAAAAAAUUAUAUAUAUAUAUAUAUAAUUUUUUGAGUAGCCGUCCAAUGAAAUUUUCUUGCGCCUUUGUAGAAGUUCUUCAAGCAUGUCUUCUUCAAGCCACAAGGGUGAUGAUGGUGUUUCACCGUUGUAUCGUCAAGGCUAGUUUUUGAGUAAUGUAGGCUACUUCAAGGCUGCUAACUUCAAAAUUAGCUCUGAUGAUUCAUUUAGAGACUUUCUUGAGGCGUAUAGGCAUGCCAUUUUGCCGGGGGUGCGUGUGAAGCGUGUAGCAGUCGUGAGCCAUGUGGUGAGGAUUAAAAAGCCAUCAAGUUCUUUCCUUAUUACUUUGUGUUGGGAUUUACUUUUCCCAUUCCGCGUUUCUUCCAAGAGGUGUUCUGCUCCAUGAAGUGCGCCCAUGCGCAAUGUUCUUCUAAUGCGAUUCGCGUGAUGGUGGGAUUGCACAAUCUAAGCCUAUUCUUUGACUUGGAUUUGACUGUCAACGAAUUUUGGUAUUUCUUUGACAUUAGCCAAAUUGGAGGAGUUGGGCAGCUAGGAUCUCGCCAUAGGCUCUUUGACCACUCGAGCAAGGGAGACCAUGAAUGGGCCAUGGAGACUUUGGAAAUAAAUGGAGAAUGGGAAUUUGAUUCUUCUCCUGAGCUGCGUGUUUCGACGGUUUUCAUCUUUGGUAAGUAGACUGCUUAGUCAUUCGAUUGCUUUGCACUUUUAAUAGGUUGCUUUUUGAUUUACUAAUCGUCUUUCUCCAUUUUCACAAAUUUGAAAUUCGACUCCAAAUAUGAAAAAGGUACAUAUUGCCCUUGGUAUCCUUUUUGAGUACCGUAAGUGGCGUUGGCUGCUUAGUCCUAUUUGUCGGAAGAAAGGUAGGCUACCUCCGCGAGAAGAGAUAAAACGAAUCAAGGUUGAGGUGUUGGCUUGUCUAGUCACUAUAGUUGAGCAUGGUGCACAUGAAGGUGGGAAGAAGAGAUCUCCCCCGCCUACUCAGGAGAUGUCGGUUAAGAAAAAACCAAAGACUUCUUCCACUGCUCGUGAAGGUUCGCCAGUUGCUCCUGAGCUCGUGAUUGACUUGACUUCCCCUAAGGGAGAGAAAGAGGAGGCUACUAGAUCUAUGCCAGUGGUGCCUGCUGCUCCGAAGGUGGCUAGUUUGAUUGCUGACAGGAUUGCUCAGUGUAGAAGUUCCGCCAUGCCCCCAGUACCAAAAUUUGUGCCCAAGCAUUCGUUGGGGGCUAAGUUUGGUUCACUUUUGGAGAGACUUGCUACUAUGAAGAGCGAUAAAGUGGACUCUACUACUAAAGUGGCACCAAAACCCACUCCCCAGGCUGCGAAGACUGAUUCGUCUACUGAGAAGAAGGAGACUGCUCGUGUGGGCAGUCGUGAAUAAUCCAUAAGCCUGUUUCUGGGGAACCUACUGAGAUUUGUGCGUUUUUUAGACCAGAUCUGCUCAAGGACAUGGAUGUGUGUGCCAAGUUUGUUGAUGGUGUCAAAGGGGUUGUUGGCCUAAAUUCCUUUAUGAACCAUACAACCAAGUAUAGGAGGACUGCUCUGCUGGCUAUGAUGCAAAAAAUGGUGAUUCUAGCAGUUGAGUCUAUGCUUCUUGAUCAGAAGACACCAAGGAGGUGGCAGUCGAAGCGUACUCCUCAGCCGAGAAAGUCAAGAGGUUGGAAUCUGAGCAUGCCGCUUUGAAUGGGUCAAAUAUCUCUGCCCCUACUUCUCUGCAGCUUGAGACCGCUCAUUGGGAGAUCAUGGAUUUGAAGACUAGGCUUGACAUGAUCCAAGUUAAGUAUGAAAAUGCAGAGAAGGAGAUCGGGUGUUACACACCUCAGAUUCAAGACUUGAGCAUGCUAUCUUUAAGUUUCACUCUGUUGCUUACGCAAAGGAUGAAGAGUUGAUCGCUGUUUACAACCAAGUGAUCCACUUCAAGAAGGUCGUUGAUAGGCUCGAACCUCAAGUGUUGGAACUCUAAGGUGCUUUGAAGAUCAAUGACAAUUUGAAGAAGGAAAUGGAAGAGUUGCAGCGGGUUCGUGCUGGUCUGCUCGAGGUGAAUGAGUAGUUGAAGGGUAUGAAGCUGGGUUCGAGGCUUUGCUUACUCAAAUUCAAGCUAAUGUCUACAAGCUAGGUUAUGUAGACCAUCUCUUUGGGAGGCCAUAUGACUUUAGUUUGUUGGUAAAGUCUUCGAGACCUUAUCUAUUUCUCCGGAAAACUUGCUUGCCUUCAUUUUCGAGGCUUCCAUUGGUGAAGUAGUUAGAGAUGCUGAUGCCUAAGCUGGAGCAGUCAGGGGUGAAGUGCCGGAUAGUGUCACUGCUGAAGGUGCCACUACUGCUAAAGGUGUGGCGACCAAGUAGCCGUGGAAUGUCCUAACUGCUGAAGAGUAGUCUUCUAGGUAGUCUUUAGGAUUUUCUUUGUUUUCCUUGUUGCUUUUUUGUUUUGCUUGAACUCCUUCAGUUUUUGCUAGUUGUUUAUCAAUUUUGCUAGAAAGCUUAAUAAACUUGUUUCUUUCUUUUUUCUCCAUCUUUGCUUAUUUAGUCUGUGCCCUAACCUUAGACUUUAUAAACCAGUGGUAGGCGUGCUACUUUUCUAUAAGCAGACAAGCAUGUGUAGCCUAUGCAGUUGUAGGUGUUGGUGUAGAACUUUCCAAAGUUGUUAGACAUAGGGUCGUCAGCCGGACACCUUACUUAGAAGCAAACAAGUCAGUGUGGCCACUGGGCUAUUAACAUUGGCUUUCUCCAAUUUCGUAGGUUGUAUAGUAAGUAUCACAACACUUUAGGACUUGGUGUAGGUCCUUCUGCGUAAAAAUGAAGCCCAUCGAUUGCGUAAUAUAUCGGCAGUGGACGAAGCUUUGUAUAUGCGCACCAACUUGUUUAACCUUUCAUAGAAAUGUGCGGUUGUAUAAGUUUAGCGCGGGUUAUUGCUCGAAGAGCAAGCCGUAGGCAGUCUUCUGGAAACCGUAGACUACCUUAGUGCACUCGGUAAUAACUUUAGGGUUCCAGGGCAGCCGUCCAUCGGGCAUAUUGCGUAAUGUGCCCCUUCCAUCUCUGGGGCCCGGUUCCCCGUGAAUUAGGCCAAGAGACCCAAAAUCCUUCAGUUAGCUAAGUCUUUAAAAAGACCAUUAUGGCUACUUCUAGAAAUCUCGACGUAAGCCAUUGUGUAUCUAGUUAUACUAAGGCAGCCUAGCUCGUCCACGUUUGGAUUUCGGAGUGUAGAGUUUAUCCUCCCGCUUUAGAGAGCUGACUCAAGUGGGUGUUAGGGAAUUGGUUUACCCUCUCGCACUGGAUAGCAUGGUUGGUUAUGAGUCCUUAAGAAGGACGCAGUCUUCUUUUGAAGUUCAAGAGUGAUUAGUUGUUGUAAACAUGUAGUUGAGCCAAGUUGUAAAUUACUUUUGAAUUCCUCAUUGAAAAAUGAGUGAAACAAACGAAAACUUAGCAGUAAAGUAGAGACUGCAUAAUAACUGGAUAAUCCUCGGCUUGCGAGGUGGUGCCUGUUGAGCUGCAUGAGUUUUUCAGGCUUUGAUGUAAUGGGAGGUCACACAUGAUACUUCCUUAUAUUGUAGGCGUUCCACUGUUUUUCGAUCUCUUUGUCGUUUAUGGUGGCGAGGGUGUAACUACCAUUGCCGCCUACUUUGCUAAUCUUGUACAGACCUUCUCAGAUAUGAUCUAUCUUUUUGGAGCCUUCUCUGCAGGUAGUGAUGAAGGCUUUUCUCAAGACUAGAUCUCUGGGCUAAAACCGCCAGAUCUUGGCCCUCUUGUUGUAGUUGGAGAUGAGUUGCUGCUAGUAAGCUGUGAUGCGGCCAAUGACUCAUAUACGGGUGUAGCUCGCUGGUAGGCAAUGAUGGUACUGGCUUGUAGCGUUGGCAGUGGUGGCACUUUUGUGUUAACUCCUUAGCGUCUUAAUGCAUAGUAGGCCAUAGUAGCCUGCGCUAAGGAUAAACCUCCGGAGUGAUUUCCACAAACACCUUCGUGGAUUGAGUUUAGAACCUUUAGGUCAUCGGGAGGCAUUAGGUAAUGGAGACGUGGUCCGGUGUAGGAUCUUCAAACGAGAAUGUCGUUCCACAUGUAGUAGCGAGCCAUCUUUAUUUGGAGUUUUCUAGACUCCAAUCUUUCUGUGGGGUGUGUGCCAUUGACCAUGUAGUCUAUAAUAGAACUUUGCCAGUUGGGAGUUGUACUAACCUGUGACACUUCGGCUGUCAGCUCCGCCUCUUUGCUUGGCUUGCCUAGAUACUCCACCAGAAUAGAGCAUUUGAGUUGAUGGUCUAGGGCGAAGCCUAGAUCGGUUAGCGCAUUUUUGUGGGCAUUUUUGGCCUGCGGAACUUAAGUGAGAGUGUAAGUCUGAAAUGCCUUAAGUUGCUUGCGUACCUUCUUUACGUAUUGCGCCAUCCUUAGAUGUUUUGUCGUGUAUUGCCCAGUAGUUUGGUUGGUGAUUAGUUGGGAAUCAGAAUGAAUUAUGAGUUUUUUCACAGCCAAGUCUCUUGCCAUUCAGAGGCCUGCUAGUAGGGCCUCGUACUCCACUUCAUUGUUAGAUGUUUUGAAGCCUAGAGUGAUUGCCUGCUCGAGCAUUAAACCAUUUGGGGUAACAAGGACCACGCUUGCUCCUGAUCCUUUGUAGUUGGAUGCGCCAUCAACGUGCAAAUGCCAGAAGUCUCUAUUGGGUAGAGCAGAGGCGGCUAAGGUGUGCUAGUGCCAAAAUUAAUUUUUCUAUCUUCGGGUAUCUAGUUUCCGCAUUGAGAAGAACUUUAGAAGUGUAAAAUAUCGGCAGUUGGGCCCCCAACUAUUCUCGUAUGAGGGCAGAGCUCACUACUAUUUCUAAAACUGCCAAGUAGAUGAUGUAAGUCCUUCAUUGCUUCCGAUUUGGAUAGUAAAGAGGUGAUGUAAGAUACUUCUUCAGGUCUUGGAAAGCUCUUUUGCACUCAUCAUCCCAUUUGUCUCAUUGUGCCCUCUUGAUGGCCUUGAAAAAGGCUUUGCAAUGAUCAGUAGAUCACGAGGGAAAAUGAUUGAGGGCGGCUGCUAGUCCAGUCAAGCUUUGAAUCUCCUUUAAGGUAGUUAGAGACUUCAUCUCUAGGAUCGCUCGAAUUUUCUUGGGAUGUGCUUCGAUUUCUCGUUGGGUUACUAGGUACCCUAGGAAUCUGCCUGAAGAUACUCUAAAUGUGCACUUGGUGGGAUUAAGCUUCAUCUUGAACUUUCUAAGAAUAUUGAGAGUUUACGCCGAGUUGUCGAUGUGGUCUGAUCGCUGCUUACCCUUCACCAUGAUGUCGUCGACAUAGACCUCCAUGUUUGCUCCAAUUUGCAUCUUGAACAUCAUGUUUACUAACCUUUGGUAAGUGGCUCAUGCAUUCUUGAGGCCAAAAGGCAUUACCUUGGAGUAGUAAGUGCCUCGCUCAAUAACGAAUGUAGUUUUCUCCUUGUCGGGCUCAUACAUGGCAAUUUGGUUCUAGCUGGAGUAUGCAUCCAAGCAACUGAGCAGCUGGUUCCCAGAAGUUGAAUCUACUAAUAGAUUGAUUUAGGGAAGUGGAUAAGGAUCCUUUGGGCAUGCUUUGUUGAGGUCGAUGUAGUAUACGCAAACCCUUCAUUUGCCCUUCUCUUUCUUCUUUACUAGCACGACGUUGGUAAGCUAUGUUAAGUGUGCUAUCUCUUAUAUGAAUCCAACCUCUAGUAGCUUGUCAAUUUCUGCUUCGAUGAUCGUCACUCGUUCAUGUGCAAAAUGCUUUCUUUUUUGGAUCAUCGGUUUAGCAGCGAGGUUGACUUGCAACUUGUGGCAAGCUAUCUCGGGGUUGAUCCUGGGCAUGUCGGAAGGUGACCAUGCGAAGAUGUCGCGAUUUUCCCUAAGGAAAAUUAUGAGUUAUUCAUUUUCCUUCGGGCUCAGACGUGAGCAAUUACUAGUAGUCUUUUCCAGUUGCUGGGGAUCAUACAUGAUAUGCUUGGUGUACUCUUCGGGUUCCCAUCCCGUCUCGUCUGUUGGUGCAUUGGUUUGGGCACCAUCUUCUUGAUCCGUCUACUAUAAUUACUAUUUAGUAGCUUCAUCGUCCCUUUGGACCUCGGUAGCCACUACAGGGGUAACGGUCUUCUUCUUUGAUUCCUUCAGUACUUGCACAGUGUAUAUCCAGCUUUAUUAGCCAAGGUCUCCCUAGAAUCCCAUUGUAAGGAGAUGGGUCAUUUUCUAUUGUGAAUGUCUGCUUUAAGACAACUGGCGGUGUUUCCACAUGAAAUGUGAUGUGGCUGAUAGCAGUCAAGGUGUGUCCGUUGAAUUUGGUGAGUAUUUCCGCUCGACGUAUGAUCAUGUUUUCUAGGCCCAUCUUCUGAAUUACUGAGAGUUGAAAUAGGUUGACUGCACUUCUGUUGUCAACCAUCAUUUUGUCGACUAUGGCAUGAGCUAGUUAGACAGAUACCACCAGUGCAUCGUCGUGUGGGAAAUCGACGCGAUCAGCAUCCUGCUCGAUGAAGCCAAUGAUAGGUCUAGGUUGGGUGUCAACUGCUUAGACUUACGAGACUAGUAGAGCCUACUGGAUCUUCCUCUUCUUUGAAUUGUUGGUGGCCCCCAAGUGCUCAAAUUCAGCAAAGAUACCGUUAAUCCGAAUCGUUUUCUUGGGUGGUUUUUUGUCGGCAUUCACAUUCCUUCUAGGCUACGCAGCUGGCUUGUCCAAGUAUCUAUCAACCUUGCCUUUCUUCACAAGCUUCUCUAGAUAAUUCUUCCAAGUGUAGUAGUCAUCGGUUGUGUGAUUGGGACCUCGAUGGAAUGCGUAAUACUUGUUAUGGUCAAACUUGGAAGUAUCUCUCUUUGAUUGCUUUGGUAGCUUGAACCAUGGUUCACUCUUAAUGUCAUAAAGGAUUUGGUGGAUCGGGAUCGAGAACUUAGAUUAAUUCUUGGAUGCUAAGCCUUUUUUAGUCAUGGGUCGAUCCUUACGCUUGGCCUCCUGCCUGUUUUUGUUGUACUACUUUUCGUCCUCCUUCUUUUGAGCCAUUGCCAACUCUUUCCGUGGUUGCUCGGGCUCCUUGUCUGCUAGUCGAGCCUCAUCCCAGAAAGCAUACUUCUUUGUUAGAGCGAAAAAGUCUGCCAGAGUUAGAUCUCCUUUCAUGAUUAACUCCCCAAACAACGGAUAAUUUACUCUGAGUCCUUUUUGGAAGGCUACACUUGCUAUCGAGCAGUCACAUCUAACUAUCUUUUCCUUCUUAGCCUUGAACCUUUUCACAUAGUCGAUGAGCGACUCUUUUGGGUUCUUCACAUUGAACAAAUGGUCAGAUUUUUUUCUUGAUCGAGCUGGAUGAUAAGUAUUCUUUGGUAAAACCAAGGAAAGAUCAUCAAAACUCCGGAUGGAUCAUGACGGCAUCUUGCGCUUUGCAUUGCAAGUGGUGGUGAAUAUUUUGCACAUAAGAGCAUCGUUGUUUCGAUAAAGGAUCAUCGUGCUUCGGUAGUGCUUCAAAUACCUUUCCGAAUCUCCAUCCUCUUGAAAGAUGUGAAAUGUGACAUGCUAAACUUGCUUGGAGGCUCUGCCUGCUCAAUCUGGUCCAUGAAGGGUGACCUGCUCUUGUUGGUCAUGUCCUGUCAUAACACUUUGUCGGUGACUUCGUUGCGUUGGAAAUCACACAACUGUUCAUUUAAGAGCAUCUCUACUUCAUUCUGAAUUUACCUCUGCUGGGACAGCGGAGCUCCCAGCUGCCCAUGGUUUUAACUUACUGAUCUAGGUUGUUUUCUAUGUGUUCGACUCGUCUGUGCUAUGGCUGCGAUGCAUGUGGCAUGUUCCUGGUAGGCGAGCGAUUUCCCUGUAGGCUACCGGUUGAACUUAUGCUGGAUUUAGUGAUUGCUUAUCUCCGUCCGUAAUGCUGCCUACUCCGAUGUAAGGUGAAUGAUGCUCCUUGCGGGUUUAACAGCGAUCGAACACUUCACCUCGAAGGUUGCUCAUGUUGAUUGUCAGAAUAUGGUCCCAACCAUGAGUGUAUGCUCAUUCGUGGGCCUAUUCGAUAGUGCAUGCUCUUCUGCGCACUAAGACUGGAGUAUACACUAUCUUGGGGUCCUAGUUGGGAGUGUACACUGCUGAAACGCUUGGUUCGAGGUUGGUCGAGUGGCUGCUUGUCCUACUUUAGGACACCUUAUCCGGGGCACGUUGCAUCUCGGUGCUUUGCAAAAGCUUAUUCACCAAGGUCGUCUACUAUGCGAGGGCACUCAUCAACUCUAUGACUUGUUGAGACAAAUGUUGCUCCCCAUUUGGGUUGAAAGAGCUUGGACAGAAUGCGUCUCCUUGAGGAGUGGAAGCAUGGUAGACUCUGAGCGUGAGAUUUGAGUUGGGAAAUGUCAAAUCCACGAAGAAAUGGGGUGAAAACGCCCCUGGUUCAAUCGUCGGCCCAAAAAUUUAGAGUCGAGACAGUUGAAACAACCUUGGACUGAUUUAGGCUGUUUGGGACACCACGAGUAUGGGUUGGAUGGCAUAUGACGCACGUGGGUGCGAGGCUUGGGCUUGGCUCGGGAGCACACUAGGCUUGCGUUGAGUUGUGGAUCGGGCCGGUUCCUCCUAGGCUUGGGCCUGUGCAGGUUAAAAUGGCACUUGUAACAUCCCACAUCGCCCAAAGGAGUGAUCCUAAAUGUAGAUUCCCAUCCCUACCUAGCACGAGGACUUUUGAGAGCUCACUGGCUUCAAGUUCCGUCGAAACUCCAAAGUUAAGCAAGAAGAUGGCCAGAGCACUCAUAUGAUGGAUGACCCACUGGGAAGUUGCUCGUGAGUUCCUAGAAACAAAACCGUGAGGGCGUGGUCGGGGCCUAAAACGGACAAUAUCGUGCUACGGUGGUGGAGUGGGCCCGGGAAGUGAUCUGCCCCGGGCCAGGAUGUGACAAAUGGUAUCAGAGCCUAUCCUUGGUCGGAAGUAUGCCGACGAAGACGUCGGGCUCUUAAGGGGGGUGGAUUGUAACAUCCCACAUCAUCCAGGGGAGUGAUCAUUAAACGUAUAUUCCCAUCCCUACCUAGCACGAGGCAUUUUGGGAGCUUACUGGCUUCGGGUUCCAUCAGAACUCCGAAGUUAAGCAAGUAGCGUGCGAGAGCACUCCCAUGAUAGGUGACCCACUGGGAAGUUCUCGUGUGAGUUCUCAAAACAAAACCGUGAGGGUGUGGUCGGGGCCCAAAGCGGACAAUAUCGUGCUACAGUGGAGUCAAGCUCAGAAUGUGGUAGGGGCUCGGACCAAGAUGUGACAAUUUGGUAUUAGUGCCAAUCCCUGGCCGGUAGUGUGUCGACGAGGACGCCGGGCCCCUUAAGGGGGGUGGAUUGUAACAUCCUAUAUCGCCCAGGGAAGGGAUCCUUAAAUGUAGUCCCAUCCCUACCUAGCACGAAGACUUUUGGGAGCUCACUGGCUUCGAGUUCCGUCGAAACUCCGAAGUUAAGCGAGAAGGUGGCCAGAGCACUCCCAUGAUGGGUGACCCACUGGGAAGUUGCUCGUGAGUUCCCAGAAACAAAAUCGUGAGGGCGUGGUCGGGGCCCAAAGCGGACAAUAUCGUGCUACGGUGGUGGAGCGGGCCCAGGAAGUGAUCUGCCCCGAGCCGGGAUGUGACAAUUGGUAUCAGAGCCUAUCCCUGGUCGGAAGUGUGUCGACUAAGACGUUAGGCUCCUAAGGGGGUGGAUUGUAACAUCCCACAUUGUCCAGGGGAGUGAUCCUUAAACGUAUAUUCCCAUCCCUACCUAGCACGAGGCUUUUUGGGAGUUUACUGGCUUCGGGUUCCAUCGGAACUCCGAAGUUAAGCGAGUAGCGAACGAGAGCACUCCCAUGAUGGGUGACCCACUAGGAAGUUCUCGUGGCACCAGGCUUUUUGGGAGCUUACUGGCUUCGGGUUCCAUCGGAACUCCGAAGUUAAGCGAGUAGCGAACGAGAGCACUCCCAUGAUGGGUGACCCACUAGGAAGUUCUCGUGUGAGUUCCCAGAAACAAAACCGUGAGGCCGUGGUCGGGGCCCAAAGUGGACAAUAUCGUGCUAGGUGGUGGAGAUGGCCCGGGAUAUGGUGUGGGCCCGGGCCGGGAUGUGAUAGCACUAGGCUGGAUUCAAUGCAACUUGGGCCUACAUGUUUUAGGUCAUGCGCUGAGCUUGGGCUGCCUUUGGCGCCUGGGCCUACUGCUCACCGUGGACUAAGGACUUGCCAAAUGUUGCCACGAUGGUGGCUGCCGUGGUGGUUGCCAUGGUGGUUGCCACAGUGGUGCCCUGUGGGAGUGGCGCCACUCCACUUGUCGUUGCAUUAAGCCUCGUGGAUCAUCAUGGUCCUAAUUCUUGAACGUUGGAAUUUUCGUUCGUCGUGGUUUCCGAAUCUCUUGCCAUCAUACUUUUCUUUUACGUUUAUUUAAAGAAUUUUUGUAUAAAAAAAAAUUCUAGAAAUGAGAACGUACGAAAAAUCUACGAAUGGACAAAAGAUUAGAAACCUUCAAUGUGAGAGUCUUCUACGAGCGUGUAAAUCAAGACUUUCAAUGAAAGCACCAAUUUGUGGAUGCAAAUUUCCGCCUUCUUCUUCUUAGACGAAAAUGCACCUGCAAAACAAUUAACACCUUAGGUCAAGGCCAAGAGCCUCAAGCGCCCACGAUGAAUUUGAGGGAAAAGUGUUUAAAGAAAUUUGGAGAAUUUUAGAAAAGAAUUGGACCUAGGUUUUUGGGAGAAAUGAGAGCUAUUUAUAAGAGUGUGGUCGACCUCUAUUUGGAGAAAAGGGGUCCGGCCACUUAUGAUGGGUUUUGGCUCUAAUUGCAAGAUAUUAUGUCAAAAUAAUAUCUUGCAAUCGAUUAGGAAAUUAAUUAGAAAAUUAAUCAAUUAGUUAGAAAAUUAAUUAAUUCAUUUUGGUAAUUAAUCCUAAUUUGAAAAAGAUAAAUAAGGGUUACGUUGUGGGGAGGAUGUGAUGAGGAUUGAUGAAAUAGGUUUUGAAUAAAUACCUAUUUUGUUCAUCUUUGAUUCAGCCAUUAUUGUCUACUUCUUGCGCGUGGGAGUUCUGGUGUGCCUCGAGGGUGAUUUUGUCUUUUUAACCCAAGAAUCCACAUGUCGCCUCUAUAUUUUUCUUGAUUAUUUUUUGCUCCACAAUCCCUAAUAUAUAUAUAUAUUAUUUGGAGAAUGUCUUGAUAUGACAAACUUAAUAAGGAAAAAAUAAGUAUCCGAGCUCUUCUCCACAAUGUUCCUUGAUUUUUUUUUUCUUUUUUUAAAAGGGAACCAACUAGUUCUAAGGGCUGAGAGGACUAGCUAAAGCAUUUUAACCUCCAUUAUUGUGCAACUCACCAGCACCAAGAAUCAAACCCACGACGUGGUGUGGAAUAUGGACUUGUAAUUCAUCCCCAACCAUUAGGCCACUCCAUAAUGGUUCACAAUGUUCUUUGAUUGAACCUUAUUAGUUUUCAAAAUUUUAUCAAGUCCUUUGUCCACAUCACCAUAUAACUUGCCAAUAGUGGUUAAUAAUGAAAUUGUAAGGAAAAUUUGUAAUAUUACAAUACCCUUGCAGAAUUUCAAAGAUGUGCUAGUUUGGGGUCCAAAUGCAAAUGGUAAGUUCUCUGAUAAAUCAGCUACUUGGAUCCAGAAAGGGACGUUGACUCAAUCUGCAAAGCAUAAGUUAAAAAGAUGUGGAAACUCAAUAUUCCUCCUGAAGUUACGAUGUUUGUGUGGUUGUUCAUUCGUGAUGGACUUCAAACAAGAAAAAGAUUAAGUCAUUUUGUUAUUAAUAGUGAUAAGAUGUGCCCUUUUUGUAAUUUCGUAGACGAGGGCCAAAUGCAUUUAUUUUGUAACUAUGGUGUCACUAAAUUGAUGUGGGACCUUUAUUCAAUUAAGGCGGGCAAUUUCACUAAUGCUAACUUUGACUCGGCAGUAGAUUGGCUAAAUUCUUUAAAGCAUGUUGAUAAGGAGGUUCCUAGUGAUUUGAGCUUGUGUUUGCUCCUUUGUUGGCAAAUUUGGAAUGACCGUAAUAAUAUGGUGUUCAAAAAUGUUGUGUCCAUCCCAACAAGAUCUAAGUUAUUGGCUAUAUCUAUGGGUGAGCGAUAUCUUAAAGCCAAUGGUAAAGGUUGGAGAAGAAAUACUAAUGAUACUUCCAUAAUUGUUAAAUGGCAUCCGCCGGAUAAGAGUUUUAUUAAAUUAAAUUUUGACAACUCGGUGGCUGGGGACAAGGCGGCGGCAGGAUUUGUCUUAAGGAAUCAUAAUGGGCAGAUUAUUGAAGGUGGAGCUUUAAAUAUGGAUGGUGCCACUAUUUCAAAAGUGGAGGCUAGGGCUCUCAAAGAGGGUCUUCUUUUUUCCCAGACAAAGGGCUAUACAAAGAUUAUGAUUAAAGGUGACUCUAAGUUGGUCAUUCAGUCAAUGUUGGACCGGGGUGCGAAACCAUGGAAUUUGGUUCCUAUUAUUGAAAAUAUCAAGUGGACGGCGACUAAUUUUGAUUGCAUUGACUGGAAACAUAUUUAUAGAGAGGCUAACUUUGUGAUCAUUUGGGAUCAUUGUACUCCUUCAUUUUCUCUUCAUGCUCUUCAGUUUGAUUUUGUAUGGAAAGGUUGUACACCUGGGCUUUCCCUUUAAUUUAUUCUUCUUGAUUAAAAAAAAUAUAUAUAACUUGCCACCUUAACAUUUUAAUAAAUAAAACGACCUAAAAUUGAGUGUUUCUAGCACGUCAUGGGUACGAUUCAUGCUUGGUGAAUAGUACGAUGGUGGCCAAGGGGAGACUAAAAUGCCUCUGUGAGUCUUUCCGACCCCCGGAAUGGUGGAUUGCCAUGGCGAAGCCACUAGCUGGUCCCCUUUUCAAAUAUUUUUUUAUCAUUCUUAAUUUAUAUUAUAUUCUUAAAUGUUACAUUCUAUUUCUCACGUUCUUUUGAAUCAUCAUCGUCUAUUCUUGUUUCCUUGUGUUCUCCAUGUUCUGACUCCCAUAUGCAGCAACACCUCCACCUAUUUCAGUCAUCAAUUUUUUUUCUUCUUAUUAGUUUUUUUUUAACCAAUAUUAACAUUUGUUGUUUAAUAUGUGGUUGUCUAUACUCAUAUAUCACGGAUACAAUUCACUAUACAUAUAUUUCUUUUGUUGCAUUGUUCUUGUAUUGGUUAAAUUUCAUUAUACAUAUUUCUAUGGUACAAUGCUUUUGGGUUGUUUUAGUAUAUGUUCCACAUAAUAAUAUAGGUACAAUUUCAUUUCGUUGCUACAUCUUAUGUACGCAUAUGCCUACGUAUCAUUAUAGGUGCAUUGUUUUUCUUUGUAAAAUGUACCCAUUUGUGAGUAGAUCACUUUUGGUAUAUUUUUAUACGAGAAAAUUGUAGCAUUGGUGCCUCAACUUUAACUCAAUUGGAGCAACGGUUCCUCAACUAAAAAUCCAUGACCAUUGGUCUCUUAACUCAUCAAAACAUAUAGAUAUGGUCUUUUUCGUUAACUCCAUCAAAAUUUCAUCAAAAUGACUCAUAUUGGAAUGACCAUUACUACAAUUGGGUUAAAGUUAAGGGACCAUUGCUCCAAUUGGGUUAAAAUUGAAGGACCAUUGCUACAAUUUUUUGUUCAUUUGAUUUUCCAUAUUUGCCCCUUAAUUCAGCCUCAUGUGUGUGACAUGUGACUAGUUUGCUUAAUAAAGUUGAUAGCACCCACUAAAUCCAUUUCAAUAAUAAGUCUAGAGACACCUUUGUCCAAGCCAAGUUUAAGACAAAAAAAUAAGCUCCAAAUCUCCGCCUCCAUAAAAUGUCCCUGCCCCAAAUUAGUAGAGAAUCCCCCUAGCCAAUCACCACAAUGAUCUCUAAUAAUGCCACUAGCCUCGAUUUGUCCAGAGGUCAUUGUUCUUGAGCAAUCAACAUUGAGUUUACACCACCCAAUAUCAGGAGGCUCCCAAGCAAGAAAGAUCUAAACUUUGUUUGGUUUCACAUAUUCUUUGCAGGACGACCUCACCCAUUCGGAAGCCGCCCUAACAAUAAGGGUUAUAGGGUCCUUGGCAUACUAAAAUUAUUAUCAAAGACAUGUUGAUUUCUCUAUUUCCAAAUAUGCCAACAAGUAAAGAGGAAUAGAAUGCACCAAGGAAUUAAAUUGACUACCUUAGUAUGCACUUUAAGAUUAACAAGUAACCAAGUUUGAAUAUUCAAGUCAGAGGAGUUUUGCAUUUGAUAAGGCACACCAAGGAAAUCCCAAAUACAUUUGGCCAUCUGACAGUCCCUGAGAUAUGGAUAAUAACCUCAACAAGAAUAGAACAAGAAUUGCAUGAUGAAUCAGAGGUUAAACCCCUCCUAGCCCAUUGUUCAUUAAAAAGCAAUUUACCUCUACUAAUCAGCCAUAGGAAAGUAUUCAACUUAAGGGGUACCUUAAUCUUCUAAAUGAAAUCCUAGAUAUUCUCAUGCCUAGACUCACAUUUAUCUAUGAGACCAUAAAUGGACUUGACGGAAAAAAUAUCAUUCACAGUGUCACUCUAGAUAAGUUUAUCUCGUCCCACACCAAGGCUACCACUAGGCCAACUAAGGAUUUUCUACACCAAAUCCUCCGAAAGCACACUUCUAAGUUUGAUAAAUCCCACCAACCAUCUUGAAAAAAUUCAAAAAUUAUGCAAUUGGAAUUUAUAAUAGUAUCUCUAUCAGUAGCAUCACUCAAGGGGUAACCUAGGACUUAAGAGUCGUUCCAAAAACUAAUUGAUUAACCAUUCCAAUUCUCCACUUCAUCCUUUUCCUCGAAAAAUCCGUAUUAUGUACAAUUCCUUUCCACGUAUAAGAGGAGUCAGAUCUCUUAUGGAUCAUUGGGUCUAAAAUAAAAAGGCCUUUAAGAUACUUCGAUUGAUAAAUUCAAGCCCAAACGCCUUGAUCUUUAGCAUGGAUUCUUCAACCAAUUUUUGCCAAAAGUGCUUGAUUCAUCUUAGAAGUCCUCUUGAGGCCCAAUCCACCCUUGCAUUUUGGCCUGCAAACAAUGCUUCAUUGAUAGAGAUGGACACAUUUAUUUUUAUCAGUGUCACCCCAUAAAAAAAUUCAUGUUCAGCUUGUCAAGAUCAACACAUAUGCUUGUAGGUAAUUUAGUAGUUUGCAUAGCAUAGUUGGGAAUGACAGAUGUAACAACUUGUAUUAAAGUAGUCCUUUCAGCCAUAAAAAGAACCUUGCUCUUCCACGAAGUUAAUUUCUUAUGCACUUUAUCCACAAUGCUUGCGUAGGUAGACUUUGUAACUCUCAUUUGAAUUAGAGGCAUUCUUAAGUAAUCAUCGAGAUUGUCAGACACAGGAUAGCCAUAAAUAGCAUUGAUGCCAUUAAUCACAUCUUUGGGAGUAUUAGGAGAGCAAUGUAAAACUGAUUUUUCAAAAUUCACAGCUUGCCCUGAAGCAAUACAAAACUUUUCAAGGCAGCUCUUGAUCAAUCUAGCUUGCUUGGGAGUUGCAUAAAAAAAAAGUAUAAGAUCAUCUGCAAAAAAAUAGAUGUGAGACACCAAGCCGAGAUUGAGAAGCCUUUACUGGUUUCCACCUCCCCUUGGUAACAUCAUUAGUAAUGAUAUGUGACAUUUUGUCAAUACAUAAAACAAACAUAUAAGGUGAUAAUGGAUCCCUUUGUCUGAUUCCAUUUUUAAGCACAAACACCUCUGUCAACCAUUAAGACAAAUUUGGUAAUGGACAGUAGAAGCACACUCCAUUAUAAGUUGAAUGAGGCUUAUGGGCAAACCAACCUCCACAAGAACAUAUUCAAUAAAUCCCAAUUUAGGCGGUCAUAAGACUUUGAAAGGUCAAUUUUUCAUGCCAAGAACCAUUUUUUUGCUUUUGGAGUUCCCAAAUUUAUAAAGGAUCUCCUAAGCCACAAGAAUGUUGUCAGUAAUAUGCCUUCCAAGGACAAAAAUAGCUUCAUUCGGGCUAAUUAAAUCAGGCAAAAGUGAUCUAAUCCACUACCAUAUGAGUAUUUACUUCAGUAAUAGGGAGAAAACCUGCCCUCCAUUUCUGUAUUGUCAAAUAUUGUCGAGCAAUAAUCCAUGGGCCACCAGUAAGUACAAACUCCCUAUCCUUUUCCAAAUCAAAUUUAGCAAUAUAGAAAUCAUGAUCCAAAUCUAUAAGUUGCAUACCUUCUUUCAAUUGCCACUUCUACUUUAGCCCAUUCAAUAGGAAAUUAUAGGUAUGUGACUUUCUCAACAACUUGAUGAUUAGUGCAUUACUCCAAGGGUGACAUAGCUUCUCCAUCGCAUUAUCUGAGAACAUGAACUUAGGCCUCUUUUCACCACGAGAAACAGUGCAAUCCGCAUUAGUUAACCUACAUCGUCAUCAAUCUCAGUCACAGAAAUGGACCCCAUGCCGAUUGGAUUGCAAAAGCUAAUCAUUGAAGCUUAUCUUUGGGUCCAAAACUAGCCCGGCCAAGCUCUUAGCCACUUCAGCAGCAAGACCAUAAACACGCUUUAAUGCACGGAUAUCGAACGCAUUAGAUUCAACCUAAAAGGGAAGAGAACUAGACUCUCCACCCAUCAUCGUCAACCUUAUCGCCGCUAUUUCACCCGACUUCACCACCGCAACACAGUAGCAAAAGAGAGUAAGCUGCUUAUUUGAAUGUCAUCUAUCAAUGUUUUGUAGCAUACUAGUUUAGGUGAGAUAUGGAGUUAGAAUGAGAUUAUCAUGGAUGAUAUUUCAAUUAUAUGGUAGAUACCGACAAAUGAAAAGUGAUAAUAUUGAACCUUGUUCUGUCAAUUAGUGACAAAGUAGAAUUGAUUGGCCUACUCAAAUUACAAUCCAGGUUGAAUUAGACUCCUUACCAAAGAAUGUUUGGACAUGUCAUUCCUACACUUCCAAAUGCAAUCAUGUUGUAUUACAAGUGCAAAAAGAGCGUAAUGAGAUGGAUAAAAUAAUGUGACGCAUGCCUUAUGGCACAAGGUUUCUCUCAAACACCUUGUGAAUGAUUGUAGCAUUAUAAAUGUGGUUAGCACUUUCUCCAUUGGGGUAUUGCUAUGGAGAUUUACAUGUAAGAUCCCGAAGAAUUACAUGAACUAGUUCAAAUAGUUAUACACCACAGAACACCCUCUCAAUUCAAAUUAGGCAUUUACUUACGGACUAAAACAAUUCGAACGAAUUUGGUAUACCCGUUUAAGUGAUUAUUUGAUUAGUCUAGGAUAUGAAUAAAUUAUGCCCUUACGUGUUAACCAUGAAGUAUUUUGAAUUGCUAGAGCUACAGUUUAUGUUCAUGACAUGAAUCCCACUAAGACUCUAGAAGAGCUCAAGAAAACUGUCUCACACCUGAAGACAUAAUUUGAGAUGAAGGAUCUUGUGAAAACUUGAUUAUGUCUUAACCUAAUGGUUGAGCAUAGUUCAGAUGGUAUUCUCACUAGUCGAACUACGCUCAGAAAGUGUUGCUUUUGAGUACACCCACGAUCGUACAUAAGCAAAGUGCAAAUGAGAUCCAUGAAGAGGUUGUGGAACCCAAAAUUCCAUAUCUAAGCUCAACUUUUCACUUUGUUCUACUUAGCACAUUACAUUAUACAAGACAUCUCUUUCGUUGUUCAUCUGUUGGUAAAGAUAAAGCACUGAGCCUACAUGGCGCUACUAAAUUGGUAUUAAAGACAUUUUUUCUUUCUAUGGAUUUGGGCUUAUCCUAGGCAUCCCGAGCAAGUCCAACCCCUUGAUCCUCAUAAUGAUGCUUGUCUUAUUCAUUAUGCUGAUGUGAUUACUUAUCAAACUCCCAGAAGAAACGUUCCCAAAUCAUUAUGCCUUUACUAUUAAGGAUACCACAAUAUCCUGGAGUUGCACGAAAUAGAUCUUAGUUGCUAAAUCUUCUAAUUGUUCCAAGUCUCAUCGCACCUCACUACACUAUACAUGGGAAAUAUAGUUGAGAGCUCUUAUUGAGCAUUUUUUAAGUAUUUGCGGUUUUUCAUCCAUCGUUGAGUCCCAAAGACGACCCAUGAAGACAAUGCGACAUGUAUCGACUACCCCAAGAUAUGGUACAUCAACAAAGUCAAUACCAAGUAUAAUGCGGUCUCAUCACAUCAAUAAAGCAUCAAAACAUUGAAGUCAACCAAAUUCGCUCCAAAGACAACUUAGCCGACCUCUUCACAAAGUCAAUGUUGAAGUUUACCUUCCAGAAGCUUGUUCAAGGAAUUGGCAUGUGUAAAUUGUCUAAUUUCCAAUGCUUGUAGUUCUCAUUUGGAAGUUUGUCAAACUCAAGGGAUGUAUCCAGAGGUAUACUCACUUGACCUUAAUGUAUCUUUUUUCCUACUGUUAGGAGCAUUUUGCCCAUUGAGUUUUUGCUACCUGAUAAGGUUUUAACGAGGCACCCAUCCUAGGCUGGUCAAUACUGUGGAGCCAAAAAUAAUCGAGAAAAUUAUGGAGGUGACACGUGGACUUUUGGGUGAAAUGGACAAAAUUACCCUUGAGGCACACUGAGAUUCCCAUGCGCAUGCAACGGACAAUAACGGCUUAAUCAAGGAAGAGUCAAAGGUGAUCAAAAUGGAAUUUAUUCAAAUCCCCCUUAUCACUCCUCAUAAAAUCCUUAUUCAAAAGGUAACUCCCAAAACUUCCUUUUUAAUUUGGGAUUAAUUACCAGGUUAAUUGCAAGAUAUUAUUUCACAUAAUAUCUUGCAAUUAUUCUCCAAAUACACCAUAUAUGGCCGGCCACUAUUCUCCAAAUAGGGCCGGCCACUCCCCUAUAAAUAGCCCUAUUAUCCUACUAAAAAAUUAAGUCAUUUGCUACCCACAAACUCCUAAACACAUUCUUUUUUAGAAUUCUAACUUUGGCAUCGGAGAUUCCUCGGCCAAAGCCCCCCAUUCAUCGUGGGAGCGUGAGGCUUUUGGCCUUAAUCUUAGGUGUUAUUAUUUUGCAAGUGCAUUUUCGUCAAAGGAGAAGAUGGCAAAAAUUUGCAUCCACAAAUACCAUUGUGUGUGUCCUACUUGCGUCAUGAAGGAGUUUAGUUUUGACUUAAUACAACUUCUCACUUUUCUCCUUAGAUUAUGAUUUUUAUCCUACAUUGGGUUUUACCUUAGCGAGGUUUUGUGAAUUUUACUACCUAUGCAUUCUUUCAAUGUUUUGAGACUCACGUUCGCUUAUUGUGUUGACUAGACGAGACGACUUCAUCAACUGCUUCUAUACCAUCCAUGAAGAUCUAAUGCACCCUGUACUUGAGCAUUUUCAUACUAAAGGGGGGCAGUGUUGUGACAUUAAUUCUGACACAUGUGUGAUUGUGUGAAUCCUUGGUACAUUUGGUUUACUCUUUCUGUUAGCGAUUCUUUCCUAUUGGGAUUUGUAUUACUUGGAGAGCAAGUUUUUUCUCCUCAUGGUUUACUAUAAAUAAAGGCAUAGGCAAAGAGAAAUACACAUUCAAUAAAUUCCUCAGUUCUCUCUCUCUCUCUCCUCUCUCGCACCACUGAGAGAAAAUAGGCUACAACAUUAUUUGAGUUUGUGAGAUUGUUAGAGAUGUUAUCAUAAACCCUCAAUUUUAACUAAAACUACAAAUAUUAUUUUAUUAUUAUUAUUAUUAUUAAAUAGAUUGGAGAAUGGAAUUAUGCAAGAUUAGCUAUUUAAUAAUAGUUACAAGCAAGGCAUCUACACUCUCAAAACGAGAGAAGAGUAUUACACCCAGAAACUCUUGCUCUACCCUCUUUUAAAUUAAAUUUGCGGAAAUUAGUUUAUAGAACAUUUAGCACUUAAAGAGAAUGGAGGAAGGAAGAAUAAUGUUCUUGGCUUAUUUUAUCCUGCAGAAAUAUUCUCCAUGUAGAGACGAAUAGGUGAGUUUCUAGAUUAGUCAAGUAAGCAUUCAAACAGAGAUGCCUAUCUUGGUUCAAACAUCUUAUUGUUGUUUUAGUAAAUCUAACAGGAUACAUGACUACUGUGUAUAUGUACGCAAAUAUUAGAUGCACUGGAUCUCAUAAGUCACCUUGUUUAGGUUCGAAACACUUUGAAUUUUUGAGCUUAAUACACAUUGUCGUUCAUCUGUCACUUCUGGUUGACUGGUCAGCAUAAAAUCUGAAAACCUCAGGACUCUAAUUGAAUUGACCGGUUUGUUCAACCAGUAACUAGUAUAUUCAUAAAACUUUCCAACAAACAAUGGGUUCGAUCUGGUCUUUCAUGGUUUAGAAAGUAGCUGGGACAAAUACCUGCUUUGUAUUCUCUUUUGCUGCCCCCACCCACCCAUUCUAAAACAAAUCUUUUCAUAGACUAGUAAUGAACCUGUUUACUAUUAUUAAUGUGAGCAAGAACAAUUAAGUAAUUCAAACAGCAGUAUUAGCACCCUUCCCAACUUCUAAUCCUGGUUUUCUCUUAUCUGAUGUAGAGUUCAGCUCGAAUACAAACAUAUUGAUAUAUUGUUGCUCAUGGGCUUUGUAUUAGCAUGCACUUUGCAUCUUUGCAGCAAGUGGUAAGCCCAAAGAGAUUGAAUAAGUAUUUCAAGCAUGUUUCAUAUAACUGCUCAUCCAAAUAUUAACUGUGCCCAAUGUAUUGAUAGAAGAGGCCUGAGAGAGAGAUGUGACCAAGGAAAUAACAUAUUUUUGGAAUUGUUAGAAAAGUAUACGAGGUUGUGCAGAUUUCAAUAUUUUGGGAAAAUGACUAGAUUGGAAUUAUGUAGUUGGAAGCACACUUGCUAGCUUGCAUUGGCAUUUACUAACAAACAUUAAUCUUCUUGUUCUUUUUGUUGGGUGACAAGACGGAUGGGAGGAAGCACAACAAUGCAAAAACACCUAGGCCUGCGGCACCCUAAUAAUUAAAUGGUGACUGACUGGCUUGAAGCUGAAGACCGAAAGACCGAUUAGGAUUGCAGUGCGAAAGAUUGAGACUCUGUGAACUUAUUGCAAUUCAGUCAUACCAUAUAUCGAAGAAUUUCAUUUUUGUGGUAGUGUUUUUUUGGUGAUUGGUGAUGGAAAUGAUAGAGUGAAAUUUCUAUGCUUCCUAAAAAUGCAGCCAUAUCAGGAAAAAAUGGACACAAUCAGUGAUCAACAUGAGAUAUUCUCACUAUCUAAUGGACGGAUGGUGUACAAUAUAUUGGUUUCAAAAGAGUUUCUCACAGAGGAAUUAUGAACCUGCAACCAUCUGCUAACUUUGGCCAAGCAUGCCCUCUAUUUAUUUUUAUAAAUGAAGAAAAUAACAACCAAAACAUGUGCUACACAUGUUUCAUGUUAUUGAUGGCCUGGUUUAGAAUACUAGUAUCGAAUGGUUCCAAAGAAAUAGUAUAGGCAACUACGCUCCUGUGCUUCUCAUUAGCAGAAUGGUUAAUGGGGCCAAGGAGCCUGUUUAAGACAAGGAAUUAAAAUAAGAGCAUGAUUUGAGAGAUAAAAUUCCAAGUCCAUACGGUACUACUAUGCUUUUAUAUAGUUUCUUCCCUGUCUUGAUCUUUUGAUGGAUGUGGAGGUUAUGAAUAUUACGAUGCAUAAGGAAUUAAGAUCAACAACAAAUUAUAUGCAUUAGCAAUCGACAAACACCUGGCGACAAAUUUGAGUUUAACAUACUCUUUAUUUGUCUUACCAUUGUAAUUUAUAAUUUUCUUGUUGGCUUAUCUGUGAUGCAUCUCCUUCGAAAGUAAGUACAAUAAAUUUCCAAUAGUUCUUGCAUGAGUUAGUCAUAAUCAUCACGUACUUUUUAAAUUUCAAUCAAUUGCCUAAGAAGAUAAUGAACCAGUGCACUCAAAUAUGGAGCAACCAACGUUUGAAAAUUUCCUAUAUACACCAAUGUAAUGCGUGAUGAGAACAGUAUCUCGAUUGUCUAUUUAUUAAAGUGACAACUUAAUUAGAAUUUCAAUAAUGAACAGAGUGAAGAUUUUUGAAGAAACACGCACGAAAGUUGAACUAUUAGUCCUACUUGAGCUUUAAACCAUGGAAAAGCCAAUGUGGCUGCUUUCUUUCUUGGUCACAUGUCGCACUAGAGCUGCUCAUGGGAGUUGUGGGAUCACUGCUAUCUCCUCCUCUAUCUGAUUUGAAUGAGGCAGGCGAAUCGAGUUCUUUUGCUUUAUGGAUCAGUUCUGAACAUCCCGACUGAGGCUGGUAAGAUUUCGAUCUCUUCCUGUUCUUGCUACUUCCGAUGCUUAAUGAAAGCUCCACUUCACUAUCUUCAUCACAGCCAGUUACACUCUUACUUUUGAGGGACAUGUGAGAGCUUGGCCCUGCUUGUUCUUGGUCAAUUGUACUGAAUCUGGUUGAGAUGUCUUCCUCGGCAGGCCUUUCAAGGUCAAAUCCCCUUGACAUUCUCAGAGUGUCUCCCGAGCAACUUCCACUACGCUCUCUAGAGUUCGGAUCAUCCCUCAAUCUCUGAAAAUGGAAAUUAUAUCCAGAAGAAGUUUGAGUUAUUGAAUGCUGCCAGUUAAUCCACUGAGAUUGGUUAAUGUGAUCUGCACUACUGGUUAUUGGGCCGCAAAGUCUAUUUUGUUUAAUCUUUUUCUUCAGUUCAUCCAUUAGCAUCUUUUGUACACUGUACAGACGGUGUAGCUCUCGAAUCUGCAAUAUUUGGUUUUUUGGUUAGGACUGCUGUCAUCAGUUUCAAAAAUACUAAAUCUAUGAGACAAAAACAAUCUGAUCUGACAAGUAUAAGACUUAGGAUCUAAUAAGCAAAAAAGGUGUAAUCAAAUUGUGUCUUGGAGUAAUUUGACUGGUUUGCUUAUCCAGAAAGGUAUGGUUGGAUGAGAAAUUUAGAUGUCGGUGACUGAAUGGCUAUAAAAUCAACUUCCCAAAGCUUAAUAUUUGCAUUUCCAUGAAAACCAAAAGAACUCAUGCUUUGUGGAACAUGAUCAGCAUACAAUUCGAGCUGAUACAUGCAUUAAAGUUGAUCAUACCUGGUGUUUAAACGUAUCUUCAUGCAUCUGCAUCGUACUUUUUAUGGUAUCCAUGUUGUGCUUGUCCAGCGUCCUGUCCAUCGAGUUCCGAAGUGUGCCCCUCAACUCUAGCCUUCUGAUACUUCUCCUUCAGCCCAGUUUUCUGAAAAUAGUCCCAGUCAUCCACCUGAUGCACGGUUAAGCUGCAGCUAUUUUGUGACCUUCCUAAAAUAUUGAUGGCAUACUCAAUUUUCAUUCCCAUUCCUGGAGUAAUAUAACAGUUAAAAAAUGUUGGUAACUACAGGGAAACAUAUAAUUUGAGGAAACACACCGAACUGUUAUUAUUGUAUUAUGAGAUCUGCCACAGUAACUCUUUUUUCCAAACAAUUGUUAUAAGAUUAAACUUUGUGUACAAGAUAUCAUUUACAAAGCAAUGAACAGAAGAAAAUUAAAAUUUAGAAAAAAAGAACUUUUACUGAUUUGAGUGGAGUAGGUAUGAUAUAUAAACCCACUAAAUGAAGGUGGAAACACAGUCUAGUUGGACACCAGGUCUACUACUUAUCCUACCGCGUCUAACACCAAGGAAUAAUUGAAUUGGUGUGACCAUUUUUGAAUUAUCUUGAAUCCCAAAUGCAAGUGAACAAAUCUAACCCAUCAGGGUAGUGGAAAUCUAUCUCUCAAAAUUCACUGACAGUUGGCUUUUAUAUACUACAUUCGUGCUCCAAGAUUUUAUUUGUUCCCUUUUCGGUGUACAAAUUCAAGCAGCAUUUCGGAAUAGGACUCUUGUUCACUACAUGACCGAAUAUGUCAAAUAAAGGGACUUUUUUUAAGGUGUUGGAUGAAGGAUGAACAAAAAAGAAUGGCCCAGAAUUGUGUCACGGCAGCUCCGAAAGUGCGUAAUCCGAAAGUUACCAGACACAAAAAGGAGGAAAAAGGAAAAAUGGGAUGUGGGCAAAUAGUGAGACCAGAUAUGGAAUGUGGGUGGUCUACUCUAUUUUUCCUUUGUUAGUACAAUAUUGCUGCUGGUGUAAUCACAGUAGCCUUCAUUUUUAUCAAAUUGCUCUCCACAAGUGCCCACCUCUUCCUGUUUCUAUUGAAGCUGAAGACUUUAUAUACAUAUGCUGAAUCUACAUUGCAUGAAAUAGAAAAUAAAAAGGAUCUGCUGCAAUUCACAAUUAAGCACGGUUGAUUAUCUAUGAAAAAAAAAAAAAAAAAAAAAAAAAGGAUCUCUUUCACCUUUAACUGUUUUGGCAUAUAUAGAUAUAUCUCUAUCCAUACACAGAAACCAACUAUUAAUAUUCAAGAAUUAUGAUUUCCCAGACGACCAGAACUUCCAAAAAUGGCUCAAAAUAUAUGAGAACAGGAAGGAAAAGAAAAGCAAGAACAUCAACAUCUAGGCUUACUGAAUCAUGGAAACUUUUGUUACAUACAGUUGAGGUAUAUUUUUAGUAUCACCUGAAAUAGAAAGAGCAGCAUAAGUGGAGAUUGUCUAGUGUGAGGCUCAUUGAAAGGUUUGCUUCUUCAUACCAAUAAUACUAUGACAUUGGUGAACCAAAACAACCCAAUAAGUAGAGAAUUAAGAUAAGCAUCCAUCAAUAUCAUCAGUCAUUUGAUCUUCCGUACUAAUCGGAGUGGAGUGGACGGAGCAAUCUAAGCAGUGCAGCUAGCAAAUAAUUUGAGCCUCCUCCUCCUACGGGUAUUAAUUGGGAGAAGAUUCUUGGACACCUCUACACCAGCAAAUCUCUUUGGGAGGGCAAGGCAGGCCAACAUUAAUUUUUCCAAGCUCCCCACUGAAUUUAAUUAGAGAAACAACAAAGCAACAAACCCCAUCCUCCCUUACUCCUCUCACUAAUUAAACAAUUCUUAAUCAUGUUCUCGGUCAUGUUAAUAAUUCAGGAUUGACAGGCUGUGAAGUUAGGAGGCAUGGCAAAAAAAUGGUAAAAUAUACCUAUGUCUUGGUGUGCACAAUAUUCAUAUAUACUGAGAGAGAGAGAGAGAGAGAGAGAGAGAACGAGAUAAUUAAAAUUUUGUUAAAUAUUAUUCAUACAUAGUAUUGUUUGAUGCUGUAUUUUAAUUUUAUAUAUAUUUGAUUUGUAACAUGGAGAAGAUCAAAUUUGUGGGGUCCACAGAAGCGUCAUAUAUGAUGGAAACCAAAUGACAAUCCUAAUACAUGCGCCGAGGUGGGCUGGACAAGAUAUUCCAGACAAAGUCUUACAAAACAUCAAAGAUUUGUAUGAAAUAAUAUUGAUGGAAACCUGGUGCUUCUUUCCCAGAACAACACCAAUCUUAUUAUAAAUCUUAUAUUUUCCCCAGUAUACAAAUAAAACGAUCCAUAUUUGAUUAUAUCUCCGUACCAUGAAACAAUAUCUAAUCCAGGUUGUUAUUCGAGUUUUUAUGAUAGUACAAAAUGCAGAUGUUGGAGUUCCAUAAUUGUAUUUUAAAUCCCCUUGCAUAAGCAAGUAAAUCAUCUUCUCUGAGAGUUAUUUUAUAUCGGUAAAUUUGAUAUACAUUGUUGACUUAUUGCUUAACAUCUGAAAGUUUUUCGAGGCUAGUAACAAUAUCUGAAUAAGAUACCACAUAAAUAUUUUUCCAUAAAAAGAGGAAGGAAAGUUUUUAAUUUUUUUUUUAAUAAUUUGGAGACCAAUUCUAUUAAUUAUUCAGGUUUUGAGUUUUUUGACAGCUAGCCAUGAUUCGAUCUUGGGUUAAGGUUGCAUCUGAAUUAAUGCAUAGUAUAUGGGGUCUUAAACUAGAUUAAACCACCUACCAUAGUUCCAAAUUUAUCAAUAUGGGUUCCCGAAGUAUUUAGGAAAUGAUAGAGAAAAGAAUCUAAUAUGUGUCUUAAUCAAAUCCAGAAAGCCUUAUCCAUGCCUUGUCUAAAGGGUAAUUUUCAAUUAUAAACAUGAAAGAUUAAGAAACCAAAUCCAUAACGUUUGUUGCUUAUGUGUAAACUAAACAUGCAGAUUCAGUAAUUAAUCAUUGGCAUCUGUUCUUAGGGGCAACGAUUUUCAACCAUUUUUACUUUAAUCUUCUAUGUAUUUCACAAAAAUAAAAACUUGCAUCGUCCUAUAACGGGGUGCACAUAUCUCUUCAUAUGCAAAUAACGUGUCUUGAACAUAUAAAUUCAACGAUCGGAACCAUUGAAUUUCAUUAUAUGAAGAUCACUCUUACAAAAAAAACAUUUGAAUAAAAAAUCGUUUAAUCAUUCAAGCGUAUAAAAUAAAUGAAUGGUUCAUCAAGAAUAUAUUACUUGAUACAUACACCGGUUAUUUGUUAUAUACAUUUCCAUGACUAAAUGAUUUCUGAUUCAAAUGAUUUUUAUAGGGGUGAUCUUUAAAUGAAGAUUAAGAAAUUGAACUGUUCUGAUUAUGAAAUUUGUACGGUGAAUAUACAUUAUUUGCAUGUGGGAAAUUAGUUCAUUCCUUAAAAGGGAGAAUGAAAGUAUUAUCCCAAAAAAUAAUAUGGUCGAUCGAGGCAUAAGAUAAAAUGAUAGUGUGAAAAUCAACAAUUAUCUGCUUGUUGUGAGCUUAUCAAUAUUUAAAAAAUUAAAAAUUAAAAAAAUUAAAAACUUAAAAAAAAAUUUAAAAAAAAAAAACCGAAAUUUGAAAUAAUCAAGUCUAAUUCAAUCCUUAAGAAGUAACCAAUAGAUAGUGUAGUUUAAAUGUUUGGAAUUUUACUUCUCCAAAAGAUUGAUGCAAAACAAUUAUAAACCAUAGAGAUUAGAGAUGAGGGAAGGGGAAACUUGGCACACAUCACUUUCAUCAAAAACAUAAAAGGGCCAAAAACAUAGCUGUUCCAAGCGAUUAAAUAAAAAUCCCACGGUAGCUUCAACUACAUAUGACGUUGAUAUAUAUGAGAAAAAAUAUGUGAACGUGGAUUUGGAUUUGGAAGUGGGCAUGCCUUUGCCUUUGCCUUCUCUUCUCUAAGACUUUUUCUAGUGUAGAUUUAAGUUACCACUUAGUAUCUCUCAGACACUGGAUGUUUUAAUCUUGUCCACAAAGUCGAAUGGGAAGGUUACAACGAAAAGUGCCUAUUUUUUAGCUUGGAUUGGUGGAGAAGUCAAUGGACAAGAGAAUAGCAGUUCUUCGAUUACACAUGAGGUGAAAUUUUUGUGGAAGGGUUUGUGGAGAGCUCGGGUACCUGAGAAAGUAAAGAUUUGCGUGUGGCGAUGUUGUAUGAAUGUGUUACCAACACGGGACAAUCUAAAAAUAAAGAAAAUCACUACGGAUGCUGCAUGUAUGUUCUGUAACGGUGAAGAAGAAAGCUUGGUGCAUUUGAUGAGGGAUUGUCCUAGAAUGACUUCGAUUUGGUUAAUAAGCCCCGUUGGGUCUAUGGAGUAGAAUAGACACCAGGGGACAUUUGGUGGAUUGGUUCACAAGACUGGCUAGUGAUUUAUCAAGAGAAAGCUUUGAUUUGUUACUUGUGAUUAUUUGGAGCAUUUUGAAGGAACAUAACUCGUUUUUAUGGCAAGGAAAGGCUCUUGAACCGUUGGAGUUGGUAUCCAGAGGACAAAGUUGGUUACAGGAAUUCCAGUGUUGGCAUGGGAAGAAUCAAACAUGCAGCAGCAACAAACCAAAGAAAUAGAAGAAACUGGAAUUGGGCUGGGUAAAAUGUAACUUUGAUGCGGCCUGGGAUGAACAACAUGAGGUAAGUGGUGUUGGGGUGGUGAUUCGAAAUGAGAAGGGGGAGUUUAUAGCAACAAAGGCGACACAACACACUGCUAUUUGUUCCCCGCAGCUGGCUGAGAUGAUGGCAGCAAGGGACGCGGCUAUGUUUGUCAAGGAGUGGCAAUUCCCAGCUUUGGUUCUUGAAGGUGAGGCUUUGCUUGUGAUGGCAGAACUAAAAAUUGAAGGAAGUGAUGACACCUCACAUUUUGGAAACAUUCUAAAUGACAUGUAUUCAAUUGUCCAUUCAUUGCCAAAGUGGAAGGGAGACGAACAAGGUGGCACACAGGCUAGCGCGUAUGAGCUUGAGUUAUGGAAACGCUGUGACUUAGUUUGAGGAACCCCCUGAUGUAAUUCUUGAUCUUCUCUUUGAGGAUAGUAAUUCCUAAUUAUUUAUGUUGGUGCGGGAUACUCUUUUUCCCCUAGAUCGGGUUGAAAACCCCGUCAAGGUUUUUAUCGAUGCCCUAUGUUAGCACCCUAUCCUCAUUGAUGUACGUAUCCAUUUCUUAUUAAUGAAUAUUGUACCUUUUCAAAAAAAUAAAAUUUGUUAGAUCAUUUAACCUAAGAGAAUUUAAUGACUCUUGCUUAAAAAUGUAACUUAUAUUUGUACCUUUGAUGUGCAAAUAUAGAAAAUUCAUCCCUUCUCUUGUCUUGUACUUGUGUGGCUUCUCAUUAUCUGAUUCUUAUGGUAUCAUGAGCUUCGGUCAUCGUCUGUAUUGGUUGUACUCCCCUUAUUGGACGCAAUUUCAUAGUUUCAUGAGUGCGCUUGAACAUGCGCUAAUUCCACACGAAUGCGUACUUUUACAUGGGUGAUGCUAUCCAAACACCUAUUUUUACCUCUCACACACUUCUCUUAAUUUUCAGCCGUCAAAUUGUGUGAAUUGAAGAAGAUCAAUUGACAAAAAUUAGUAAGUGUGCGUGAUAAGUAAAAUGGGGUGUGUGAAUAGCACUAUCCCUUCUACAUAUGCAGUUUGCUAGUUUGGAUAACUAGGGUUUUUCUAUAACUAUUUCAUUUUUUUUUAUAUUUUAGUGUUUAUGUGUGAGAUAAUAAAAAAAUGAGAGUUUUAAUGAAAAGUGUUUGGACCAUGUUUCUUUUAAUUUUAACAAAAAAUUAUCCUAUAACUUUAUUUAAUAAAAAUGGCUUAAAUUUGAAUGAAAAUAACUUAAAUUUUAAUGAAAAUGACAAAAAUUUAUUAUAAUAAAAAACUGAUGUGCAGGACCCUGCGCGUCAAUCACACACUUUUACUCCUCUCCCUCACUAUUUCUUAAACUGAACACUAACUAUUUUUGAAACUAAACACCGACUAUUUCCAAAAACUGAACACGGGUACUAUCCUUAUUUCUUAAACUGAAUAGGGACUAUUUCUGAAAACUGAACACCGAUAAAUCACUAUUUCUUAAACUGAACACUAGUACUGUUAUUAUUUCUUAAAAUAAACAUUGACGGUUUCUUAAACUAAACACAUGUACUACAAUUUCUUAAACUGAACAUUGGUAAUAUCACUAUUUCUUAAACUAAACACUGACUAUUUCUGAAACUGAACACGGGUUGGUGUGCACCUAGCACAUGCUUUUGGUCGGAUUUUUUUUUUUUCCUUUUUUUUUCUUUUGUCCUUGUGAUUAAAUAAAGUUAUUAGAUAAUUUUGAUUAAAAUUCAAAGUAUAAAGUCAUUUUCAUUAAUUUUCCUUAAAAAAAAUGGAAGGAUAUAGAAGUGAAAGGAGAAUAGUGGGAGAGAUGUAGGAUUGUGACCACAUAGGUUUUAAGUCAUUAUAAAUAGUUAGAAUUUGACUCUUCUAUCCUUAUCUCUCUUUCUCUUUCUAUGAAUGUCAUAUGAGCUUUAAGCUAUUAUAAAUAGGGAUUUAGAUCCUCUUUGGAUCACUUUUGUGGGGAUCCUCCGGACUGAAUGAUCUCAUCAAUUGAUACAAAUCCAACGGCCAAAAUCUCCUCCUUCCCCUCGUCCCCUCAACUCUUCUCUUUCUCUCUCACCUCGAAUCUCUCAACCUCAAACCACCAAACAACCCACCCAACCCACAACCCCCAAUUGUAGGUCCCUCACCUUACCCUCCCCAAAGUCAGCCGCAGCACCUCCACAUGCCUCAAUUGUAGAUCCCUCGACCCUUAAAUCUCAGUCGAUGUUAAUGAAACAACAAAUAGAGGGGUCAUGCAAACUGGUAUCUUUUGGUAGCAGGGAUCAUUUUCAUAAAUAUGAAAAAAUUAUAGAGAUAGAUAAGCAAAGUUAUAGUAGAGAGAGAAAUCUCAAAUACGAAGAAGAAGAAAUAUGGGACAAAUAAAAUGCUAAAACAGUAAGAGAGAACAAAAAUAAAUCAAACUUAGAGCACAAAUGAUCUGCAAUUGAAUUUGGGGUUUUUCAAUAGCACAAACUCUAUCUCUCUCUCUUUGCUGCCGCACCAUUCUCUCUCCCGCUCUAUAAUUCUUUAGAUAAAUGAGCCUAGAACACGUUAUUAGCACAUUCUUGCAUGACGCUAAGGACCUAAAGGUUCGUGAAGGAGGUUCUUCUACAUUUUCAAAGGCUCAAUUUUGUUUUCUACCAAUCAAGCUCUCCUAAAACACAAUUUGAUAUUCUCUACGCCCUAAUGGAACAAUAGUAUCAGAACAAAACCAAUAACAUCCCUGGACUAGCUAUUGUCUUGUGAAUGCUUCUGGCUGAGAGUAGUAAUGGAACAUAUUUGAAGUACUUGUGCUCUCUCUUCCGUUGUUGACACCCCUACAAGAAUUUAUGAAUACAACGCAACAUGUAUCGACCAGAUUAAGAAGGGAUAUAUCAAAGAAGACAACAUCAAGCACAUUGCGCUAAAAUUAUUCUUUUCAUAUUAGCAAUAAAAGCAUCAGAAUAUUGAAGUCAAGCAACGCUGUUCCCAGGACAACCUGGCCGAUCUCUUCACAAGUCAUUGCCAAAGUCUACUUUUCAUAAGCUCAUCCAAGGAAUCAAAAAGCGUAAAUUAUAUGAUUUGAAUUGCUUAUACUUCUCAUUUUCGGAAGUUUUGUCAAACUUAGGGGGAGUAUCUAGAAGUAUACUCACUCUAUCUUAUUGUACGCUUUUUCCCUACGAUUAGGAGAAUUUGUCCUACUAGGUUUUUGCUACCUAACUAGGUUUUAAUAAGGCAUCCAUCCUAAGCUAGUCAUACCCUGAUGAGAUUUCCUACUUUCAUCUUGUAUGAUGUUUAGUUUUGACAUUAUGCAUACUUCUCACGUUUCUCCUUAGUCUAUGAGUUUUUCUCCCAUAUCGGGUUUUGUCAUGGCAAGAUUUUGUGAGUUUGCAUAGUUUCAUUAAUUUAAACUCGCAUUUGCCUAUUGUGCUGACGAAUUCAUCAACUGAGCUUACUUUAUCGUUGAAGACCUAAUAUGACAUUUUGUUUGAUUAUUUACACACUCGAGGGGAAGUAUUGCAGUCCUAAUUAAGUUAGGAAUGUGAUUGUGAAAAUUGGCAUACAACAGAGGCCGAAUUAUACAAGUGAUAUUCUACAUUAUAUUUAUCUAAACUACCAACGAAGAGAAUUCAAAUUCAAGUGCAAAAGGGAUAACACACCUGCCAACUUAGCUAAACUCAAGUCUACAAUUCUAGGUCAUCUUUGUGACCAUAAAGUUGCUUGAUUUUGAUCUCUAUAUAUAUGGUUAAAAAGUUAUCAAUCGUAUCUCGGUAUAGUGAGUUACCAAUUUUGGUCCAAUCGAGAUUUUAACUGUCACUUCAAAUUGCGUGAGACUCAGAUACAGGUUAGGAUAGUUUAGGGAUAAAUGAUGGGUAGGAAGAGAUAUUGAUCUUUUAUAAAAUUUAGUGAGGGGUAUUGCUAAAAAAAAUUAAAAAAAUUCGUGAGGGGUAGAUAUAGAGGGUUGGGUGAGAAAAUAAUGGAAGGGUGGGAAUAAAAACAUUUUUUUAGUUGGGACUGAAAUUACACUAAGCGAAUUCGAAUCAUUUAUUACGACUAGUUUAGUGUGAAGCUUAGCCCAUUUUUCACCUUCUUAAUAUAGAUAAUAUGAUUUAUUUAAAAAUAAAAAAUGAAAAUAAAAAAAUAAAAAAAAGACUAUAAAAAACCCGAAGGCCAUGUUUGGUACACAAAAAGAAAUUCAUGUGAAUAAAUUUUCGUCUUUUAAUAAAAAUGAUAUUAUGUACAUUAAGGGGGUGGGGGAGUGAGUUAAGCCUCACAAUGAGCUAGUAAUAAUGUGGUUCAAAUUCACCUUUAGCGAGAAUUAAACUUAAGACAUCUCAAUUACCAGUGAAAAGAAAUACCACGACCUUAGUACUAAGUGGCUUCAUGUCUUUUUUUUCUUUUAAGCAUGUGAAAUGGAAGAUUCGUUUCCAUUUUUUUUUCCAUAAAAUAACCAGGAAAUUUGAUAAAAAUAAAUAAAAAAAACCGGGAAAUGCCACUUUUAUGGGGCAAUAUUGGUCAUAGAAAGACUUAAUGGUAUAUUAUUUAACUUUCAAUUAAAAUCCAAACUGAAGAUAAUUCAAUUAAAAUGUUAUAUAACAUUGUUGUUAUACACUUUUUUUUCAUUUUUUAUAAGUUUAUUAUUAUUAAAGGGAAGAGUUGGAAAUUAUUUCAAUAUUUCAUGAUAAGAGGGAGUUUCGAAUUUAUGACGUAUGAGUGGAAACUCAAUACCCUAUCUAUUAGGAUAUUAGACCACAUGCAUUGUUGUUAUACACUUUGAUAACAUAGUGUUACCUACAAAGUAAACAACAAAACUUUUGUUAAGAAUAUAAAAACUUUGAUGGAGAAUAUCUCAUGCUUUAUUGGAUGGUGUAAAGUAAGCCCCCACUAAAGAAGAUUUAUGUAUUUUUAAAUGCUUAUUUAGUUUAAUGCUUAAUGUACCACCAUUGUAUCUAAUGUUUGAACUGUAAGCUGGCAAUUGAAAUGGAGAACAAUGAGCUGACUGAGAAUUUGAUUUUCUGCUUGGUCCGUAGUCCUACAAAGCUUGCGACACAAUCAAUAAAAUAACUGCAUAAUUUAUGAAAUACUUAAACCAUAAAAUAAUCUAUUAAUUUAAAACCAUCCAACUUGGACGGCUUCAUGCAUUGCAUGGGCGGUUUUGGGUUGGCCACGUGAACCAUCCACAUGACAAAUAAUCUCAUCGCCACUUAAAAUACGAAUAAAUAUCUAAGACCAGAGAGAGAGGAGAUAUUGUAUUUUCCAUUUUUCUUGGAGAGGAUACUGCCAUUUCCUGAAUUCCAAGCUAUCAAAUAUUUGUGAUUUCAUUUGUUUGUUUUGGUAGCUUUAGAGAUUUACUAAUCAAUUUAAUAUAAUAUGUCUAUAUUGAGAAUCCAAUUCCUUUCGCAUGAACUUUCAUGUAUAAAUCCUCUUCGCACAAAGGUGUGACAGUCUACAUAUUUCGUCGAUUUAUGGGUUGUUAUAACAAAGUUAAUUGCAAAAAAGAAUUCAAUUAAUGAGUUUUAAUUUUUAAUAUUAGAUUUUCUUAUUGGCAUUUGUACAAUAUCCUAUUGGUAUCAUUUCUCAAACAAAUGUCAAUAUUAUUUUUUAAAGACUAUAUUAAGGAGGGUGUCGUUUAUAAUUUUCACAUAGGGCCUUCAAAUUGUCAAAACGGCUGUGGAAUGAACCCCAAACCUUUGGUUAGUUUCUUGGAGGUAUACAUACAUGCAUAACCAAUCUGCUCGAGAAACUUACUCUUAUAAAAUAAAAGAAGAUGGAGAGAACCUUUAUUGAGGAUUUGAAGUGAGACUUAAUAAGAAAUGUGAUAAAAAGGAGUGACAAUGAUUUUGAGAGAAUGCAAUGAUAUUACUUGGCUCUCUUAGGUUGUUCCGAUCGCACAAACAUGUCUCUUUUUAUAGCUAUUCUUAUAUGCAGAAGUCUAUAUAUAUAUAUAUAUAUAUAUAUAUAUAUAUAUAUAUAUAUAUAUAUAUAUAUAUAUCUUCUAUAUAUAAAGAGAACAUAAAAGAUGAAUAGUGUUUUUGGUGUCACCAAGCUUCAACAAAAAUAUUUGGACAAAAAUGCCACCAAGACAAAAAACUACAAAGGCAUCCCAAAAUAAUGCAUCAAUAAGGCAGUGGCAUUUUCGUUAUUUUAACAGUGUUUUUUUAAUAAUUAAUUUUUUUGUGCUUUUUUUUUAAAUUAGUACCUCACAAUAGGUUAGCAACAAUAUGAUUCAAUUUCUCUAUUUUUAAACAUGUUCAAAACAUCUUAAGAGGCGUGUAAUGCCGAUUAUAAAAAGGUAUUUCACACGCGCAUAAUAAUGUGAUUAAAUUAAUUGUCAAAUGAAUUUUUUUUUUUGAAGAAACGAUAUUAUCUACACUAAGGGGGGAGGGGGUGGGCUUAGCCUCACAAUGAGCUAGCAAUAAUGUGAUUCAAUCAAUUGUUUAUUAAAUAUUAUUUUAUUUUUAAACACAUUCAAAACAUCUUAAGAGGCAUGUAAUGCCGGUUAUAAAAAAGGUAUUUCGCACGUGCAUAAUAAUGUGAUUAAAUUAGUAGUCAAAUGAUUGUUUUUUUUUUAACAAACUAUAUUAUCUACACUAAGGGGGAGGGGGUGGGCUUAACCUGUAACAACCAGUCCCUAAUUUUACAAUUUUAUAAAUUUUUAAAAUGUGAAUUUACGAGAAUACCCUAGAGGCGAGGGUAUUGCUUUUCGUUGACCGCUAGUUCAUGAUGCGUAUGAACUAUUACCUUACCGUAUUCCAAAAGUACUUGGCGUUGUGAACGCAUAGACGCACGCAAAAUUGAAUUCGGAACUACGACAGAGGUUUUACGGAACUACAAAUUCGGAAAGUACGUGGUAAGGACUGUUAUUUAUUAUUCUAUUCAUUUCUCAUAAAUAUUAUUAUAUUGUUUUAAUAGUUUGUUUUUAGUAAAAGGGGGAGAAGAAGGAAGCUGGGAGGAAGGAAAAUAGGAAAAGAAAAAAAAAAGGAGGGAUUGGGCAAAGAUGCCUAAUCGGAAAAUAGAGAGGGAUAGGAGGAACAAAUUAGAAGAGGAGGGAGAAGAGUUUGCCCAAUGAAAAGAGAGGAAAGGAAGGGAAAGGAGAGGAGAUGAGGGGCAUGGGAUCAUGGAUCCCUCACGCAGGAUCAUGACCCGACCCGGUCACCACGUUGGUUUUCGACAAAAUUCUGUCUCUCUAGCCGGUGUUUCCCGACCGUCCACCAUUCCCAAACAAUUAUUCGGCCUUCCUCCUUCAAAUUUCAACCUUAAAGGGACGGGAUUCGAACUGAUUCCGUGAGGAACAAACCCACGGGUCCGAAGAGCAUUCGUCGGUGAUCCACCUUAUUCUGAAACAUUACCUUCGAUUAGCACCACCAAAACACUGCUCAGGAACCCAAGAACAAUGCCCAAUCCUUUGUUAGGGCGUCGAGGUUAGAUUUGACAGUGAUUCAAAGAACACUCAUAAUAGGGUUCUGAAAAGUUUUAGAGAAAUUGGGGCCAAUCCUGUCCAAAUUGGCCUUGGCCGCAGGCGGUGAUGGUUCAUGAUGUCUCUGUAUGCGUGCUAGGGAGUGGCAACGUGGACCUCAGGUGAAUGGGUAUUUUCCUUUCUAUCGUAUAUAAAUAUAUAUAUGAUUGAUAAUUCCACAAACGGUUAUAAAUUGAUUAUUGCGUAUAAUUAUUGUGAAUGCUUUGAAGUAUUAAUGCGAACUACGAAUGACUUGAUCCCUGUUUAGGGUACGUAGGUAGUCUAACGAGACAUUAGAUGCAGUCAUACCAUAAAUAAGACUAAAUAUUUGAGACAAUAGCCUUGUUUGGGAAAUUGUGCAAUGUGAGGGACAUUGGUGGAAAAUGUGAGAUUUAACCUUAUGUUUUGGUGGUUAAAUGUUGGUCAUAAAUCAAUGUGUGAAGAAUCAAGAAAUUGAAGUAAGGAAACGUAAGUAGUGAUAGUUAAUUAAACUAGUGUCUAGUUGGGCUUAUCACCGAUAAUUAUUUCCAAAAAUAAAUAGUUCGGGAGUAGGGCGUUACAACUUAUGCAUUUUAUGCCAUAUUAUAUAUAUAUAUAUAUAUAUAUAUAUAUAUAUAUAUAUAUAUAAUUGAAAAUGCUAUGACAUGGUUGAGUAUUAGAUUGCAUCAUGGUAUAUCCAUAUGUAUAUUACUUGCUCAUAAUUAUUGUGAACACGUUGAAGUGCAAAAGUGAACACAAGGACACUCAGGUAAGUUCAGGUGAGUUUAUGGUAUUAGUUGAAACGAUGGAGUUAUGGCAUGACUACAUGUAUGUUUUAGACAACUCCGACACUGUCGUACAAGUUGCCCAUGAGUCGUACAUGUUAUAAUAGAUGCAAUUAAAGCUCAUAAACCUGCACCCCGAUGUUAGUGCUCCCGCCUGUGGCCAGGGCACAGUCCUUCACGUGAUGUUCACCUCCCACACCUUACGCUCACCUUGGAUCCAAGAUAGGUGCACAGUCUUGUCGUACAGACCAUUAUAGGUGGUUCAAACUCAUAGGUGACCCGCGAUUAUUCGCACAGUCUUCACGUGAUCGUACCACUUAAGCGUACUUAUUUACACCAUUCCUGUCGUAUAGACCACUAGAGGUGGUUCCGACUCGUGUACAGGGAUAUGUGAUGAGCUAUGGGUUCAGCCGUAUAGGCCACAAGAGGUGGAUCCGGCUGACAUAUUACUUUAUAUGGAUGAGUCGUACAGGUCAUUAUAGGUGACUCUGACUUAUAUGCUAGCGUUGAUUGAUGAGAUAUGAUAAGUCAUACAGGUCACUACAGGUGACUCUAACUUAUGUGCUAGCGUUGAUUGAUGAGAUAUGGGGGCAGUCGUGUAGGUCACAUUAGAUGACUCCAACUUACGUGCUAAUAUAGAUUAUUAAGCACAUGAUUAAUUAUAUUACUGAUAAGUUGCUGUGCCGUGGUAUAGUUAUGGAAUUAUCGCCGAUAUAUUUUUUAUUUCAUUUUGAUACGUGAUAAAAUUUUCUGGAAACUAUACAGGUGUUACAUCGAGGGGUUAUAACGUUUUAGAAGGCUUCUAUGGAAAAUUUUAUUUCUAGGGCCACUCACCCUUGUUUUGUUUCCACCCUCCAGGUUUUAUUAUCUGAGCUUUCUCAUCGUUGAGGAUUCGUGGCAAAUCUUAGUAUUGGAGAUUUCUUCCGAGGGUAUGAUUCUUAAUCCACUUUACUGACUUACUUAUGCUCUAAUGUCACGUGUGAAGUGCGUUCAUUUCCGCUCACCAGCGCACUCUGGUUUUUAGGCACCCUUAGGUUUAAAUUUAUUCAUAUUUUUCCACAUCAUACGUUAUGGCUUCGUCACCUUCCAGGUGUCAGCCAGCACAACUCGAUUCGGAGUCCUAGUAGACAUCUCGGGUCGAGGUGUGUCAUAACCUCACAAUGGGCUAGCAAUAAUGUGAUUUAAUCAAUUGUUUAUUAAAUAUUAUUUUCUCUAUUCUUAAUGUAAAUUCUAUAGAGACCGAUUUUAUUAUGUGAAUUCAAUUGCUUUAAUUGAUUUAUGAGGGGUUUCUUCUAGCAUGAUCUAAGAUUAUUCAUUUAUUUCAAAUAUUUGACUUUCCUUUUGUCAAUUUACGCAUAUAAAUACAUUUAAAACGUGUAAGUUGCGCAUAGCAUGCCGUUAUUCAAAAAAUGCCUUCUGCACGCACUUGAGUGCAUGCAUGAAGGCUAGUUUAUAUAAAGCCAACAACCCCUUUUGGGGUCACAAGCUUCACCAAAACAUUUUGGACAAAAUGUGCCCCACCCCCCCCCCCCCACCCAAAACAAAAAAUUUCAAAAGCAACCCAAAAUAAUGCACCAAAUAAUGCAAGGGUAUUUUUGUCAUUUUAACAGUAUUUUUUAAUAAUUAAUUCUUUUUGUACAUUUUUUUAAAUUAGUAUCUCACAAUAGGCGAGCAAUAAUGUGAUUCAAUCAGUUGUUCAUUAAAUAUUAUUUUCUCUAUUUUUAAACACGCUCAAAACAUCUUAAAAGGAGUGUAAUACCAGUUAUAAAAAAGGUUUUUCGCACGAACAUAAUAAUGAUUAAAUUAGUUGUCAAAUGAUUUUUUUUUUUUGACCAAGCAAUAUUAUCUACACUAAGGAGGAAUGGGUGGGUUUAGCCUGGACUAGCAAUAAUGUGAUUCAAUCAGUUGUUUAUUAAAUAUUAUUUUCUCUAUUUGUAAUGUAAAUUCAAUAGAAUGUAGAUGGAAAUUAAAAGACCGAUUUUAUUAUGUGAAUUCAGCUGUUUUGAUUGGUUUGUGAGGGGUUUUUUCUAGCAUGAUAUAAGAUUAUUCAUUUACUUCAAAUAUUUGACUUUCCUUUUGUCAAUUCACGCAUAUAAAUACAUUUAAAACGUAUAAUUAGCACGUAGCAAACCGUGAUUCAAAAAAUGUCUUCUACAUGCGCGUGAGCGCAUCACGCGCAUGCAUGAAGGCUACUAAUAUCAAACGUGGGCUGGAAAAAAACCAUGCAUGCAUGAAGGCUAGUAAUAUCAAAUGUGGGCUGGAAAAAAACCAUACACCAAUGCAGUAGAAACUCAAACAAAAUAGCUAACACUAUUUCAGCCAUAUUGCAUUUACAUUUCUUACUAUUUCAUCCAUUCUUCUAUUAUGGUCAUCCACAAUAGUUAUAACAAUUGAAAAUAAAAGGUUUAUGAUAAAUUUAGAAUUCUCUACAAUCUCACAAUUUUCAAAUACAACUUCAAUAUUUUAUUCCUCUCCAUAAAGAGGUAUUUAUAAGAUUACAAAUGAGCAAUAUUAGGAAAUAAAUCAAAACAAUCCUUUGUCUACAAGACAAGGAAACCUAGACCAAAUCAAAUCAUAUCAAAACCUUGAUUAAAUCAUAUAAAUUCACUAAUUAAAUUAUAUCCCUAAAAUACUUUCCUUUUUAUUUUCCAACGACAACAACUUUAAAGUAAAAAGAAAAUACUAAACAAGCAAUAAGCUACUCUACUGUCAUGCUUAUUUUCAUGUAUCUCCUUUUGUAUUUAGAUUUUUUUUUAUCGUUUUUAUUUAGAUAUCUAAUUGCACUUUCGUCUUCGACAUAUAAUCGCAAAUGUAAAAAAAUAAAAAAAUUCUUUUAAAGGGCAAGAAUACGAAGUCUGCACAUUAGUUUACCUAUUUGACCUUAGAUCUCACCCAACCUCAGCUUUGUUAAGGCAUUUUUUCCUCUACCAACCAUAUUAAGAAAACAUUGAAGACACAUUUAACAAUCUUAUAUGUAGGAAUUUGAUUGAAACUGGGGCAAUUGCAUACACUAGCAAAGACUUUCACCAAUUGAUGUAUCCUCAUGUUUUAGGCUUCGAGCAAAGUCAAAACUGAGAAUAAACCCUAAGAGAUCAACAAAUAUCGAUCAAUCGACCAGGUAGGGGAGACAACCUGUACAUCCUAGAGUCUAAUAUAAAGAUUGAGUGCGCACACCGUUCUAAAAAAUUCCGCCUACUGCCGCCUAGGCCCCGUAUAGGCAUUAGGUUGUUGGCCACUACUGUGAUUAAUUCCUAGGCAUUUGAAAAUUAAGAAUAGGCACCUAAGACUUUCUUAGGCGCCCAACUAGAUCUCAAGGCGGUCGCCUAGCCUACCUAGACCUAUCUAGGCACCUACCUAGGUCGUGACUCUCACUUAGACGGAAAAUAGAUAACUUUCAUUUUGCAUUUUAUUUUUUUUUCAAUAAAUUGUAAGAGACUUGUUGAUUACUUUAGAUGAAUACAGAUUAUAUCGUUGUUCUUCAUAUUUUCUGUAUGUUCUAAUACUUUAUAAUCUAUAAGUCAUUCUAUUUUGCAAUUUAUGUAUCUCAAUGCAAUUAUGUAUUUUUUAAGUACAAACAUAUACUUAUUUAUACGAUAUAUAAUAAAUUUACCUAAAUUUGCCCAGUCCACCUAAACCCCCGAUUAGCCGCCUAAGCGCUAGACCCCAGUCCGCUGCCCAACUAGCGCCUAACGUCUUUUAGAAUCCUUAAGUGUACAUGAGCAUAUCGUUCUAUUUGGCAUACCUUAUUGGUUAGGAAAUUACGUAAAAGUAUUGGUGAGUAUGAAGGACGGGAGAGGGAUAACAUACCUACAUACAAAUUAUAUUACUUCUUCUCAUGCAUGAAUCCUCCUGAUCUAGUUGCACAUCAGUACAGAAACAACAAACAAGACAAAUUAAAAAAGUGAUGGUGAUGGCAUCAUUCAAGUUGUUUUGAUUUGGAUUGGAAUGAGCACUCGUUGCACCCUAUUUGAGGCGCAAGCCGUAAAAUAGUGGGCCCUUGUUUGGUCACUAUUAUGGUGCAAACCCAAUCCUCUUUUCUUGACAUAAUUAAACAAGAGUAUAAGAUUCUCCUCCAACUGGUAUUAUUAAUCAUUUCCUGGCUUCCCACUUAAACAAAUUUGUAUGUGACAAGUAUAGCGUUAUUGGUAGUCCUAUGCUAAUGUGACAAUGUUACUUAGAGAAAAAUUCAAAUAACAUUUUAUUAUUAGUACGAAAUAUCAUGACGACAGUGUACCUUGCUAUAUGUAUGUUAUGUGAGAUACAUAUAUGAGUGCUCUCUGAAAUUCUUUUGAUUUUUACUUGAAACUAUUGAGAUGAUUUGUAGUUCUUUGAUUCAUUUUUCUCUACUUUUCCUUCUCUAUAAUAAUCACCACUAUGACCAUUAAGAGCAUCUCUAGUGAGCUCUUUACAUGAGCCCCUAAAUAAAAUUUAGGAAUAAUUUGGAAAUUCCACCUCCAAUCACACUCCUUAUUGUGGAGCCAAAAAUAAUACAAAAAGUUAUGGAGUUGACAUGUAGACUUUUACCAAUGCCUUCACUAAAUUGGUGAGACCCAUAUUCGUUUCACAAACAUUCAACCCUCAAGAAGACUUGAGCUGCUAACUACGACUUCUCUAAGCUCUCAUGCCCAUGAACUUAAGCCUAUGAUAAUUGAGUUAUGUGAUAGGCCAUCUCUCAAAUUUGUUCGAACCAUGGGAAUGUGUAGAUUAGAUUUUGUUUGUAAUUUGAUUUGAUCAAAUAUUGUAAAAGAGCAUAAACUCUUCUUUACUUUAAAAGUACUCCUCUUAUAUUUUAUUUGAUAUGGAUGAAAUUGAAGUAGUUUGGUCCAACGCCCAAUAGGGAAACACACCUUAAUAUGAUUAAAUGCGUAAGUAAAAUCAAUCAUCAUCCGUAAACCAAGAUCCAACAAUAGUUCAUGUUGGAUCAAAUCGAAGGUUCAUACUCAUCCUCAGACCCUAAGGCAACUAUAUAGUCCAUCAAAGAAUGCAAAGCUUAUGUAAGUAGUACCAUAUACUUUUGCUUUAAAAAUGUUUUACAAGUAUAGUGGGAGUAUUAUAUGCUACUAAAUCAAUCACAUGGACCAAUAGUUGUGAUAAAACCAAAUAGUUUUAAUUGGAUUAAAAUGUAUAUUAUGUGAUGAGACCUAAAACCCUCAACAAAACGUUAUUAAGUUGAAAAGCGUUAGAAUACUUUGAGCACUCUUUUGUGGCCUUCCACUGUAGUAGACUCCAAUCGUAUGUGACUCAUAUACCGUCUUCGCCUAGUUAUGGGGAAUGCAAAGUAUCUGCUUACAUUGAUGAGGGUUUGUAUAUACAUGCAUGAUGUUGUGACGGUAGGCAAUGAGUAUGCCCAAUAUGAUAUUCUUCUAAGGCCAUUCUUGAACCCCUACACGAAGUGGCAUGUUGGGAAUAACUUAACUAAGUGCAACGGUGCCAAUAUGAUAUUCUUCUGAGGCAUCAUUCUCUAGAGGCCAAAUAUGAUUGGUACUUACUUGAGAUGUAAAUGAGUAUGUGUACUCUCUCAUUAUUAUUAAAGCUAGCCAAUAUGAUAUUGUUCUACGGUGGGAUUGAUAAUAGUGAGACUCUCAUACCCUACUAAGAGUUUCCUCUAAAACUCUCGAAUUCUGAUAAGGGAUAAGGAAAUUGGCCAAGCCUUAUGCAUAGAUGAGGAUGGUUUGAUAUUGGAUCAUGGAAUGCCAAAGAGGUAUAAUCUAGGUGGGACUCUACUUCAGCAUGAAAUGAUGGCACAAAAAAAAUCACUCAUAUAAAUAGAAGAGGUUCUGUAACAUUCAAAGGAUCUUCAACUCAACACACAAAUCUGCCAUGCGUAAAUUCUCGCUUUACGCGAAAUCCUCUCAAACCUUUGAGAAAACACUAACUUCCCUCACUUCGCCAACACACCUUCAGUUUGGAUUAACAACACUACGUUGGCAAUCGGCAAUAUCUUCAGUUUGGAUUAACAGCACUGAAGCCAUAGAGUCAAGUGACCAAGGAGCAUUUUUAGUUUGGAGUAACAACAUUGCUUGAGUUUGUUUAGCUAUCUAUCCAAGGCUCUAUAAGCAAAUAGUCUUUGAGUCUUUGUUGAAAGGGGCCAUCUCAUUAACCUCUCGGCGAGUUGGGGUGUUACCAGGUUACAGUGUCCGACACAUUGAAAUCUGAACCCAUUUUAUGAUUAGAUAUUCUCAAGUGCAUUUUAGAGUUUGGUAUUUCGACAACUGAACCACAUUCACAGUUAAGACACUUUUCUCUUUUAAGUAUUUGUGUCUUUAUAGUUUCAUACAAACUCAACACACUUAUAUUUUCAUAAAUAUGAUUGAAGCAGCCGAGGCCGGUGCAGACGAUCUUGCACUUCGUAGUGACUAGCAGCCUUGUCUUUAGGCUUUAGAACCCAUAGACAUAAACUAGUUCAUUCCUCGACCGUGAUCGCUUUGAUGUAGAAUUCGUCUUCCUCAUCGAUUGAGCUUGGUCGAUGAGUUGGCAUGCCCACAUUUAACUGAAUAAUAUAAUUAGCUCAUUAACUAUUUAGCAUUCACGCUACAUAGGCUUGGUAGUUUUUAGGAUCAACACUACGAUAACAAGAAUUUAAACUUGUGGUGCAAGGGACGUGCUAACAAACAUUUGCAUAACUAUAAUAAUUAGAAGAGUUUGAGGAUCCCUAAUAUUAUUUGGUAAGAAAUCAAAACAUUCUAAUCAAUCGCAUGAUUAAAUAAUUAUAAGGUCGACUGAAUAAGUGCAAUAAAAAUAGGAUGAUGUUUGUUGAUGCGUAAAAUUAGUGAGACUUUGGAACAACGUAAAGUAUCAAGUUUGUGACCUUUGCACGGUUGCUCUGGUCACCUAGUGAUGAUGAUGAUAUGUAAAGAGAUAGAGAUAGGGAAGCAAACACAAGAUGCACGUGGUUCACCCUACAUUUGGCUACAUCCACGAGGUAUGUGAGUUCUCAUUAAUAGUGAAGGGUUUACAUAAUGCAUAGGUUCAAGCAUAAUCAUCAUUAAUGGGUUCUAAUGAUGAGUUUAAGUAUAGUAUUGGCACUAGGGAUUAAUUGCAGAAAAUGCCUUCUUUUAUAGUUGAGGAAAGUCUUUGGCUUUCGUUUGCGAUUGAUGUGGGACUCUAGGAGCUUUAUUCUGACAUUGACACGUGUUGUGGGCUAUGAUUGGCCUUCUGGCUAAGGGGAAAAUCUUGUGCUUCGGCAGGGGUUCCUUAGCUGAACCCACUUUAUGAUUAGAUAUUCUCAAGUGCAUUUUAGAGUUUGGCAUUCCAACAAUUGAACCACAUUCACAAUUAAGAUACUUUUCUCUUUUAAGUAUUUGUGUCUUUACAGUUUGAUAUAGAUUCAGCACACUUAAAUUUUCAUAAAUAUGAUUGAAGCAGUCGAGCUCGGUGCAGACGAUCCUACAUUUUGCAAUGACUAACAGCCUUGUCUUUAAGCUCUAGAACCCAGAGACAAAAACUAGUUCCUUCCUCGAUUGUGAUCUCUUGGAUAUAGAAGUCGGUAACGCAUAUACCACCACCACCACAUUCAUCUUACUCAUCGAUCGAGCUCGGUCGAUUAGUUGGCACGCCCACAUUUAACCGAAGGAUAUAGUUAGCUCAUUAGCUAUUCAACAUGUGCGCUAUGUAGGUUUGAUAGUUUUUAGAAUCAACACUAUGAUAACAAGAAUUUAAACUUGUGGUGUCAGGGACGUGCUAACAAAUAUUUGCAUAACUAUAAUAAUUAGAAGAGUUUAAGGAUCGUCAAUAUUGUUUGGUAAGAAAUCAAAACAUUCCAAUCGAUCGCAUGAUUAAAUAAUUAUAAGGUUUAGUGAAUAAUUGCAAUAAAAAAUAGGAUGAUCUUUGUUGAUGCAGAAAAUUAGUGAGACUUUGGAACAACGUAAAGUGUCAAGUUUGUGACCUUCACAUGGUUGCUCCGGUCACCUAGUGAUGAUGAUGAUAUGUAAAGAGAUAGAGAUAGGGAAACAAACACAAGAUGUACGUGGUUCACCCUAAGUUUGGCUACGUCCACGGGAUAGAGGAGUUCUUAUUAAUAAUGAAGGGUUUACACAAUACAUAGGUUCAAGCAUAAUCAUCAUUAGUGGGUUCUAAUGAUGAGUUUAAGUACAAUAAUGGCACUAGGGAUUAAUUGUAGGAGAAUGGUCUUCUUUUAUAGUUGAGCAGAGUCUUUGGCUUUCUUCUGCAAUCGAUGUGGGACUCUAGGAGCUUUAUUCUGACGUUGACAAAUGUCGUGGGCUAUGAUUGGCCUUCUGGUUCAGGGGGAAAAUCUUGUGCUCCAGCAUGGGUGCCUCUGCAUGAAUGCCUCAGUGGGUCCUUGAAGGUAUGACAUUGACCGAUGCUUGGUAGUUUUGGGAUUGGUCAAGUAUGGUAUAAACAAUGUUAUCCACAUACAUUUUUCUACCUUUAACACAUAUCUGUUUGUUAAUGCACAAAAUCGGAGGGGUCUUGGAACAACGUAAAUCCGACCGUGAAUCUGCAAGAAAGUAAAGAACACAAGAUGUAUCGUGGUUCACCCCAAUGUUUGGGCUACGUCCACACUGAUAUUGUAUUUCUCUGUUUGUCAGAAGAUUGUGAGGGUGAGGAGUCCCUUUUAUAGACUAAGGGCUCAUCCCCUUUUUACAUAUUUGCCCCUUCAUUUAUUACAUAAUUACAUUUGAGUCCCCCGAGUAUUUAUACGAGAUCUAAAUACGGAGUCCUUAAGUAUGGUACAAACAGUAGUUCCCCAAGUCUUCAGUUAAGAGAGUCUUUUGGCUGGAGACUUGAAAUUCAGUCCAUGUGUGGGCCGAAAUAACUAGAUGUCGUCUAGAACUGAUACUCGAUAUGAGGCGGUGCUCAAUGUGAAAUGAUGCUCAACUAGAAGUAGCACAUGUUGUGAGGCUGCUCGGCUUGUGGCUUAUGUUGCCUUGGUUGGCUCGGCUUAUGGCGUUGAAGGUGAGGGAGUCCCUUUUAUAGAAUAAGGGCUCACUCCUCAAUACAUAAAUGAUGGGCUAGAGUUGAUGCUCGCGGCGAGGCGGUUGCUCAGUAGGCGGCGAUGCCCUCUAAUGAUGGUGAGGGAGUCCCUUUUAUAGAAUAAGGGCUCGCUCCUCAAUACAUAAGUGAUGGGUUAUGAGUGAUGCUCGCAGUGAGGCGGUUGCUCAGUAGGCAGCGAUGAUCUCUAAUGAUGGUAAGGGAGUCCCUUUUAUAAAAUAAGGGUUCGCUUCUCAAUACAUAAAUGAUGGGCUAAAAGUUUCUCUCUAAUGAAGGUGAGUGAGUCCCUUUUAUAAAAUAAGGGUUGGCUCCUUAAUACAUAAAUAAUGAGUGCUCUCUAAUGAAAAUGAGGGAGUCUCUUUUAUAGAAUAAGGGUUCGCUCCUCAAUACAUAAGUGAUGGGCUAAGUCCCCCAAGUAUUUUUCAUGAGGCCCAGUUGCGGAAGCCCAAUAAAUGGUACAUAGUGAAGUCCCCCAAGUCUUCAGUCAAUAGAGUUUGUUGGCUGGAGACUUUAAAUUUAAUCCAUGUAUGGGCCGAAGUGGCAAUUGUUCGGAUGCGGUAUUUGUAUACUCUGCACUGAAGCUUUGUAGGUAAAGCUUUGCAAGUGAAGCUUUGAAGCUGGAGCUUUUGUAAAUGAAUCUUUGGAAGCUGGAGCUCUCGAAGCUGGAGCUCUGUAAAUGAAGUUUUCGAAGCUGAUUGACAUGAGUGAUGCUCAUGAAUGUUUAUGUUUGAUUGACAUGAGUGAUGCUCAUGGAUGUUGACAUGAGUGAUGCUCAUGAAUGUUGACAUAAGUGAUGCUCAUGAAUGUUGAUAUGAAUGAUGGUUAUGAAUGUUUAUGUAUGAUUGACAUGAGUGAUGCUUAUGAAUGUUUAUGUAUGAUUGACAUGAGUGAUGCUCAUGUAUAAUUUUGGAGUACUGGACGUACUUUUGAUCACUUAGUGGGUGAUAAUAGCGGCAAGCUGCCGAAUAAUUUUGGAGUACUAGGCGUACUUUUGAUCACCUGGUUGGUAAUAAUAGCGGCAGGCUGCUGAGUAAUUUUGGAGUACUAGGCGUACUUUUGAUCACCUGGUUGGUGAUAAUAGCGGUGGUACCGAAUAAUUUUGGAGUACUAAGUGUACUUUUGAUCACCUGGUUGGUGAUAAUAGCAGCAGACUACCGAAUAAUUUUGGAGCCAUAGGGCUUGGCUUUUUUGGGCAUAUGGGCCUUCGCCCUUCACAUAACAUUCCAGCCCAUUAUUUUGGACUUGCCUUUUUUUUUUUUUUUUUUGGCAUGCUGCCUUCUUUACACAUCAGUAUAACUAUACAAUAAUUGCUCCAAUUUGCAGAAAACAACUUAAUAAAAUAUUCAUCAAUGACAGUGGGUAUGGGUGUGCCAUGCUUUCCACUUCCGCUUGUUGGUUGUAAAGGUCAGUAUACUCCGGCUGUAAAUGGGUAAUAUUCCUUUCUCUAAAGUGACAACUGCUUGGACAACCUUUCCGACACCACCCAUUUGCUUUUCUCUGGCUUUCUCAAAAAAUGGGAACAUGCAUGAUGAAAGUGUAGGCAUCUUCUUUGGUGGUCGACAAAAGCAAAAGUAGCUUCAAGUGGUUGAAUGAUAGCAGAAGCUUCAUCGCAAGGUUCAUGAGCUCCAUGGAAACAAUCUGACCAGCAGCAACCAAGCUAUUAACUAACUUACCAGCAAAACGUGCCUCUUUUUGUGUAAUAAGAGUGUAUGCAGUGCCAUCCUUAUCACCACCACGACACGUUCUACCAAUUCGAUGGACAUGCAUGUACAGGAUAAGACCAACCCAAUCUCCAAUAAAAAGGUCACAUUUUAUUGAAGAAAAUCCCCAACGUUAACGAUGAGGGCACUGGGGACAAGUUUCACAUAAAUCCUAUGUCAGACAAAAUAACGCUUCAUCAUACCUUCACAAAUGAAUCAUGCGUUUUCAGCUCCUAUAGAACUGCCCUCCUCAACUCAGAAAUCAUAGGUUUUGCAUCAUCAUCGUUUGCACAAUCUUCUGCCAAUUCAUACUCUUGAGCAAAGGCCUUGAGAAAGUGAACAUUUUGGGCAAUAUAAUCACAGAAAGUUUUAAUCUUUAGAUUCCCAGCAGCCAAACAGAGCAUGAAGGGAGUGUACUUAGCGAAAAUUGAUUCUCGCUUGAACUUGUUCCAGAAACGGCAUGCGAGACCCACCUCGUUAUCGACGACGGUGAAAGCCAUGGCUGACUUCGGCGGAGGUAAGGCCAUUGAGUUGGCACAGUGGGAUUGGAGCGAGUUGAAUCGAAGCCAGAAAGGGAAUUGAACCGGAGGUCCGCGGGGUCAGUUUGAUGCAGGGCACUUCUUCUUAAAAGCGAAAGAAACUUCAAACUUUUUUCUUUGGGGUCACAGUGGUAAUGGCUAGGUACAGAGCUGAGGACGACUACGACUACCUUUCCAAGGUGGUGCUGAUCGGCGACUCCGGCGUCGGCAAGUCCAACUUGCUAUCGAGGUUCACCAGGAAUGAGUUCAGCCUUGAGUCUAAGUCCACCAUCGGCGUCGAGUUCGCCACCUGCAGCUUGGAUGUCGACGGCAAAGUCAUCAAGGCCCAUAUUUGGGACAUUGCUGGCCAAGAAAGGUUGGUUGGCUUUCUUGCUUCUCUUUUUUGUGAUCUGGGUUUUUCUUAUUUUCUGGAGUUUCUAUGUGGGAUUGAAGCUUUUGGUUGAUGAUUAUAAGAUAUGAAAUGGGUUUGGGUUUCUUGGGGUUUUGGUGAUAAAAAAUUUAAGCUUUUGUGCAAUUUGGUUGGUGCCUGGAUUUGGUGGUUUAAUUGGGUUUGUUUUAGUAGAUCAGAAAAUACUUGAUUUAAGUCAAAGAAUAUAUGCUCAAAAUUUUCUGGGUUUCUUUUUGUUUUCGUAGCUGUUGGAUGGAAGAAGAAGAUCACGAAAAGUAAGAAUAAUGAGAAGAGUUGUAAGGCAGCCAUUUGAUGGUACUGGAAGUUGUUUGCAGAUUCACGGUGGAGGUGAAAAAAUGAAAGAGAACCGACAUAGUUUUUCGUGUCGAUUCCCACAGACGGCGCCAAAUGUUGAUGCACAAAACCGGAGGGGUCUUGGAACAACGUAAAUCCGACCAUGAAUCUACAAGUAAAGAACACAAGAUGUAUUUUGGUUCACCCCAAUGUUUGGGCUACGUCCACACUGAUAUUGUAUUUCUUUGUUUGUGAAAGGAUUGUGAGGGAGAGAGCUUGAGGAUUGUGAGGGUGAGGAGUCCCUUUUAUAGACUAAGGGCUCAUUCCCUUUUUACAUAUUUGCCCCUUCAUUUAUUACAUAAUUACAUUUGAGUCCCCCGAGUAUUUAUACGAGAUCUAAAUACGGAGGCCCUAAGUAUGGUACAAACACUGUUAAUUUUUUUUUUUUUUUUUUUUUUAUGGUCGGAUUGAAUGACUUAAAGAGGAUCAACGGAUAGAAUUUAACAGAUAGUGUGUCGAAAGUAAAAAAUGCAUGUGGAUAGCACCACUCUAAAGAAUAUAGCAUAUUUAUUUGAACGUCAAUAAAAAUUUAGUCGGAAAUUUCAAAUUGAAGGAAGAAAAACUAAUGUCCCGCACCAAAUUUUAAGUUAUGACUAUCCUUUAAUAGCAAAUUGACCAUCUUCACUUUCAUACUUGGCCACUCAUAAUCUAACUUAUAUAAGAAAUUCGCAAAGGAAAGAAAUAAUAACAUUGUCACCCUGGAAAGAAAGAUGCUGAUAAGCUUUCAUAUUUUUUUGUUUUGGUGAUUGUUGGUACUUCUUUUCAUUCAUAAGCUUUCAUUUUUUAAUCUUAAUGUCUUUUAGCUCCUGUUCUUAUUUUCUGAAAAGGAAGAAUCUCUUCCUCGCCCCCCCUCCCGGCGCGCCUCUUUUCUCUCUAUCUUUCUUUGGGCUGGUUUGGUAUUGCUGUGCUUUGAAAAAAAAAAAAAAAUUAUUUCUGCUAUGCUAUGAGAAUAAGCAGUUGUGAAAUAAAGUAGUAGAGUAUUUGGUAAACUUUUAUGUAAAAGUGCUUUUGGAAAAAAAAAAAAAAAAAAAGCAGUAUGAUAGUGUUUGGUAAACUUUUAUGUAAAACAACUGUGACUGUAUGAAAUGACAAAAAAAAAAUGUAAAACUAGAUAUGCUAUUAUUUAAAUAUUUUUAUAAUGUGGGACCCACCCACCUUUUUCCUAUCCCACCCGUCUCCCCCACCCUUCCUCCCUUCACUCUAAAACCAGAACCCCCUUCAUCCCCAUCCACCCGUGUCCCCCACCUAGGACCUUCCUUCACUAAAGCCCACAUCACCCACCCCCUUCUCCCAAAAAUCCACUUUCUUCUUAUUCUUCUAUGCAACCCGACCCAAAAAUCCCCUGUAUGCUAGUCUCGCUGGGAAGAUUCAGUCAAAUUUACAAGAUCAUCUUUCACGCCCCGAUCUUGACAUACGUCCAAGACCGACACGUGACAUCACCAAUUACCUGUACAUCUAACAUACCCCGCCUCUGGGAAAUGGCAAACACAACUUAAGGUCCAACUACGUAGUAAUUUUUCGUACAUUUUAUGGUUGCAUCUAACAUCCUCGUUAGACUGCCUACGUACCCUACAUAGGGAUCAAGCCAUUCGUAGUUCAUCAUUUCACUACACUCGAAUAUUCAUCAAUUAAAUCGCUAUGUCUCAAUAAUAUAUCACAAUGCAUAACAUACAAUAUUACAAGGGACAGACGACGGAGCACAAUCAUAUUCACUAGUCAUAAAGUUCAACGAGUCUAAUCAUAAUUACCAUAACCAUAACCAACAUCAUUCCAUAAUCACAUCAAUCAAUAAUGACAACCAUCACAUCAUCAAUAACACAUUCAACACGUCGAAAUGCGGGGCUAGAGCGACACAGUUUGACCGAAAGACUACACCUCUGGAAAAGGGGAUUUUGGACCACCCAAUGGAACCAAGGCACCAAAGGGGAUUCCAGACCAUCACUCAACGGAAUCCAAAUCAGGAUACGAUUCCGGACCAUCACUCAACGGAAUCGCGGAGUAGAAGGGAUUCUGGACCACCACUCAACGGAAUCCAAAUCAAGAUACAAUUCCGGACCAUCACUCAACGGAAUCGCGUAGUAGAAGGGAUUCCGGACCACCACUCAACGGAAUCCAACAACAUUGGGUUCCAAACUACUCAACGGAACCAAAAUAUCAAACCAAACGGUUUCUCAUAAUUUACCCAGACCUGUUGCAUGUGAAAUAAGUGCCUACAUCAUGGAAAUGGUGCAUUGGGCAAACAACAACCCGGAUAAGUUGUGAAGCUCGUGUGAGCGACAAUAAUAGUAUGUGACAAUAAUGAUAAAACCAACCAUCAAUCACAAUUUAUAAACUUUGAAUAUAAAUAAUUCAUAAGAAAUUAAUACCAAACCUUUGCAAACUCUGAAUGAGUCACAUAGACAUCUAACGGCUUUUCUAAAUCAAACUCAAAGUUCUCGAAGCCAAAAUUCACGAAUACACUUAAAACUAGAGCUAGAGAGACGUCGUUCGGCCGAAGCCUACGCAAGUAACCAAAUAGGAAGUGGCCCCCCAAAGCGGAUCAACCAAGCAGAGCCACCCCUAAGAAAAUACCAAGUAGGUAGUGACCCCCCAAUGCGGAUUAACCAAGCAAAGUCACUCCUACAACUAUUGGAAGUGAUCACCCAAUUCGGAUUAACUAAGCAUGAUCACCCCUAAAUGUGUAUGGCCAUACCUAGGAUAUAAGGAUCGCCCAACGCGGAUUAACCAAGUGCGAUCCACAAAUAGUAUGGUACCCUGACGUAGAUUAACCAAGCCGGACCAUCCAUGUACCAUUGCUACGUGGUGUAGACUUAGUGUCACCUAACCCCAUGACACUAGGGUAACAGUCCUUUACAAUCCCUCAUGUUUAUUAAACCAUCAAAUAUAUAUUUCAAAACACAAUCCAUCAACAAUUCAAAUAUCCAAGUCACAUAAUGUUUCUUAAGUAGAUCGAUGGCAAACUUUAUAACAACAAUUAUUUAGCAUAAGACCUAUUUUAAGAAUCCAUGGUGUAACCACUAAGUAUAUUAGCACGGAAGAUUUCAGAGUAAAUACCAUAUCACAUAGAUUAAAAUCACUCACAUGAGGUCCACACUAACGCACUCUAGCAUGGAAUUCAAGGCGUCAAGCUCUAUCACCGCCUAAAACAAAGCACAAGUCCACAUUCUCUUGAUAAAUUCACAUACCCAAAACUCUCAUAAGUCUCCCACAACGACAUUUAAUGAGAAUCAGACCGUCGAUCAAAGGUAUAGUCCAUGAUCUUACAUCACUUGCUCCGUAAGAUCCAACCACUAGAUUUUCACUAGUAAGUCCCUAUGGUCCUUAAACAAUAUCUACAAUAGCAUACUAAAAUUUGGUGUCAAUUCAAUGGUAAGAUUGUCAAUUGCUAGAAUAUUCAAGUGGCGGACCUUAUCGAAAAUAUACUCAACCAACAGCAUUUCAUAAAUCGAAUGUCACACAAAGGGAAAUUCGACUUUUUCCAAAAAUUCUCAAAUUUUACAAGAAUGAAGAUCUCAACAAGUAGAUUAAACUUUAUACUUGUGACCGAGUCCAAUUUGGUCCGGAAGGCCCUCAAAUUGGCUCGCACCUGUCUAAAACCCUAAGGUGGGUGUUCUUCAAUUCGUCUUCCUUGGUGUUCCAACGCCCCAACCAACCGUUGGGGAGGGGAGGGCGGGUACACACCUAGCGCAAGUUGGGUUUGUUAGGUUUUUUUUCUUUUCUUUUUCUUUCUUUCUUAUUAGUCUUUUGUCCUUAUUAUUAAAAUAAAGUUAGUGGAUGGUUUUUUUUAUUAAAAUGUAAAGAUUUGAAGUCUUUUUCAUUAAUUUUCCUAAAAAACAAAGAAUUUAAAUAAAUAAAAAAAGAAGAUCAGAGGAUUGGAUAGGGCCAAGGGGAAUCUCUCUAGUUUCGGGCAGAAGACUUAUCUACUCUCUGGAUCCAAUACCUUCUUUCAUUUUCCUAUCACAUCUUCUCAUCCCACGUUCUUGUAAUGCUCAUAUUUUAUUUGUUAUUAUUCUGUUUUUUGUUUAUCUUUGGCUCCCCAAUUAUUGAUGUAUUUUCUUACAACCAACGUUUUGAAAGUAAGAUCGUCAUCAUUUGGACAGAUUCUUUUAAUUUUCUUUUUUCCCCUUCUUUUUGGACAAUUCCAUUUAUAUUAACUUGCAUUUUUUUAGUUUUGCAUUAGUUAUUUAAAUUAGAUAAAAUGUUCCCCAAAGGUAGGUGGGGUGCAUAAUCACAUGGAAGAAACAUACAUUGGGCAGGUUUUGCAUUCAGAACUGAGGAAGGAAACAGACAAGGAUCUUCAAUCCUGAUUUGUUGCAUUAAGAACUGAAAUAACUUAAAAAUUGAGGAUCAAGGGUGUCCAUGUGUUAGAUGUGAAAACCGUAACCAAUAUGAUGGCAAUUAGCAAACCGUAACCAAGGAUUAGUUUACUUGUGAACCAGGGAUUAUAAUUUUUUGCCUAUUAAGAAUUAGGGUUGCUUUAGUUUCUUGUUAUUUAAACAAGUAUGACAACAAAUUAAAUCCUAAAAUUUAUUUUGGCAUCAGAGCAAGUUUCAGGCUCUCUUCCGCUAGACCCUAAAUUUUUUUUUGGCGGUUGAUGAGACGGAACCUGGUUACUCAAUUGGUGCUUCAUAAAGAAACAAGUUUUAUCAAAAGAAAAUCAUUGGAGUGUAGCUUUCUUUGUUGGAUAUAGCGAAGAACAUAAACAUAAAGGGCAGUGUUGACCAGUUUGAUGAAAGUAGAUUUUUCUCUUCUAUUUUAUUUCUAGCAUUUUCGGAUUCGGCUCAAACCGAGUGUUUUAUGAUGAGGUUGAUGAAUCUGAGUAUUACGAGUUGCGAUGCAAGGCAAUGAGGACAAAGCAAAAUGGGCGUCUGGUAAUAAAAGAGUGCUUAAACACAGUUCGGCGUAAAGCACAGCAAUAAACUACUAUGCUUGGCAGCAAGAAUGCUGACAGUAACCCUUCUAUGCCCAUGGUCAGUAAGUCUCCCUUUCUCUGUGGGAUUCGGAUGAAGCUGAAAAGGAAAAGAUCCUGUGCAACCAUUGCAAUGGAACUCGUCACUCGAAAGAAACAUGUUUCAAAAUCCAUGGUUACCCUAAUUGGUUCCUGGAAAGAAGAAAGCAGAGCAAAGAAAAGGCUCACAAACGUCCUGCACAGCGAAACUCGCAGAAAUUGGGCCAAGAAUUGCUGUCAUAGUUGCUAGCCAUGUUGGGUCCGAUGUUGACCCAACUCACCAAGUCGAAGAUGCUAUUCAAAGUCCAUCUGUGGGACAGGAGCAAGAAGUGAUUUGAGAUGAUUAACUUCACAGCUUUCAUGUUGGAAUAUAAGUGUGUGUACUGUUUUUCUAAUGUUUCUAAGUUUAAAUGUGAGCCAUUGGAUUAUAGACCAAUUGGACAGCUGAGAUGUAAUCUUAGUUUUAGUAGUGUAUAUUGCCACUUGUAUCUAUCUUAUAGGGUAGAUUACAUAAAUGGUAGAGAUUGAAUUGUGUAAAAGGAGAGGUUCUCUCUCUCUUCUCUACGGAUAUAUCCUCGCACAUGCCUUAUGUGCUGAGUAUGAAUGAAGAAAAGCUUUGUUAGUUCUGUUUGAACAUUCUUUCUGUAUUCAUCUGUGGUUGGAGAAAUCUUUCAUUUUCUUCUUGAUUCACGUUCUGGAAAACAAGGUCAUAUUCCUCUAUUCUAACAUGGCCUCAGAGCCAGGUUCAAUCGUUUAAUACUGGGAGAUUGAAUCUGUGAAGUUACGAGAUCUGUGUCUAACAUGGCAGGAUCUGGAGGAGGUGAGCUGAGAGGGCCGAUCUUCACCGGCGAGAAUUAUGAAUUCUGGAGCAUAAGGAUGAAGACCAUUUUUAAGUCUCAUGGACUAUGGGAAUUUGCUGAAAAAGGAAUCGAGUACUCAGAUUCGAAGGGAGCUGACUCAGAUCUGAAGACGAAGGAGAAAGAGGGAUCGAGCGAAGUUGCAUCUUCCACGGAGAAGCUCAUGAAAGAUGCCAAGGCUCUUGGACUGAUUCAGGGAGCAGUCUCCGAUGAAAUUUUUCCUCGGAUCUCACACAAAGAAACUUAUAAGGGAGCCUGGGAUAUUCUGAUGCAAGAAUUUCAUGGAGACAAACAGGUUAGAAGUGUUAAAUUACAAGGUCUUCGUAGAGAAUUUGAGUAUACCAGAAUGAGAGAUGAUGAAUCAAUUUCUGUUUAUCUUACAAAAUUAUUCGAUCUGAUAAAUCAAAUGAGAAGUUAUGGAGAAUAGUUGUCUAGAGAGAGGAUUGUGCAAAAAUUAUUAAUUAGCUUACCUUCUGCGUAUGAUUCUAUAUGCUCUGUGAUUGAACACUCAAGGGAUAUAGAUGUGAUUGAGGUUCAAGAGGUAGUUGCCUCAUUGAAAAGUUUUGCACAGAGGUUGGAGAGACAUAAUGAGAACAAGACUGAGAGAGCAUUUGCGAGUCUAAGUGUGAAACCCAAACCUGUCAAUUCUUCUGGAAAUCAAGGCAAUCGAUACCAAAAGAAUUGGAAGCCAAAAUACAAAAAUUGGAAACAAAAGCCUAUUUACCAAUCUGGAAAGCAAAUUGUAGCUGCAGAAGGGGGAAGAAAUCCUUGCAAGCACUGGGAUAAGUACCAUUAUGGAGAGUGUUUUCUUAAAGGCAAGCCUAAGUGUCAUUGUUGUGGGAAAAUAGGUCACAUUGCAAGGGAUUGUAAUAAUAAGAAAAAUGCUCAAGGUAUUCAGCAACUAAACUUUGCAGCUCAGGUUCCUUCUGCAACUACUAUGUUCUAUGUAAGUAAUGCGGCUGACAAGAAGUCUAUUGAAGAUGUAUGGUAUGUGGAUAGUGGUUGUAGUAACCACAUGACUGGUAGAGAAGAUGUACUGAUUGACAUUGACAGAAGCAUAAUUGCCAAGGUAGAAAUGGGAACUGGACAGUUGGUUGAUGUUAUAGGAAAAGGAAGUUUGGUAGUGGAUACAAAGAUGGGAAGGAGAUAUAUCAAUGAAGUGAUGCUUGUCUCAGGUCUCAAAGAGAAUCUACUAAGUGUAGGGCAAAUGAUGGAGCACGGGUAUUUCCUUAUUUUUGGAGAUAACAAAGCAGAAAUUUAUUAUGAUUGCUCUCUUUCAAAUUUGGUUGCUAAGGUGCCAAUGAGAGGAAACAGAAGUUUUCCUUUGAAAUUUCAAACAAAUUUGCAUCUUGCAUUAAAAGCAAGUGUAAAUGAGUCAACAUUGAUCUGGCAUAGAAGAAUGGGCCAUUUGAAUGUCAACAGUCUGAAGCUACUAUAGGAGAAAGAAAUGGUACUUGGAUUGCCAGAAAUCAAGACCAUUAAUAAUGUGUGUGAGGGGUGCACUCUUGGGAAACAUUGCAGAGAUUCUUUUCAAAGGGAGACAACAAGUAGAGCUACUAUUCCAUUGGAGUUGGUACACACAGAUGUUUGUGGACCAAUGCAAACCAUUACCAAAGCUGGAAAUAGGUAUUUUCUCACCUUCAUAGAUGAUUGUACUCGGACGUGUUGGGUCUAUUUUUUAAGAUACAAAUCAAAUGUAUUCAAUGUUUUUAAGAAGUUCAAGGCCACUGUUGAAUUGCAAAGUGGAUAUAAGUUGAAAAAGCUGAGAAGUGAUCGAGGGGGUGAGUACACAUCUAUUGAGUUUAACAGAUUCUGUGAAGAAGUGGGAAUGGAAAGGCAACUCACUGUGGCAUACUCACCACAGCAGAAUGGAGUAGCUGAAAGGAAGAACAGAACUAUUGUGGAGAUGGCUAAAUGUAUGAUGUUUGAAAAGAAUAUACCACUGGAGUUUUGGGCAGAGGCAGUCAACACUGCAGUGUAUGUUCUAAAUAGGUGUCCAACUAAGGCAUUAGACAAGAAAACUCCAUUUGAAGCUUAUAGUGGAAGAAAGCCAGGAAUCAAACAUCUAAAAGUGUUUGGUUCUCUGUGCUAUGCACAUAUUCCAGAACAGCAGAGACAAAAGUUUGAUUUGACUAGUACAAAAUGUGUGUUUCUGGGAUAUGGAAGUUGUGAGAAAGGCUACAAGCUUUACAAUAUUAACUCUGGAAAAGUCAUUAUUUCUAGAGAUGUGGUGUUCAAUGAGGAAGCUUGUUGGGACUGGAAUGCACAAAAGGAAUGCAGUCUUACAAUACCAUUUACUGAUUCUCUCACGGAAAUGAGAUUGAAGGAACAAGGUUGAUUCAAGCUGAGAUCUCUGAAGAUGAUGUUGAAAUACCAGAAGAUAGUGAAGAAAUACAUGUUAAAUCUGAUUCAGGUCCACAAGAUGUUGAUCACACACCUUUGAAAUAUAAAAGUAUUGCAGAAGUGUAUGAAAGAUGCAAUCUGUGUAUAAUUGAACCUGAAACAUUUGAAGAAGCUGUCAAGGAUGAAGCAUGGCAGAAAGCAAUGGAGAGUGAAAUUACAAUGAUAGAAAAGAAUAAUACCUGGGAGCUAGUUGAUAGACCAUCUGAUAAACCAGUAAUUGGUGUCAAAUGAGUUUAUAAAAUUAAGUUGAAUCUUGAUGGCUCAGUUCAGAAAAAUAAAGCAAGACUUGUUGCAAAGGGUUACUCUCAAAAGCCUGGUAUAGACUUCAAUGAGACCUUUGCACCGGUUGCUAGGCUUGAUACAAUAAGGACUUUGGUUGCUUUGGCUGCACAGAAAGGUUGGAAACUUUAUCAAUUAGAUGUGAAGUCAGCAUUUUUAAAUGGAGUAUUGCAGGAAGAGGUUUAUGUUGAUCAACCCCUUGGGUUUGUGAUUAAAACCAAGGAAGAUGGGGUUUACAGACUCAAGAAGGCACUUUAUGGUCUUAAGCAAGCUCCAAGAGCUUGGUAUGAAGAAAUUAAUUCCUAUUUCACUAAGGCAGGUUUUCAAAGAAGUCCUAGUGAAGCAACUUUAUAUGUGAAGAUUACUAAAGGUGGAAUACUUAUUGUUUCACUAUAUGUGGAUGAUAUAAUCUACACUGGGAAUUCAAAAGAAUUGUUGAUGGAGUUCAAAACUGCAAUGAUGAGACAAUAUGAAAUGACUGAUCUUGGAUUGUUGCAUCAUUUCUUGGGUCUUGGUGUGAUACAAACUGAUAAUUUCAUUUUCUUGCAUCAGAAGAAAUAUGCAAAGACACUGUUAGACAAGUUUGGUUUCAAAGAUUGUAAAUCUAUUGCUACCCCUCUUGCUGUGAAUGAUAAACUGUCUAAAAUGGAUGGUAGUGAACAAGCUGAUGAGGGUCUAUAUAGGCAGAUGGUUGGAAGCCUAUUAUACUUGACUGCAACAAGGCUAGAUAUCAUGUUUGCAGCAAGUUUGUUAGCAAGAUUCAUGCAUGGUCCUACUAAAAACAUAUGGGAACAGCUAAGAGAGUGCUUAGAUACAUUCAAGGCACACUUGAUUAUGGUAUAGCAUAUGAGAAGGGAAAUGAAGCAAUGCUUAUUGGCUACUGUGACAGUGAUUGGUCAGGUAGUGAGGAUGACAUGAAGAGCACAUCUGGGUAUGCAUUUAAUCUUGGUUCAGGAGUGUUUUCGUGGGCAUCAGUCAAGCAGAGUAGUGUUGCAUUAUCUACUGCAGAAGCUGAAUAUGUUAGUGCAGCAGAGGCCACAGCACAAGCAAUUUGGUUGAGAUUUGUUCUCUCGGAUUUUGGUGAAGAAUAGGUUGAGCCAACUACAAUCUUAUGUGACAAUACAUCUGUUAUUGCCAUAACCAAAAAUCAUGUGCACCAUUAUAAGACACGACAUAUAAACAGGAGACUUCAUUUCAUUCGUGAUGCACUACAAGAUGGAGAAAUCGACUUACUGUACUGCAAGACAGAGGAACAGGUUGCAGACAUUUUCACUAAGGCUUUGGCCAGAGAUCGAUUUGAACUUCUGAGACAGAAGCUUGGAGUAAUUUCAGCACAAAACUUAGAAGGGAGUGUUGGAAUAUAAGUGUGUGUACUGUUUUUCUAAUGUUUCUAAGUUUAAAUGUGAGCCAUUGGAUUAUAGACCAAUUGGACAGCUGAGAUGUAAUCUUAGUUUUAGUAGUGUAUAUUGCCACUUGUAUCUAUCUUAUAGGGUAGAUUACAUGAAUGGUAGAGAUUGAAUUGUGUAAAAUGAGAGGUUAUCUAUCUCUUCUCUACGGAUAUAUCCUUGCACAUGCCUUAUGUGCUGAGUAUGAAUGAAGAAAAGCUUUGUUAGUUCUGUUUGAACAUUCUUUCUGUAUUCAUCUGUGGUUGGAGAAAUCUUUCAUUUUCUUCUUGAUUCACAUUCUGGAAAACAAGGUCAUAUUCCUCUAUUCUAACAUUUCAGUCCUCAACAUGAUCUCUUCCUUAUCCCUCUUUUCUUCGACUUGCCAUCAUUACAAAUCCAAAAAACCCAAUUCAAAAAGCAAGUAAUUAGAAGCCCAAAAUGGAGACGAUGAUCGAGUUAGAGAGAGAGAGAGAGAGAGAGAGAGAAAGAGAGACGAACCCGAAAGAGCGAUGCUAGGGUGAUUUAGGGGUUCUCUUUGCCAAUCGUCAAGUAGGGGUCGCAAGAGAGGUCUACGGACAAGGAAAGAAAAAAAUGCUAACUGGGUCUUUGCAAUAACCAAUUUAUAUAUGAGGACAAUUUGGUCAUUUUAAGUUUUAGAAACACCAUAUUUCUGUCAUAUCGUUGUGCAUGCCGUGUGCAUGGGCUGCGCAUAUCCCAACAAUUCUAUUUUAGUCCUAAGAUUAAGGAAAUGGUCCAUUUUUGUCAAUUUCCCAAAAAAAAUCACAAGAAUUGCGUAUGUUACAUUAAUAGUGGUGGCGAGUUAAUACUACAUAAUGCUAUUCCAUAGUACACCAGGUAGCAACUGAAACUAUCUUGUAUACAGUAAGUUGAAUAUCAGAGUGUGCAACAAACAAGACUAACAAAAUAAUAAGACUAUUAUUAAACAAACUGAGAAUGCCGUUUCGACAACAAAACCCUAAGAGACUUCAUUGUGAAUGACUUAUUUAUCCAUGCUAAACUAUAAGCUAUAUUUAUAGAGCAAAACCUAAAAACUCUAAUUCGGAUGGGCUAGGCCCAUAUACUAACUAACAAGCAAACUCAUAUAAUCAUAAAAUACUAAUAUUUUCCAACACCCCCCCCGUCAAACUCAUGGCGGUAUACGACAUGAGUUUGCAAACAAGCAGAUGCGGACUAGCAGACAUGCAAACUUGACUGGACUUGACUUGACUUGACUGGCGAACUUGCGAACUUGACUUAACUUGAUUGGCGAACUUGCGAACUUGACUUAACCUAACUUGACUUGAUUCUUGAUUCUUGUUUAAACUGGCUAGCUUGACUUGACUUGAUUCUUGAUUCAUGUUCAAACUGGCUAGUGUUGAGAGUAUGAAAAAAACUCGUUACUAAACGAACGAGAUUUCCAUAUCUCAAUUGUACCAACAAAAGAACAAAACAAUUCCAAACAGGCCAACAACUCAUGUGGACCUAAAAACAAACUUAACCAUUUUUCUCUUGUUGCCCGUGGACCUUAAACUAACAGCAACCAAUUGUUUUUCUUUUUCCUUCUCUUUUUGCUUUUUCUUUCUUUCUAUCCUUUCCUUCCUUCCCGUUUUUCUUUCUUUUUUCUUUCAUGCGAACAAACAGCAAAACCUUUCUGUUUUCCCUUUUUUUUUCUUCUGUGCAAACAAACAACAGCAGCAAGAUCCUUUCUAUUUUUUUUUCUUGCAAACAAUCAAUACCAACUAACAAAUCUAAAACGAAAACACAAACAGCGGAAGAUAACAGAAACAAAACUGAUACAAACAAAUUGAUACCAACGAGAACGGAUUGAACCCUAAGGAUCGAACCCGCUCUGAUACCAAGUUGAAUAUCAGAGUGCGCAACGAUCAAGACUAACAAAAUAAUAAGAGUAUUAUUAAACAAACUGAGAAUGACGAAACGACUACAAAACCCUAAGAGACUACAUUGUGAAUGACUUAUUUAUCCAUGCUAAACUAUAAGCUAUAUUUAUAGAGCAAAACCUAAAAACCCUAAUUCAGAUGGGCUAGGCCCACACACUAACUAACAAGCAAACUCAAAUAAUAAUAAAAUACUAAUAUUUUCCAACACAGUGCAGUAUGAAGCAUAUAAGCAUCGGUUUGUAUAACAUGUUUGUUGCUAGUAAUCAUCUUCUUCUUCGUCUAUUGAUCCAGUGAAUCUCCUUGCAACAGCAGCAAGAGCACCAAGAAACACAAAGAAAGCGAAAAGUUGGAACCCGCCACCGAUGCCAAUGGCAACACCAGGGCCUGGGGCAAAAAAUGAAAAUGGAGACCAACCCCAGCCUCCGAAGAACGGUACUCCAUAGCCAUAUCCAUAGCCACCAACUAGAGGUGGUGCUACUGGAGGAUUGAUGUAGAUAUUGGUCCUACAAAUUAUAGACACACAUAUAAGUUAACAUAUCUUUAGAUAUAAACUUAAACGCAUUACAAAAGGGAGCUACCAAUCCAAAAAUCAUGUCAAAAAAUGACUAGUUCCACUAAUGAACAAUAUAUUUUUUGAUGGCACAAGGAAUGAUUUGAUCUCAGUGAUCUAAUGUAAAAUAAUAAAACUCAGAUAACAAUAAAAUAUCUAGGGUGGUGCCAACCAUACACUUCUUUUUACCUGCCACACACCCAUCUCAAUUUCUGGUCAUCGGUUAAAUGAAUUGAAGAAGACCAAAUGAUUGAAAUUAACAUGGGUGCGUGAAGGUAAAAUUGGGUGUGUAGAUAGUACCACCCAAUAUCUAACAGCCAAUAGUUCGUGACUUUUGGUAUGAAAAGGAAAUUAGAACGAAAUGGUAAUAGUUCAAGUAUGGAAGGCUGGUUGAUUUACAUUGUUAAAUAAGUGCAUGGGAACUAUCGAUUACAAAAUAUAUGUGCUAAAUCAGUAUUAUCCGGGGCACUAAUGAACUUAGUCAAGUUAGCUAGAACAGGUACUCUGCUCUUUGCAUUCAAGUUCGAUUGCCACUUCUAGUAGUUUUGAUUAAUUUAGCUUGGAUUAUCGCUUAUAUAAAAAACACAAACCGUUUUUUAUUUUUUCAACCCGAAAAUGAUGUCUCAACCCAAUCCUCAAAGUGAUCAUCUCUUAUCCAUAUGUCAUAGAUUGCCAUAAAUUUCACAAGGGAACCGAUUUCAUUAAAAACUUAACUUGAAAAGUUUAAUAGGAGGCCCUUCUAAGUUCCAACCCUGGAUUCUCUGAGUAGUAGCACUUUAUUAUUUCCUAAUUGAAUCUCUCCACAACUUAAAGCCACUAGAAUUUUAAAUUCCGAUACAUGACUCUAAGAAAGUAUAAAAUCCGUAGCAGGAACUUACUAAUAACUUUUUUAACCAAACGCAGCAAUCCAAUCCAAACACGGAAAUAAUCGAAUUAAAACUUGGUACAAUUGUUAAUUACCUUGAAUUGUUGUUGAUCCUAGGGGACGAAGACCGAGGAGUCGAAGACCGAAACGCCUGGCCUCCAACUCUCCCACCAGACUUGGCAGCUGAUGCAUCAUGAACUGAGCCCAAUGUCAACACCCCAGCUGCCAGUGUCACCAUUGCCAACUUUGCCAAUUUGUUCUCAUCCUUUCUGGGCGUUUCAUCAAAUAUUUUGCAUGAGAUGAAAGUGUUAGAAAUGAGAAUCUUGGUUUUGGGUUUGUGGGGUGGGGGGGUGAGAACGUUGGCUAGAAAGCUCUGUUGAGAUGAGGAUAUGGAGGACGACAUGCUUACUUGUUUGAAGUUGCAGUUCUUCUGUUUUCGUUUUAAAUGUUGUUUUUAUGAUUCUGAGGUUGCCACGUGGGAUAAUGUUAGAGGUUCAUUACACCUGUGGUGUAGAUCCACUCGCUUGUUAAGUUAAGACUUCGAGAUGGGGCUAUACACGAACUUUAAAUUGAGAAUUUAUUUCUACUCAUUGAAUUAAAAUAGAUGACUCUUACUAAAAUAACAAAAAUCAUACGAUCGGGUUAAAAUAACCUAGUGCUCGGUUGAGUUACAUCGUAUAUGCAAAUGAAUAUAAUAGGAAGAUCGAAUUUACGAUUGUCAUUUCAUCCGCUGACAAAUCCGUUGAGGUAAGGUCACGAUGUUGGGGUUAGAGGACGGUAAUUUUCUCUGGUGAGUGUGAUUUUCAUCAUGUGAUGGUGUUGUAUCUUUGAAACAUUUAAUGACAUUUGAAAUGCAAACCCUUUUAAAGCAGUACAUUGACUUAAUGCUAAAUUUGUAUUAAGCUUGGUUUGCAUUUGGCUGGUCUAAGCUCGGAGAGUAAUAGAAACAAGCAAAGUUAUGCUGGCUCGUUAAGAAGCAAGCAAAGCUUAGGUGUUUCUAUGUUUGGCUCGUAAGCAUCUUCAAGAGUCCUUUCAAUUUUUUGUUAAAUUAGCUAGCGAACAGUGUUGAAAAACUAUUUUAGUUUGUUAGUUGAACUUAACAUCUCUAACCACAGCAGGUUUAAGUAUUAUUUCUUAAUUUUCAAAAGCCUAGGCAUUAAUCGAGAUGGUGACUAGCUGCCUAGCGCCGUAGUGGUUAUAAUUGUUUCCAUGUAAUUCAAAAGUGAUAGACAACAGGGCUGCUACGGUAUUAGCAGAAGAGUGAGCAAUUGUUCUCUAAUGCAGGAAUAGUACAGAAUGUGUGAGCAAUUGUUCUCUAAUGUCAGCAUCCGAGGGUUGUGCCAUCAGCGUUCUAAUGCUGUCUCACAUCCUGCAUUAGAUAAACGCUCAAAGAGUGGAUACAAAGAUGGUGCAAACUAUCAAAGAAAGAUAGAAAGUAGAUUAAAACUGGAGGACAUUGUUUGGCCCCUUAGACGAGCAAAAAUAAACCAAAUACAGCCCUUUAUCUUGCACUUGAAAUACAUUAGAAUGCAAAUAUAAAACGAAGGAGAGUUUUAUAUAUAGCACAGACAUGCUCUCCACCAUAUCUAGAAAUGUUUAACUAAUUAGGCCUGCUUUUGAUUUGUCUUUCUUUCUUCCUCUAUCUCUCCUCAUCACUUUGUUACUUUGUUGAACUCCGGCCCUUUCUUUCCCGGGUAGCGUUUGUUCUGGAUUGUUACACUGUAUAAUGCUGCUGGAUUGUGUCAAUGUCCAGGCCCUUCAGUUUCACCACUGAUUCCACAUGUCCCUUGAGAGUGUGAAGCUCCCGAAGUCUACAACCACAAAUUAACAAGAUAUUUGGUUUCAAUAAACCGAUGGCACGCAGGAAGAUACUGUCAAUUAUAGGAAAAUGUUUUCUUGCCAGAAUAUGUGACAAGUUAUGUCAAUAUGUUGCUAGGCUGUCAAUCUGGACUACCGAGCUAGUAGUACGGUCCAAAUUUACAAUAUGGCAACAUAACUUUCCAGAUUGCUAACAAGAGAACAUUACCCAUCAUUCAUACAACUUUGAAAGUGAUGUUAUGCAACAGGAAUUGAGAAACGAAUUGUUUCCUGUAGGUAACAUUUGAAAUUCUGAAUGGUAGCUUACCUUGCAACUUCGGCUCGUCUCUUGGCCUGCUCAGCAAUCUCAGACAGCUCUCUGUAGCUGUUCUUGUCAUGGAAGAUACUAGAAGAUUCCGGUGCUUGGAGACCGUGAAGUGUCCUUUGAGCAUGAGCCCAUUGAGCUUCUCUUUCUUCUUUUCCAUAAUCUUUCUUGGUGGUAAAGGCAGUCUGUUACAGUAGGAUAAAUAAUUAGAAAACUUUGACUUCACCGAUCAAAGUAAAUGAUUUCACCUUCUAUUCGAAAGAACAAAGAUUUACCUUGUUCUCUAGCAAGUUGAGCCACGCCUUUCCACUCAAGAUAUACCGAAUGGCGAAUUUCAUAAAGUCUAGUGGGAAAUAGAAGACAAUGCUGUAAAUCCAGAUGACACCAGCCCAUCCCCAACCAACUCCGUGUAUUUUUGCGAAACCCCAUUUGGCAUAUACUGCUAGCAAAGUUGCAAUCUGAAGAAGGGUAAUCUUCAGCCUUCUAUAACUUGUAUAAAAACUUGCUUAUUUAAUAGAGGAUAUAAGCGGCAUUCUUCUUACCAGUUGCGCGAUCAUGAAGGCACUCAUUAGAAGCAUUCCAGGUCGUUCCAUAAAGGAGAAGCCACGGGAUCGAGUCACAAAAAUGAGGGCCUGGCUCACAAUACUCACUUGCAGGUACAAGGCAGCCAUUAGUUCCUCAGGUUUCUCCCUUAUGGAUCUUACACCAAAUGAGUCCUGCAAAAUAAUGAGCAGAAAAUGCAUAUUGGAAACUGAACUUCAUGAAAGUUUCUGAAAACAAAUGAUGGACAGAAAAGAGAAAAGCAUAAGAAAGAUCAUCUUACAGAGAAGAAGUCGGUUUCUUUGAUUAACCAGAAGAAGAUAACAGUCAUCAGUGCCAAGUAACCUCCAAGCACAAUCCCAGUAGCAAAAAUCUCUUUCAAUUUCCAGCUAUCAGGCAGGGGAGAUGGCUUUACUCUAUCCUUUGAGAUUGUCAUAAUUGUGCCUUCAAAAUUUACCGAGUGCAUGGUGUCAGUAGUCACAUAAAUAUAUAUCAUAUACUAUUUGAAAGUUCGCUUCAUAAAACUUACCAUCGUUCAAUAUGGCAAUAAUCAAAACCAUGAAGGGUGAGAAGUCGAACUUCCAUAUGAGAGCAAUGAACAUGAAACCGAACUGCAAUGUUUUGCCAAAUAAAAAUAAAACAAAUAAGAUAAAGACUUGAUUAGGGAGAGAAACCACAAAUUGUUAAACCACCUCUAUUUACUUACCACAAUACGAAUGGUGAUAGAAACUGCAUAGAUCUGCAAAAGACAAAGAAAACAAAACAGGAGGAAAACGUUAGACUUUCCAUCAUAAACUGUUCGAUCAGAGUGGUCUUUUGAUGAGAAAGGCAGGAAAACUAACAGUGUAGUUCUUCAUUCUCUGGAAAAUAGCUCUACUGGUCAACACUGCACUAAUGAUGACACUCAAUCCGGGUUCUGUAAGAACAAUGUCGGAAGCACUUCGUGCAGCAUCGGUAGCAUCGGCAACAGCAAUUCCGAUAUCUGCCUUCUUCAGUGCAGGGGCAUCAUUGACACCAUCUCCAGUCAUUCCACAAAUGUGCUUUCUUUCCUGCAACUUCUUCACAAUUUCGUAUUUGUGCUCUACAAGAAGCAAGAAGAUGUGUAAGAAAAAAUCACUUUCCGUAUUAGAAAACAGAGAAACCCUCUAAUCAGUCCCUGCUCAAAAGUAUUCACCUGGAAACACUCCAGCGAACCCGUCAGCCUUCUCAAUUAACUCUUCAAUAGGAAGGGCAGCGAUGCUUGCAUCCUUGUGUUGACCAAGUAAGGAAGCAGAUGGGUACAUGUUUGUUCCCAUUCCAAGUCUCCGACCAGUUUCCUUGGCAAUGGCAAGUUGAUCGCCUGCAGACACAGAAACGGUGACAGCAAGUAAGCACAACCACACACAAAAUAAGAAUGAAUCCAUUAAAGUAGGUUGAAUAUUAACCGACUUACCAGUAAUCAUCUUAACAUUUACACCAAGGUUAAGAGCCUGGCGGAUGGUUUCUGCACUAUCAUGUCUUGGAGGGUCGAAAAGAGGCAACAAUCCAACAAACUGCCAUGGACCACCAGAACUUUCUUUUGUUUUCGCAGGCACUUCCUGUAAACAUAUACCAAUCACAAUGAUAAGCGGGUGCUCAACUUCUUAUAAAACUGAAAAAAAUGCAAGAUAUACUAAAAACGUCAAGGUUGAGUAUAAAACCUGUCUGGCAACAGCCAAUGACCGAAGCCCACGUUCAGCAUAUUUGUCAAUGAUGGCAAAAGCCUUCUUCUUGAAAUCUUCUUUGCAGAGGCAGAGGUCCAAAAUCUAAUUACAGAAAUCAAUUCAUUAGUCUGUGAGUAUGAACGCUUACCUUUCAAUAAUGUAAUGCACCAGGUAACUAUAGGAAAAACAGAAGUACCUGCUCAGGGGCACCUUUGCUUGCUCUAUGCCAGUUUCCAUCGGAAUCAAUGUAAGUCAAAGCAGUUCUCUUGUCGACGGGAUUAAAUGGUAAGAAGUGCACCUCUCUAAUACCAGCUCGGGCCUGCGUAUAAAUGAAUUCAUUAAGAUGAGCAUAUCCAUUGAAAAUUCCGUCCCAGAAUUAAUGAAGAACCAAUUAUAGGGCAUACAAGAAAAGUUGGAAAUGAUUUAUACCUCCUUUGGGUCGGCAAGCAUUCCAACCAUAGCAGCAUCAAUGGCAUCCUGGUUUUCAGUUCUGGACGACCUUGCAGCUAGAAGAAUGACAUGAUCUUUCUCCACACCCUUUGCAAACACCUCAAUCAAGUUUUUAUCGACACUAAGCUUGUUAAGAGUUAGUGUUCCUGUCUUAUCACUGCAAAGUACAUCCAUACCCGCCAUUUCCUCAAUGGCAGUCAUCCUCUUGGUGAUGGCACCCUGCUGAGAUAGCCUGUGAGAACCAAUAGCCAUUGUCACGGACAAGACAGUGGGCAUGGCAAUGGGAAUGCCUCCAAUCAAGAGCACCAAGAGAUUGUCAAUUCCAUUCCUGUACUUGCGGUGCUGAAUUGGGUACAUGACUAUGAUCUCAAUCACCAUUCCAAUGGCAAUGGAACAGAUACAGAAGUUCCCGAUGGCAGUGAGCACCUUCUGGAAGUGUCCGACUUGGUUAGUGCUGUCCACAAGAUGUGCAGCCUUCCCGAAGAAGGUAUGGACACCGGUGGCAAUAACAACAGCUUCAAUUUCACCCUGCUUGCAAGUUGAACCGGAGAAAACCUCAUCACCUGGAUGCUUGGUCACUGGAAGUGAUUCUCCUGUGAGGGCAGAUUGAUCAAUCUUUAAAGGAUCACCCUCGAGAAGACGAGCAUCAGCUGGGACGAUAUCUCCCAAUUUGAUACUGAUGAUGUCCCCUGGAACCAAGAUCGCAGCAUCCUCCUCGCUCCAUUUUCCAUCUCUAAGCACCUACAUAUACAUCGCCAUCAAACACAUAAGAAUUAUAUUGUUGCCUCCAAUUAGCGAGGUGCAUGGUUGUGUGAGAAGCGUCUGAGACUCAUAUCGACUGUCUGUUAAAUCGAUCUGUGCAACAUAAACGACUGUGAGAAAUUUAUUGAUUUUGUUAUCGAUUCGUGACACAUGUCGCUAGGAGUGCCGAUAGUAGAAAUCUUAUUAUAUUACCACAUUCCCUACUAGCCUACAUAUGAGAAUGGAUUCUAUUAACAGAACAAAAACGGUGAUGUUUGCGCUACAAGAAAACAACAUAAAUAGACGCCAUAAGAGUGGCACAAGAUGAGGCGGCUCAAGCUUUUAGCCACCAAUAAUUUCGUAUUUAAUUAUUAGGAUUUGAUAGUGCUUUUAGCCACCGCAUCUUGUCUAGUGCAACUAAUGUCAGUGACUAUUCAUGCGGUUUUCUUGAACUGUUGAAAAGGCUCCUUAAAACUAAAGUUACUUACUUGAGUACAAAGCCACAGAAAUCCAGGACCCUAUUGAAAUGUUUGAUUUGGAUUACCUUAGUCUUAGGAGCAAGACCAGCCAUAAGAGCAGCAGCUGCAUUUCCGGCAUUGUUUUCUUCAAUAAAACUGAUGGUAGAGUUGAUGACCAACAGGCAGAGAAUACCGACAAAAUCUUGCCAAUCUGGCGGCUUCCCAUCGCCGUUGGCCAGAGCAAUUGCCAUGAUGGCUGCAGCUUCCAUGACCCAUGAUAGAGGAUUCCACAUAAACCCCAGGAACUUGAGAAAUUUGCUUUCCUGUUCAUUGUAGCAGUAACAAAUAUUUAGAUAUUAUGAACUAAACUAUACCAAAAGCUAGUAAAAACAAAAUUUAAUGUAUGCAAUCGUUGUAGUAAAAGGAAAAAUGUCUCUUGCACUCGCUCGCGCGGAGAAGCUAGUUAUAUUAUUAGGAAAAUGACCUUUUUCUCUUCUAGCUUGUUCGGACCAAAAAUCUCUAGCCUUUGGGCUCCUUCCUCCGAGCUCAAGCCUUCUUUGGUACAUUUCAACUGUUCAAACACUUCCUCGACCGGAAUCCGCUCCUGUAAACCAACUCAUUGUUAGGAAAGAAAUACUUAUAAUGCUCACUAUAAUUUCAAGCAUUCAUACAUACCACACACCACCUAUAAAAACUAUGAUUUGGUUAAAAUAUUUAGUCAAAUUAAAUACAAAUAUUUUGUUCCGGUAAAUUAUUUGUACAAACUCGGAUAUUUGAUCAGUAAAUAUGAUGCAAUUCCAGUUUUCGCUUUCUUAUAUUUAUAUAAAGUAGCAUACAAUUCCAGCCAAAUGAUAACUGUUGCAAGUUGACAAAUGAACUGUUGACAAACUGUCGGGGAAUCACAUCUCAGUGAACAUGUAACAUGCAUAUAAAGUAUAGCCAGUUCAUUUUUUUUUUGUAAUUUCAAAGUAUAUAAGCCAGUUCAUUUGCUUGACAUUCUUUAAACCAUAGGGCUUGAGGUCCACAUGUGAGAGAUUUCUAUACAUUACUAGAUUAGUAGAUCCCACAAAAAUAAAUGCAUACUACAAUUCAAAUCAAGCCAGCUGCCAAAAAUAAUAAUAAUUGGAAAAUAAAAGAAAUAAGAGAUAUAAGGCAAUAUUAUUUUCCUGUACGCAUUUUCUCUUUCUUCACACUUUUGCUACUCUCCUUUAAUUUAUUUUGUCCUUUAUUUUAUCCAAGAGAAAGGUUUUAAUCUACCACAAUUACAGUUUAAAGUGAAUGACACACCACUUAAGUGACCAACUUAUCCAAUUACAUAUAAUCCAAUAGUAGUAUUGAAAAUUAGCCAAUUAGUAUUACGGUCCAGUAAUAUUCUUCAUCACUAGUAAUUUAGAGGUCUUAGGUUCAAAUUCGCUUCGCCAAAAGUGAAUUUGAAUUAAAUUAUUGCUAGUUCAUUGUGAAGCUAAACUCACCCUCUGCUCUUUAGUGUAGAUAAUAUCGUUUGUUCAAAAAAAAAAAAUCCAAUAGUAGUAUUUCGUUCACGUAACCGUAAAAGCGGUAGAGUAGGACAUUCUCUUUUAUCACAUCCAAAUUCCAAAUAUAAAUUCGCAAGGAGAGAAACGGUGAGAAGAUAUUAUCUUAUCUAUCACAUAGCAUUCAAAAUUUAACCUUGAAAUCGAAAUUGAAUGGAUUUUAUUUUUGAAUCAAAUCUCAAAGGAAAUCCUUUAUUUUUCAAAAGUAACGUCAAGCAUUUUAUUGGGAUGAAGAUCCUCUCUGAAUCCUUUUUGUUGAAUCCUAAGAAUUCUCACAUCAUGACUGUUCAUCGUACAUUGUGCGAUCAGUUUUCAUUAAGUACUAUUUAUAUUUAAUUUUAAAUAAUAAAAUUUAAAAUGAUUUCUGAUCAUACGAUAUAUGAUAAACGGUUACGAUAUGAGGAUCCUUAGAUCCUCACAAUUUGAAUCCAAAUGGGAUCCAAACCCCUUUUAUUGGUUACAACUUGAUGAUUGCUGACCAUGAAUUUUGAUUUUCAACGGUUACAAUGACUCGAAAAUCAAACCUCACAAUUUUUUUAUAUUUAUCCAAAUUCUGGCCCUCCUAGGGAUGCUAGCCAAUCACAAAAGCGUUGACCCACGCAGUUAUAAUAUAUUUCAUUUUUAUUUAUUAUAUUAAUAAAAAUGAAAAAAGUGUUUGUGUUAGUUAAUAAAGAGAUUUUCCAGUACUUCUGAAAUGAGCAAAAAAUAAAAUAAAAUCUAAUUAUAUUACAACAUGGGAUGUGCCAAACCCCCCUAAAAAUCUCUUGUUAGGGGCACAACACAACUUUUCAAGGCAAGAGCGUGACUGGUGCGUGACCUGCACGCACCCAAUACGAAAAACCCAAACGCUGGUGUAAACAACAUAAAGUAUCGAAAGGCAACUGAGGUACAAAAAGAGUUUAACUAGAAGUGUUGGUUUUGUAAGUGGUCUUCUACCACUAUGAUAUAGAUGCAUGUCGUUCUUGCACCACCGGGAUGCGAAUUCUGCUAUCUCGAACUUCGUCGUCUUUCUAAUCUAACGAAUAAUCUAACAGAUCGGUAGUUUGACCAAAAAAAUAAAAAUGAGGUACAGAAAAAUAAAAUAAAAAAAGGGUGUUUUAUAAAUCCAAUGGUGUCAGGAGAGAGGGUGGAUGUGAGAGUUAUCACAGGGGAAACGGUUUAAGAUUUUUGAGAUAAAAAAAAAGAGAAUUCCUCAAACAGGAAAAACCCAAAGUACCACGGAAAAGUACAUCCAAUCCCUAAAAGCAAACAAACACCGGUGCGAGAGAGAGAGAGAGAGAGUUAGAACAAACUGUAUUGACAUGGAACGUUUCUGUGAUAAAAGAAGAAAAGAAAUGAUUUAUAUGGAAUAUAUUUAGUAUCACUAUGACGUUCUAGAUCAAUAGUUUCAUUUUUACAUAGCUAUAUUAAUGGACACAGAUGUUACAUGUCAGUGAAUCCGUUUUACAAAAAGUUAAUCUUUUAAGCACAUAGCAGCGAAUCCGUUUCACAAAAGGUAUCAGAUAACCAAAAACAAAUGAAGGGAGAGUAGUUGCAGAAAUGAAUGAAUCAAUUUUGUAAGAACAUGAUAAAGUCAGAUCUAAGCGUCAAUCCACAGCAUACACAGCUAGAAAACUAGGAACAUGCAACAAGUAAACUCACUUUGGUCUAAAGAUUAAGCAAAAACCCAACUCAUGAAAAAGUAAAAAACUAACACAAACAAAAUCAAGAACCAUAUUUUCCUGAGAAAAUGAGGAAGAAAAAUAUACCAGAUCAACAGUCUCGUUCUUGAUCUCCUCCAGGCUGAUAGCCUUGCCCGUACUCCCCAUCUUUUCACAAGUUUAAACCAGAACCUGAGCGAUAAGCUUAAUUAGCAACAAUGGAGGAGGAGGAGGAGGAGGAGGAGGAGGAGGAGGAGGAGGAUGAUACUAAAAGGGCAUUUCUGAAUCCCAAGAAAACAAAGGGGGAGACUGAAACUUGGGAACAAGUGCUUGUGGGAAAAGUGCUUGUGGCUGCCUCUAUUUUUAUACGUCUCCGAGGAAGGCCACCCCCUCCCCUCAUGAGUCAGAAUAAAUUAAUAAUGUUUUGGGGGGUGGUUAUGUAAUGUCGCAUUUGAUCCCCGCCGUUUAACCCCGUCCCCAAGUGGACCCUCACCCUUGCUCUCGUAUUAUAGUACGACUUUUAAUUCAUCGUUUAUGCUAUGCAAUUUCUCUACUUCUAGAAAAUUAAUAAAUAAAGAGAAUAAAUUAAAAUCAAAUAAAGAGAUUAUUAUCAACAUUUCAAAAUAAUCAUUGUGCACCGUCUUUUAAAUAUGCAAUAUUCAAAUAUUGAAUCACUAUGAAAAUGCAUCUUCAAGAUUAGUCCUGCUUGUUAGGGUAACAUCUUGCUCUCUUGCAAACUGAGUUUGAAUCAUCAUCUCUUAACAAAUAACAUGUUUACUUAUAGAGAACAAAAUUUCGAUGCAUUAGGAUGAUUGACUUCGAUAUGUUUACUAAAACGUGAGUAUUGUAAUCAUUUAAAUUUUUAGAUUCUCAUGUGUUUGCUAACACUUAUGAUAUAAAAGAAAUGUAUAUUCAACCUUAAAAUUCUUAAUUCCAAUACGUGAAAAUUAUGAAUCAUAUUAACUAGGAGAGAUUAGUUGAUUCAAAUCCUAUUUAUUUUUCUCGUUUACAUGACCUCCCUUGUUUUCAAGUACAUAAACAUACCAUUAGGUAGUUUAAAAUAUAUUACCUCUAUGUAAUCUAUAUAAUAAUGAUAAAAAAAUUAAAGUUAAAUAAUACAAGAUGAUACUUCAAAAUAAUUUUCGCUCGCGUGCCACAUUCAAUUUGGUGUUAUCAAUUAUGACAUGUUUUUAUUUUGAAAUAUUGUCAUCUACUUAUGUUGAUGCACAAAAUCGGAGGUCUUGGAACAACGUAAAUUCGACCGUGAAUCUGCAUGAAAUGUAAAUAACACAAGAUGUAUCGUGGUUCACCCCAAGGUUUGGACUACGUCCACACUGAUUAUGUAUUUAUCUGAGGGAGAGAUAGAUCUGAGAGUGAGAGCUUUGAGAGGGGGUGAGAUGGCCUAGGAAUUGGCAUCUUCCAAUUGUGAAGGUGAGGGGUCCUUUUAUAGAAUAAGGACUCUUCACUUAUUACAUAUUUUCCCUUUCCUUUAUUACAUAUUUUCCCUUUCUUUUAUUACAUAAUUAUAUUUAAAUUCCCCGAAUAUUUGUACGAGAUCUAAAUACAAAACCUUAAAUAUGGUAUAAACAACUUAUAUAAUAACACGUGGAAACAAAAUAAUAACUCUUUCGUAUAAUAAAUUUUCGCUCCACCUUAACAUCAAAGUCUAAUAAUGUAAUGUUAUAUCGAACGAAAAUUAUAAUAUAAUAAUAUAAUGUUAUGUGAAAGAAAGUUAUAACGUUAUAAACACGUUUUAUAUCUUAGUAUUUUAGACUGUUUUCUCUAAUUACCGGUGACUUGUCGGUUGCUGCUGCUGCUAUGAGUGAUGAUGAUUGUUUAAUUGUUUUGUGAUACGGAUUGCCUUGGGGUUCUGACCCACCCCCUGCGAGGCUCACACACCCAAUAAAAUGGUCCAUCCCAGUGCUUGCUGACAUGUGAAGGAUUUAACACCAAUUGGAAAUCUGCAAUGGCAGUUUCUCUGCUUCUAACUCUGGGACGUGUACGUAUAUGGUGAAAGGUGAACUUGGGGUAGUAGUUGAUCAAAGAGUUGGCUUGGGAUUUGAGACGUGUGGGAAAUAUGGUUCUAAUAUAUGUUUUCACAGUAUCUUCAAAAGAGAUGUUAAAUUUUAAAUAUAAAAUUUGAAUUUGAGAGCCUAUGUGGUAUUUUGAUAUCUUUCAAAAUUUUACUCUCCACUUGGUAUAUCAAAUUAAAUAUUAUUUUAUUACACUAUUUUCUUUUCUUUUUAUUUUAUUAAACUAUUAUUUUCUAGGUUUGGAAUGAAGACUCCAGAGUCCCAACCCAACCCCACUCCUACACGCAGAGAAAGAGAGAUAGAGCUCCCAUUUCCUUCCCGAGACAAACGAAAGAGGUAAGCAGGCACACACUCAAUUCUUACCCUCUGUUUUCAAUUACGUAUUCUUUGAAUUUUCAUCCAAUUUUAAGUUAACCAAAUAUCAAAUUCUUUUCCAUUCAUCCUGACGAUAUCUGGUCUGAUCGAUUCCCCUUUUUCAUAAAUACUUGCUUGGUUGCUGAGAAAAGCAUAAGAAAAGUCAUCAAACCAAAAAAGAAAAAGAGCUUAAGAAACUAAAUUAUGGAUUGUUGACUUUCAACAGGGUUUUUGGAAAUUAAACUUACAUCCUUUGAACUGUUUCAAGAAUUUUUAUUUUGAGGUAUCCUUCAAGUAUCCUCCUUUAAUUUUUCUCUGUUCAGUUUGGUUGUCAAGAAAAUUAAAGCGCCGCUGCCUCUUUCUUCGUCUCGCCUUUCUUUGACUCCUCGACGAACAGCUGAACCAGAUUCCCGUCGUUGGGCUCGAUCAACCUGUUUGAAAUUCAGAGCCUUUGGCGGGUCAUGGGCUUGGACCCGAUAUGGGUUGAGAGCUUGAGGACAGGGGCGAAAUGGGCAGAUGACGACUUGGGGAAAGAGUGAGAGGGGUAAGGGGUGUUGACGGAAAGGGUGGCCAUGGAUGCCAUUGAAGGAGGUGAGAGAGGAGAGUUGCAGAUCUGAUAAAAAAAUUAAUAAAAAAAUGUUAAACGUUGCUGUCAAAUUUGAUAGCAAAGGGGAAAGCUGUCAUACCAUGUCAUGCUAUAUCAGAUUUAGCUUUUUGAUUGGAAAGCAUUGCAACUGUCUUUUUUUACUGUUAUUGUUGAUUUGGACAUUUUGACAUCUCCUUUGGAGAUGCUCUUAGUCAUCUUAUGGUUCCUUUUUUUUUUCGGAAAACAUUAAUUCAUUAAAGAAAAUAAAUGUAUAAUUUGUGAUGGUUGGAUCUAAGGAACGAAAAAAAUUUCUACAUGGCAUGAACAAGGAGUGGUACGCUAUGUGUCAUUAUAUAAGUGCAGAGAAUUUUUAUUUUUUUUCAAGUGUCCCUCUACUUGUAUAAUGACAUCUGAGAUUUAUACUCAUAUUUCGGGCACAUUGAAAAAUCUCUCUUAAGAAACAAGGUUUGAGAGAUUAAGCCCACCAAAAUACUACAAACCCAUUACAUAGGAAUUGAACAGAUAAAAAAAUAAACAAGUAACUGUAAUAGUAAUAGCAAAAGCAAUAGGUCAAAAGUUGAAACAACCGGAAACCCUAAUCCCCGUCAAAAUAGAAGCCCUCUGCCACUUCUCUCAUGCGACUGACCACCGAAGUAGCCAUCAUGUAGGUACCUAAACGAAGGUGAAUUUGCAAAAGCAAGGCACAACCAAAACAACCCAAAAAUGGCAGGCAUACCAAAGCAAAAAUCACAUCUUAGAGUGUCUCACUUGACUGAGACAUCUAAAUCUGUACCGCCAUCAACCGCACAUGCUAGAAGAGAACCAAAAUGGUAUAGUAAUCGAGAGGUGGAGAGGGCUAAGGGGAUGUGUAAAAUACCCUUACUAUAACGCAAGUUGUAGAACCCUUUGCCCAAAUUUUUUGGCAUGUUGGUAGGGUAGUGGGUGGUGGUGUAACAAUCCAUAUCAGAUCCAGAGCUUUAAGAUUUGAUUUUUGGUUGUGGUAGAGGGAAGGUGGUGGGAAUAAAGAUGAUAGAAAUGGAAUUAGAUGCAAGUCUAUGAUGGGAAUAUGGAGGGCUGGGGUUGAGGGAAAGAGGUUUCAAGUUUGGGACUAGGGUUUGCAUAAAUUUAAACAAAGACAAGAAGACAACAGAAGAGGAAAUAGGGCGAUAGACGGCGACCAUGCCGACGACUCUCAAAAUGAUAGCCGGAGUGAAGCCAAACCAAAUUUUAAGGGGGGGGGGAGCGAGGGAGGGAAUCACACAAGAGAGGAAAACGCUCGCAAAAGGAGAGAGACCACCAUGAAGGAUAGAGGUUUCGAGGACUAACGGCGAGUAGAGCAAAAACCAUAAUACAAAUUAUGGUUCCUUAUAAAAGACCGUUUGAUAAUUAUUUUUCAUUUUUCAGUUUCAAUUUUUAGUUUAUAUAAUACAAAUUGUAGUUCUUUAUAAGAGAUUGUUUGAUAAUUAUUUUUUAUUUUUCAAUUUUAAUUUUUUAGUUUAUACGUUCAUUCUUUAUCUUUAUUAUUAUUAUUAUUAUAUAUUAUUACAGGUGUUUCUGCAGAUUGCAGUUUCAAUCAUCUAUGACUCUAACCCCCAUACUUAACAUUAAAAGAGUAGAUAAAUUAGUGAAACGAUCCAAUUUAUACAAAUGAAAUUGCUGAACUUUCGCGGGUACAUAAUACAUUACAAUAUGACAUGAGUGGCAACAACAGAAAAACAGAAGCAUAUGUAUUUCCUCCUCCAUCCACUUACAAGCGGGUCCCCUCAUAACAUGAUGAGUGAAAUACUAUAAAACUAGUCGCACAUGGUAGGUAUAAUUUUGUAAAUAUGCUACGUGCCAUAAAAUAAAUAAAAUAUAAUUUUUAUUAAGUUUUAGAAGAUUAUAAAACAAGAGUAUUAUUUUGGUUUUUUUAUUGUCACAAAAUGAGAUAAUUUGACUUUAACUUGUUGGGACCCACAAUAAUCCAAAGUCGUCGCACCUUUGGCAGCUUAAACGAAAACACAGAUCCUUAUAAUAACAAUAUCUUAAACAAAAAAACAACAAUCUCAAUAAUAGAGGCGGAGGAGGAUCCUCUCCUGAGCAGGAGAUCAAGAUCCUUAGGAUCAAACAACAUGGACCGUUGGAUUUUAAUCCAACGGUUAUAAUUAUUAUAACUUUUAGAGAGACCCUCUGUUUGUAGCUGUUAGAUCAAAAUUCAACGGUCCAUAUUGUUUCAUCCCGAGGAUCCUGAUCUCCUGCUCAGGAGAGGAUCCAAAUCCAUAAUAGAGGCCAUGGUUCUGACCAUGUUGGACAGUGGACACUGUUAUUUGCCAUUUAGUAAUAUUUUUUUUACUUGUAAAUAAGAGAUUUUAAGUUUGAUUUUUGUUAAAGAAAAUUCAAAUUACAUUAUUAUUAAUCUAUUAUAAGGUUAAGUUUACCCUAUUUUUCUUAGUAUAAAUAAUAUCGAUUAUUAAAAAGAAAAAAAAAAUAAAGAACCACUGCCAUUUCGGCUAACAAAUCCCCACCGUUGGAAUUUCUUUUGAUCUUUGGAUGGGAGUUUGGGUUGUAUUUCUAGUUGAGCGGACAUUUUAUGUGGACAAGGUUUCUGUUUUAAAAAUUCCUGUCUAGUGCCGCCUAGGUGCUAGGUGGCUAGUUGCCGUUCUGAUUAAUUUUUAGGUAUUUGAAAAUUAAGAAAGUGCUUCUAGACUCACUUAGGCGUGCACCUAACUCGACUAGGCUUCUGCCUAGGCAUCCGUUUAGGUUGCGACUCUCACUUAGACAUGAAACCGAUAACUAUCAUUUUGCAUUUUUUUAAAAUAAAAUAUAAGAGGCUUGUUGAAUAUUUGGAUGAAACUCAUUAUAUGUUUGUUCUCCAUGUUUUAAAUAUGUUCUAAUAAUUUAUAAUUUAUAUAUCAUUUUAUUUUUGCAAUUUAUGUAUCCCAAUAGAACUAUGUGUUUUUUUCCAGUAUAAAUAUGAACUUAUUUAUUUAAUAUAUAAUAAAUUUACUUAAAUCUGUCUAUGUCCGAUAAGCCCCUUCUAGCUCCAAGCAUCUUUUAGAACCUCUCCAAGGUAACAGAAAACGUCCUUAUUUUUUAGGCAAAUCACCAAGGAUGCAUGCCUUCUUAAUUUUUACAUUAAAUUAAGGUUCACAUAAACUUGACUUCCCCACCCUAGCUCUCUAGAGGAAGAAGAAAACAGAGUAACACCGGUAGCGAGGGGAUCCAGUCGGAUAUCCUUCAUUUGGCGACAGUAGCGAAACCAGAAUUCAAACUAAGGAGGCCACAAAGAAUGAAAUUGUACAUAAAGCAUGAAAUUGUACAUAGAGCAUGAAAUUGAAGUAUGUAAGAAUUUUUAAGAAACAGGGGGAGCAAAGUUACUGCAGGCCCUAAUUACGGCCGGCCCCUGUCUGGCGAGCUUUCACAGCCAGACGUUUGCCAUAUCUUUGUUUCUGUGAAAUUCCUUCAUUAUCUUAGUGUUUGUUUGUCUUGAUUCCUUGUCUUCCCGAUAGAUUGAUGACUUUUCCGGCUUGAAAAUCCUGAGUAGCUUUAUUUAAGUUGUAUUAUGUGAUGGAAUCCUGGAUCGGCUUAACCAGUGCAUUGUAGAACCAAGUUUUGGGUCAUAUAUGGACAACACUGCCGGUUUGGUCUGGCGAUGAGUGUCGAUAAGCAAGGCACCAAUGGGAGGAUCUUGUUUUUGUUAACUAAUUAAAAACGAAAUUAUGGCCACCUUAGAACAAUAAACUAAUUGAAAUUUAUUAAACUUGAAAGGUGCAAUUGACAUGAUUUUGGAUUCGUAUAUUAUGAGUUUUGUGUGCUAGGUAAGAGUAAAAGUUGAAGAAACUACAUGCCUAAAGCUGAUGGGCGCUAAAUGUUAAAACCUAUAAAUAUAUGCUAUCUAAAAUGUUAAAGAACUGCUACUUAGUAGUAUGAUCUAAUGGUAUUUUUUUAGGCUCGAUUCUGCCAAAGGCGAAUUUAAACCAUAUUAUUGCCAACCCAGUGUGAGGUUUAGCCCACUCCCCUAUCCCCCAUCCCCCAUCCCCCAUCCCCCAUCCCACCCCACUCUCCCUCCCUCACCCGUUAGUAUAGAUAAUAUUGUUUAUUAGAAAACAUUGUUGAAGACCUAAAAGUAUACAAAAAAUUCUAAUAAUCUUCUAAUUUGAACAUUCUCGUUCUAUAUUUUCGACUCUUCUUAUUUUUCAAUGUCGCAAGAUGAUUCAAACUAACUAUUUCUAAGUCACCUAGUAAUGGUCAACUCUACCAAAAAUUAACCACACUUAAAAGUAAUCUAAUAAACAGACAAUUCAAGAUUGGAAACAUUACUCGAGUUAAAACCACCCAAACCGACCGUAUUAAUUUAGAAAAUGUUUCAAAGACAUCCACCAUUAGAGUCAAACCAUUAACACCGUUAGGCACAACACCGCCGAAGCAACUGGGAACGAUGUGAUUAAGUUGUAUAUAUAAGACAAAUAUUCAAGCUUACUAGGUGUAAUAACUUGACUACUCCCAACCUAGCACGUCACACAUCAUAUUGAAACCCUAGUUCCUCCCCCUCUCACAAAAGCCUCCCCUAAUUCUUCUCCCUCUCAGAUAACCUUAUUCUCUUUCUGUCUAUCUCUUUGUCGGCUCCUGUCUGUGUUGGGAUCUAAUCUGUUUUGGUCCCUCUGGCGGUCGUCUGUUUGAUUUUCGUUUGGCCAAACUGAUUCCAACAUUAACCUAUUGUUGUGAUUUGUGAUUAUUCCAUAAACCCACUUUAGAGCAAGUCCACCCCAAUGGGAUAGGCUAGGACAAAGCCUAAAAAAAUAGGCUGGCUUCACUCAAAUCCCCCUCCAGUUGAUCCAAAUAGGCCAGCUCAUAGCCUAAGCCAGCAUAUAGGCCAGCCCAAAAUGUGCUGACCAAUGUACCGGCCUAUGUGACAUCAUGAUGGCAUCAACAUGAUGUUAGCGAGGCCCAAUAAUUUUUCUUUUGCAUCAGGCACAUGGGAAACACACGCGAGUGAGCACGCAUUCUCGACAGAAAAAAGACAGUGGGGCCCGCCAUCUCAGACACAAAAAAGGGGAGCAGGGAUAAGCCAUGUGGCACUUAUUCGGCCGUUGGAUUUCCGACGGCUAGUUUUCUGAACUAUUGGAUUUUGAACAGUAAAAAAAAAUUGAAAUUCAAACCCAACGGCUAGUGGACCCACCCUCCAUUUUCGGCCCACCGCACCCCGGAGGGCCUCAUUUUCGCCGGCGGUGCCCAGGACGACAAGUGCAUCGCCAUCCAGUACCUCGGAUUUUGGCUAAGACCAUGGACCCCUGCAAUUCUUCGGUCGGGACCAUCGCAUAGAUGAGUCCGUAGAUGAUCAACACCGAUCUGGGUUUUUUGGGGUUUUGGGUGGGGUGGGGUGGGGAGGUUGCAGGGGAGAUUGGAUUUUUGGAGCUAGGGAUUAGAGAGAGAGAGAUAGUGUAUCUGAUUUGGGGGUGGGCUGCUCGGGUGGGUAGGAGAGGUGGGGAAGACGAUGGAGUUUCUAGCACAAAUGUGGCAACCACGUCAGCACAAAUGUGGAUCCCAUAUUGACCACGUCAUCCCUUAACGGUUUACUUAACAGAUUUUCUAAUGGAUGUAUGAAAUUGAAAUAAAAUGAUAAGUAAAUGUAUGAAAUUGAAAUAAAAUGAUAAGUAAAUGUAUGAAAUUGAAAUGUUUUAAAGAUGUUGUAAGGAAUUGAAAUCGACCCUAAACCUGAGGGGGUAAAAUGUACUUUACCUGAAAAUUAAUAAUAUUUUAAUACGAAUUGACUAAACUUUGUGCCAGCGCAUUUUUUAGAGGUGGAGAUGUAUUUGGCCAAUUACUGUUCAUUAUGGUCAAUUACUAUUCAUUUGAGUGGAUUAAAUGGGCUGGGUGCCAGCGCACUUUAAGGGGUGAACUUGCUCUUAGACGAGUUUGGUACUCUUACUUUAGGCAUGCCUAGUAAUCUUGCUAUACGCUAGUUUGUUCAUUACAAGGUUGCUCUAGUGGUUCUUUACAAGAGUACUGAAGGUGAGUUGGGUCGAGUUUGUUGGAUCUACUAUGAAAUGAUGCUUUGGGAUCCACACCUUGUACACCUGAUGUUGAGUUUGUCGUAUAUCGUUUAACAUUUUAAAAUAUAAAAUAUAGUUUUAUAUGCUUUUUUAAUCUAUUUUUUAUUACAUGUAAAAGAAAAAAAAUUUCAAAACUAAAUAUUCUAUAAUAAUUAGAAUGUGUAGUGAUUGUUGCAAUCAUAUUUAGAAUAGGAAUGUGAUUGUGUAAAUCCUAGGGAAUCUGGGAAUGUAUCUUAUAUUCCUAUUAGGAGUAGAUUACCUAUUAAAUGUUGUAAUCCUAAAGGGAAAGGUUUUUACCUCUCAUACUACUAUAAAUAAAGGCACAAUGGGGUGAAUCAAACACACCUCACAAUUAAAUCAAUCUCUCUUCUCUCUAAGUGUAGCCGGCCCCCCUCUCUCUAAACCCUAGAUCGUUUAAUCAAAUAGGCCCACAACACGUUAUCAGCACGCUCUUGCCAGAAGCUGAGGAAUUAACGCAUCAUAGGAGGAGGUUAUCAUCCACCAAAUUCAAAGGCUUAUUCAUUUUCUGCUAAUCUGGUACGCUUAAAAUAAAAUAAGAUAUUUGAAACGUCCACGAAGCAUGAAAACAUUCCCCAUGAUGCAUGAACCCCUCUAUAUUUAUAUUUUCCUUUCGAUAUAUAUAUAUAUAUAUAUAUAUUGUAUAUGUUCAUAUAUUUGUUUCAUGCAUCGCACAAUUAAAUUGUUAUGUGGAAUAUGUGAGUCAAAUUAUAUAAAAUAAAUUAGAAGCAAAUUUGGGUUUCCUAAACCCUAAGGGAAAUUGGACAUAGUGUGGCACCACCUCUGUGGCACAACAUC
rnacentral:lncRNA from 1 species